AACAUUUUACAUCUCAUCUAAAUACUGAAAUACUUAAAAAAUUCCUAAAACGAUCAAAAACCUAAUUGAAAAAAUAUUGUUGAUUUGGGUUGUAAAUGAUUGGCAAUUCAUAAACAUCAUGAUUAGGAGGCAUUGCUUCCAACCAAUGAUUCAAAUCUUCCAAACUCAAAUUGUCAAGCCAAUCAUUCCCAUCAUCUUCUCUUUGGACCAAAUUUUCCAUUACUUUCAUGCUGCUUUGCUCACUUGUACCUUUGACUUUGGUCAAAGAUUCAGGUGGCAUGUCGCUUAAGAACAUGACAUCACCUUCAAAGUUACCACCAAAUUCACCUUCUGAAUUUUCAAAUGAAUUCGUACUAUCGCUGUUGUUACUCUGUGAUUCAUCUAAUGGUGAUGCAGGAUGAAGAUCACGGCUAUGGUGGAUGUUAUUGUCCUCUGGAGUGAUCUUCUCUUUCGGAUUGUUCUUCUUGUUAUAAAGACGACACAAAACCCAAUCUUCCAACUACAGUUAUUAGAACAUACCAAUGUCAACCCCAAUGUUUUUUAUAAAAUAGUUUAACUAGAAGCCACCAAUCGAUCAAAUAUAUAAAAUGAAAUGUCAACGCACCUUGGAAAUGGUUGAAUCGGUGUGUUUAUUAGAAGGGGUAGAAUUUGGUCUAUAUUCAUGCAUGAUCCAAUUCGUCUUGAUCCCUUUAGGCCCUUUUCCAGCGUAAAAGACCAAAGCUUUCUUGAUCCCAACGAUUGUAUUCGGGUCGGAUUUUCUCUUUAUGGGUUUAUCGGCUCCAGUAGCUUUCCAGUACCCGUUUCCUGUGACCCGGUUUGGUCUUGAUCCGUUAGGGUAUUUCCUGUCUCUUGGUGUGAAGAAGUACCACUCCUUUGUUCCAAACAGAGCCAAUUCUGAAGAGAUUUAGGGACAAAUAACAAAUUCAUCAGUAAUCAGAAUUGAAUAACCUGUAAAUUGCGAACUAAGAUGUCAUGGAGUUGAAAAGAAAAGUUACCAGGAAGCUCCCAUGGAUCGUGUUUGUAGAGAUCAACAUCGGCGAUGAUUGACGGCGGUGGAACGACACCAACUAGCUCCGCUGUAGAUCGGGAUUUGCGGCAGAGAUAGUGAACGAUGAGCUCCUCGUCCGUUGGGUGAAAUCGGAAACCGGGAGGCAAAUUCAGCUCAGCUUCAGCAUCUCUUACCCUUUUUGUUACGGAUUUCGACGGCGAUCUCAUCUUCUAAUGCGAUUGAACCAAAGUUGACUUGAAUCGAAUCUCUAUCUGGUAAUCUUCUAUCCGGUUGAAGCUGAAACGUGUGAGAAUUGAAGUCGGAAUCUGGAAGUUGAAGAUGAGGAGAAUUGAGGAACCCAUGGGAGUCUUUUAUACGUGCUUUUGUAUGGAUUUGGAGACGAGGGAAUUAUUUGGAGAGUUAAAAGGGAAAGACCGAAGGACAGAAGUGUCUCAUGUGGACUAGACAUUAGGGCCCCACCUCAUGUGUGGGCUCCACAGAUUCAAUGAUCGUGCAAAUUAUAAAAAAUUACAAAAAAAUGAAACAUAAAAAAAUAGCUUAAAUACAACCUGUGUGCAUAUAUGGUACGUAUAUUAAUAUCAUUAGAAAAGUUUUUAUUGUGUUUCUAUUAAAAAAUAAUUGUGUAGGGUAAUAUAGGGGGAGCCUGGCCAGGCUACUGCUUCGAUUCUUUUCUUUUUUUAAUACUAUGUCUUAAAAUACGAGUGUAAUUAAACUAGAUAGUAAUUAUUAAUUUAGAUUUGUUUGGAAAUUUUUUUUGGAUGUUNNNNNNNNNNNNNNNNNNNNNNNNNNNNNNNNNNNNNNNNNNNNNNNNNNNNNNNNNNNNNNNNNNNNNNNNUAUAUAUAUAGGUUAUUUUGUUUCUAGUAACUAUUGUGUGCCGGAAUGCACAGAUUUGAACCAUUGGAUGUAAUAUAAUCAAAAAUCAUGAUUUGAGGGUCUAUGAUAGUAGAAUAUGAUAACAUGUACCAUAUAAUCACACAAAUUUGAGCAUAAGAGCAUUUUAGUCAACUAACCUAUAUUAAAAAAAGGAAAUUUUCGGAUUUUUAGGGAUUCAUUUAUUUUUAAAAAUCUGAAUAUUUUAAAUUAAUUUAAAAGUAAAAAUCCGAUUUUAUUCUGUCAGAAUGAUAUAAAUUUAACCAUAAACUAGUAAAUAUAUUUUUCGAUUUUAUUCUGUCAGAAUGACAGAAUGCCAACCAUAAACUAGUAAAUACAUUCUGAAAGAAUACACAAAAUCGAUUCUUGAACUAACAAUAUACCAAAUAAUUACAUUGUAUGAUUGUGAUUCAUUGAAUAAUAACAAAAACGUUCUGAACGAAGAACAAAUAUAACUCUUAAAAAAUAACAACAUUCUUAAACAAUGAGUGUGAUCAUUCUUUAAUUUAUUCUUCAAGCCUUUCCCAUAAGGUAUUCAAGCCAUUCUUCAAGCCAUUUCUAUCAGAAUUUAUUGCCAAGUAAUUUUGUAGUGAUACACUUGUAACAACUACACAUUAAACAUACAAAUAAUUAACUACAAUUCUAUCAGAAUAUAACAACAGUAUUCUUACAGAAUAAACUAUUCUUGCAGAAUGGUUUUGAAUAUUCUUAAAGAAUUUGUAUUAUCUAGAAUAUACCCAACGAACAAAAUAUUUGAAAUAUAAAUGCAUGAAAAGAUCAUGUUAACACAAAAGGUGACUAAGAAAAAAAAACAAGUAGAAUAUAUAAACCAUCUUCGGCUCACAAGUUUUUUAUUGUGAAAAAUGAUGAUCUAUGAAAGCACCAGGAUGAAGACUCCCUGUAUGUAUUCCAAAUACAUUAUACUCCUAUUUAGUUUCUCUUUACGUAUAAAAAAUCCUGUUACAAGAAAAAAAAGAAACCAAAUAUCCAAACCACAUGGAACACAGUAAGGGGACAAUAAGUAGGAAGAAGACCCUCCAAGGGUAAAAAGGUCCAAAUAGAUGGUAUCUAUCCCACCAGGUAUAAAAACCACAUUUGUUUGCACCUACAACUUGUGUAAAUUAUUACAACAAAAAAGUAGUUCAUGUGUUUGCAUUCUAAUAUGAAAAAAAAUCAUCAACUUAACCUUUUUCAUGCAAAUUCUGACAGAAUAUCAACUUAACCCUUUUCAUCAAAGACUAAUGACAUGUACCACUACAGUUAGAAUAAUUCUUAAACAAUGCAAUUGACACAUUCUUUUUUGAACAAUAUAACCAAAUUAUUAAAGAAUGGUGAACAAUAUGUUAUGUACUCUUAUAGAUAUAAUAUGUUUCUUUAUUUAAAAAAUAAAAAAAAGAGUUCAUUGAGGCAUUUCAUCGAACGGUGUAUGAGCAUACAUAAUAUGCAAAUUUAGUAAGAACAAAAAUUAUCAUUGCUUUUUCUAACUUUGGAAAUUCAGGGGGACUUUGCCCUGCUUUGAAUUCAAAGUUUUCCACUAGUAAAUGGAUUCAACUUACAUUAUAAGAAAAAUGGUUGCUUUCAAAGGAUUUUUCAAGACCAAAUUAAGUCAUCGACAAUUGCAACAAAAAAAAAUUCAGUUACGCAUCAUAACAAGAGAACAAAGACCAGAUAGGGAGAAAAGAGACAUUACAUUGGAUAUAGAACCCCUCUCUUCUACUCUUCCAUCAGGAUUAUGGGGAAUCGGUAGUGGUCAAAAUGAGAAGACCAGACUUGAAAAUCGGUAAAUUGGGGUUUUCUUCACUGACUAAGCCGACGGUGGGUUGUAAGGAGGACUCGACCUCGCCAGGCUGAAGAACUGGGCGACCGCUACUGGUGGUUUCCGCCGACAGCAAACAGUUUCCGACCAACUUCAAUUAAAUAGUCGGUCUCAAGGGGAAUCAGUGGUGGUGUUUUUGGGUCAGUAAAAGAAGAAGAAGAAGAAGCGGUGGAUCAAAAACAAUGGUGUAAUAUCCAAAAAUACGACCCAAAAUUUUUUGUUUUAAUAAUAAUAAAAACCAUAUACUGAUCGUCACAUCAUAAAACCAUGUGUCAAAUAUCUCAACCCAUAAUAAAAUGUCAUGAACAUUCGUGCCAAAUCAAACUGUGAAUCAAAACAAACUCCCAGGAAAAAGACUGAAGCUGUGGUGUGUGCGAUGCCAUCAUCCCGAGCUCUUCCCUUUACUUGCAGAAGUACCUGAAACAAAAACUGAAAACGGUAAGCACAAAUCUUAGUGAGCUCCCCCAAACUACCACAUACCAUACAUAACAUAUAAAUCAUCUACUGGGCCUUGCCCACUGCAUCGAACCGAAGUCCGGAAACUAACCAGGGCCUUGCCCUCUGCAUCGGACCGAAGUCCGGAACUAACUGCAUCGGACCGAAGUCCGGAACUGAUUGGGACCUUGUCCCCUGCAUCAGACUGAAGUCCGGAACUGACUAAACAUAACAAAGCAUAAACAUAUCAGCUAACAUGGAUGCAUAUACUACAUACUGCAUCGGAACAGAGUUCGGAACACAUAACACCAAACAUGCUUGAAUCACAAAGACAUCAAGCACCCUAACUACUGCAUUAGAUCGAGGUCCGAAACUACUGCUAACUAAACAGGCCGGGAUUAUGGCUGUAGACCCGUUCCUACUGGAAGGAAACUCACCUCGUAGUCUAGCUGCUGAAAGGACUGCUCCGGAAUCUGUUUGCUGCGGCUCCGGUUUCACCCCAGCUACAAUUUCCAUAAGCACCAUCAAUCAAAUACUGAUAAUAAUACUGAGGGUAAAAUGACUCUCUUACCCCUGGUCCAAGUCAACCUAACGGUCAAAGUCAACAUUCAGUUGACUUGACUCGUCGAGUUGGGUCACCAACUCGUCGAUUCCUUACUCUUACUUUCUUGAUUCUACUCGCUACUACUCGUCGAGUUUUGGCACAAACUCGGCGAGUUCCUCUUUGUUACUAACACUCUGACAAUCUGCAUCCGACUUGCCGAGUUGUAUGAACAACUCGUCGAGUUCUCCUUCAUCAGAUGAACACUCUAGCUGUGACUCACCGAGUUUUAUGAACAACUCGUCGAGUCUGUUCUUGAGGCAUGAAGAUUGCCUUGGACUCGCCGAGUCAGGGCAUUGACUCGCCGAGUUCUUCCACGAAUGAGUCUAACCCUCUAGCCCACCGAGUCCAUCUCUCACUCACUGGUUCCACUCAACAUAACUCGAAGAAGGGAAAAACAGGGGACUCGCGACUCGACUCGCCGAGUCUGAAGAACGACUUGCCGAGUCGUAUACAUGCAAACACUAUAUACUCGAUUCUGCUUGAAACCAAUCCUAUCCAUUCAUAGAUCUGGGUUCCCGGGACUUGAUUAGCACGUAAAGUUUCCAACUUUACGUGUAAAUAACAUCAAAUGAAGGUUUUAGGGUUCAAAGCACACUAUAAGAGUAGAUCUAGAGCUUUCAUGCAAAAAAGGCUCCAUAAAGGUGCUAGAUCUAAGCUUCUGGAAUUCAAACCUAGCUAGAUCCGAAGGCUAAUCAACUCCAUGAGUCCUCUAUGCUACUACUAAGCCAAGAAAUGGUUCAAGAAUGGCUUUAAUGGCUUCAAAAAGGGGAUUUAAGCAUAGAAACAGAAAAGGGUCAAGAUAUACCUUACUAUCUUAUGAAAUUCCUCAAGGAUCUAGGAUCUCCUCCUUCUCCUCUUGAUCUACCUUCCUUUUUCUCUCAAGAUCUUCAAAGAACACACCAAAAUCACACAAAAAUGCAAAGAGGGCUCUAGGGUUUCGAGAAUGAUGCUCUGAGGGGUGAUGAGGGCUGACUUGAGGUCCCAAAAGUUGCUUAAAUAGGGUGCAAACCCUUGAAAUUAGGGUUUCAUCCAGACUGGCGGACUCGUCGAGUUCGGAAUAUGGACUCGUCGAUUCGCCAACUUAAACGUGCUCGAAAUCCCGACUCUACUCGACAAGUAUAGCUACUGACUCGUCGAGUUCUCCUUAAAACUUGAAGAAAAAUAAAUAUAUAAAUAUCAUACCAAAAUUAGGGUGUUACAACCCUCCCCCACUUGUCUCAGACUUCGUCCUCGAAGUCUGCUGCCGCUGAAUCUGGGAACAGCUCUGGGUAAUUCCCCUGCAUCUCCUCCUCGGACUCCCACGUCCACUCUGAACCCUUCCGGUGCUGCCACUACACCUUCACCAACUGAAUCACCUUGUUCCUCAAGGUCUUCACUUUCUGAUCCAAUAUCGCAACUGGCCUCUCGACAUAAUUCAGGCUGCUAUCAACCUGAAUAUCCUCAAUGGGCACUAUUGUCGACUUGUCCACCAAACACUUCCUCAACUGAGAAACAUGGAAAGUGUUGUGGAUCUGGCUAAGCUCUGACGGAAGAUCCAACCGAUAAGCAACCCGACCCACCCGGGCCAAAACCCUAAAAGGACCAAUGAACCUGGGGCCCAACUUGCCCCUCUUCCGAAACCUGAUAACACCCUUCCAGGGUGAUACCUUCAGGAGGACCAUAUUGCCCACCUGGAACUCCAAAUCUGAACGCCUCCUAUCAGCGUAACUCUUCUGCCAACUCUGCGUAGUCUGCAGUCUGCCACGAACCUGCUGGAUCAACUUUGUCGUCUUGAGCAUCACCUCGGUGCUUCCAAUGACUCGCUGACCGACCUCGCCCCAACAAAUCGGGGUCCUGCACUUCCUCCCAUAGAGCAUUUCGAAAGGAGGUCAAUCGAUACUCGCGUGGUAACUGUUGUUAUACGAAAAUUCCGCUAACGGAAGAUACGUAUCCCAACUGCCACCGAAGUCUAUAACACAUGCCCGCAGCAUGUCCUCGAGAGUCUGAAUUGUUCUCUCGCUCUGUCCGUCCGUCUGAGGAUGGAAAGCGGUGCUAAAAUGGAGACGAGUACCCAUCUCGUCGUGAAACCGCUUCCAGAAUCUGGAAGUAAAACGGACAUCUCGGUCUAACACCACUGAAACAUGCACUCCAUGACGUGCCACCACCUCUCUCACAUAAAUAUCAGCUAACUUUUCUGAUGAUAUGCUCUCCUGGAUUGGUAUAAAAUGAGCACUCUUCGUCAACCGAUCCACUAUAACCCAUAUAGAAUCCACUCCACGCGCAGUCCUGGGAAGCUUCGUGAUGAAAUCCAUGGUAAUGUCUUCCCAUUUCCACAUCGGAAUGUCUAACGGCUGCAUCUUGCCGUGAGGUCUUUGGUGUUCGGCCUUAACCUUCCUGCAGGUCUGGCACCUCUCCACAUACCAGGCGACAUCCCGCUUCAUGCAGGGCCACCAAUAAUAGGGUCGAAGAUCUCUAUACAUCUUCGUCGCCCCUGGAUGAAUGGAAAAUCGAGACUUAUGAGCCUCAUCCAUCAACACUUGCUGUACUCCGCCCCAGUACAGCACCCAAACUCUCCCGUGAAGGGUAAACAAUCCUCUACUAUCAUAGUCAAAGGAAGCUACUCGGCCCACGAUCCUCUCACACUUUUGUCUCUCCUCCUUGAGGCCCUCUACCCGUGCCUCCUUGAUUUGCUCCAAUAAUGGAGUAAUCACCGUCAUCCUCAAAAAAAUGUCUCUGAUCGGGGCCGCUACUGCCUUGCGGCUCAAGGCGUCGGCCACUACGUUGGCCUUCUCUCGGUGAUAAAGGAUCUCACAUUCAUAAUCCUUCAACACAUCUAACCAUCGCCUCCGCCUCAUGUUCAGAUUCAGUUGAUCCAUGAGGUACCUCAAGCUCUUGUGAUCCGUGUAAAUGGUACAACGGACCCCAUAAAGGUAAUGCCUCCAAAUCUUGAGGGCAAACACAACUGCCCCCAGCUCCAAAUCAUGGGUAGGAUAAUUAGCCUCGUGAGGCUUCAACUGUCUCGAGGCAUAAGCUAUCACAUGGCCUCGCUGCAUCAGAACUGCUCCCAAACCUGUGAUCGAGGCAUCACAAUAGACUACAAAGUCCUCUACUCCCUCUGGCAAGGUAAGGAUCGGAGCCUCGCACAAUCUCUGCCUGAGGGUCUCGAAUGCUGUCUGCUGCUCCGGACCCCAACGAAAUACCACUGACUUCUUGGUCAGUCGGGUGAGCGGCACUGCUAUCUUGGAGAAAUCCUGAAUAAAUCUCCGAUAAUACCCUGCCAACCCUAGGAAGCUCCGAAUCUCAGAUGGAGACUUCGGGACCUCCCACUGCAUCACGGCCUCAAUCUUGGCCGGAUCUACCAAAAUACCCUUCUGGUUGACGAGGUGACCAAGGAACUGCACCUCGCGCAACCAGAACUCGCACUUGGAGAACUUCGCGAAAAGUCUCUCCCUCCUCAAAACCUCUAGCAACUCUCUCAGGUGCUCCUCAUGCUGCUCCUGAGUCUUGGAAUACACCAAGAUAUCGUCUAUGAAUAUUAUCACAGACCGAUCCAGCAUCGGCCUGUACACGCGGUUUAUAAGGUCCAUGAACGCGGCCGGAGCUUUGGUGAGCCCAAACGGCAUCACCACAAACUCAUAAUGACCAUACCUAGUCCUGAAGGCAGUCUUCUGCACAUCCUCGCCUCUGAACCGCAUCUGGUGAUAUCCGGAGCGUAAAUCGAUCUUGGAGAACCAAGAUGCUCCCCGAAGCUAGUCAAACAAGUCAUCUAUCCUCGGGAGUGGGUAACGGUUCUUCAACGUUACCUUAUUCAGCUCUCGGUAAUCUAUGCACAUGCGAUGCGAUCCAUCCUUCUUCACAAACAGGAUCGGGGAUCCCCAUGGCGAACUGCUCGACCUAAUAAAACCCUUGUCUAGCAGCUCUUGCAGCUGUGUAGACAACUCUUGCAUCUCUGGGGGAGCCAACCGAUACGAUGCCUUGGCUAUCGGAGCCGCACCAGGGAUUAGAUCAAUCCCGAACUCAACCUAUCUCUCAGGAGGUAUCCCCGGCAAAUCCUCCGGAAAUACAUCCGGGUAGUCUCGCACCGCCGAAACAUCAUCAACUGUCAUCUUGCCCUUCUCCCGUGCAUCUAAAACAUAGGCAAUAUAGCCGAGGAACCCCUGCUGAAAGUAGCGUCUUGCUCUCGCUGCUGAACACAGAACUGGUCCGCGCUGUGGCUUCUCGCCAUGAAUCACUAACUCUCCCCCACUAGGAGUGCGAACCCUCACCAACUGUAGCUCAUAAUCUAUCACCGCCCUAUUGGGGCUCAACUAAUCCAUGCCUACUAUGACCUUAUUCCCUCGCAAGGGAGUAGGAACCAAGUCCACCGAAAACUGCUCAUCGAAUAACUGUAGGGAACACCCUCUGUGCACCCUUGCAACCCCAACGGUCCUAUCAGCUGCUAUCUCAACCUCAAGUGGACAAUCUAGCUCCCCUGGAGCUCUGCUAAACCUCUUGCUAAGUGCAAGAGAGACGAAUGAUCGGGUAGCUCCCGAAUCAAACAAUACUGUAGCUGAAAUGCCGUUCACCGAGAACGACCCUAUACAAAACAUAUAACCAUAAGAAACAANAUACUGAGAUAAGGAAAAAAUCCAUCCCCGCCACCACAUCAGGAGUCGCUCGCGCCUCCUCUGCUGUCAGCUGGAAAGCACUACUCUUCGCCACCGGCGUCUCGACUCGGCCCUGACGGCCUUCUGAAAUCCUCAAAGUAGCAGGAGCAGGUGCUGACACCUUCCCCGCAGCUGCUAAACUCGGACACUGGGACUUUUUAUGUCCCCUCUGAUUGCACUGGAAGCAAAUCAGAUCUGAUGCCGCAACGGUGGUAGUAGUGGCUGUACAAUCUCUGCUCAUAUGCCCAGUCUGGCCGCACUUGUAGCAGCCGGCACUCCCUGCCUUGCACGCCCCAUCGUGCAAUCUCCCACACUUGCCACACCGAGCGUGGCUCUGCUGACUCCUAGCUCUGUGAUCUGAACCCUUGGGCUUUUUGCCCAAAUUCCCUGAACCUGGAGCCGCCUCCGGCUUCCUCUUUCUCUCCAUCUCAAGGUCAAUAUCUCUCUCUCUCUCUCUCUCUCUCUCUCUCUCUCUCGAGCCCUAGCAAUCAUGUCAUCCAGCGUCUUACAGCUGGACCGGCUCACGAACUGGCGAAUAUCACUCAGCAGCAUCUCAUGAUAACGGGCUUUCUUUAUUUCCUCAUCAGCUGCGUACUGAGGAACGAGAAGUGCCCUCUCUCUGAACUUGGCGGUAAUUUCCGCCACUGUCUCUGUAGUCUGAGUCAACUCCUGGAACUCACGUGCUAACUGCUACACCUCAAUAACCGGUGCGAACUCAGCUCUGAACCUGGUAGAAAAGUCUGUCCAGGUCAUGGCAUCCAAAGCCACGUCAUCCCCAAUGGCAUGACCAACCUCCUCCCACCAAUCUCGUGCCCUAUCCUUCAGAAGACAGGACACCAAUCUGACCUUGUCCCCCUCGGGACAUCUGCUUGUGCGGAAUGCGUUGGCCACAUCCGCCAACCAUCUGGUACUCGCAAUGGGGUCCCGUGCCCCAUGGUAAUCUGGAGCUCCACAUGCACGGAACUCCCUGAAGGUAAGCGUGCGGGACCCCAUCAUGACCGCUACCUCAGCACGGAAAGUGCUCAAUCUCUCGUCCAUCAACUCCAAGAUACCCUCCUUGAUCGAACCAAAGAUCACAGGAGUCUGCUCAAGUAUGGUGUGAGUAAUCUCUAAAGAGAGAAACUCCCUAGUCUGCUCAUCCAUCUGCCCGGCCUCCGGGUCUGAUCCUGAUCCCCCUUCGGCACCUGAACUGCCGACUGCUGGUCGAGGACGCAAUACCACCAUUCUGAAAACACAUCAAAAUAAACUUCAGGAUCAUAAAUAUAUCUUGAGGGAUCACUACUAUCACAAGUUUCCUGGUCUCAUCUCAGCUUUCUUGAUUUGAGUACGUAUCCUCUGUUUUCAGCAGUACGGGCCCAUACUACCUUCCACAUCUAUCCGUACUUUCCUCAAGAACUGCCUUGACUCUACCAAGUUACUUUACAACUACUGAUCUCUAAUACUACCUUCCUAGGCUUUCCUUAGGGAACUUCUGACUCCACCCAAACCAGUCCUCAGCUACUGAGGGCCUCCUUGUAAUGCCAAUUAGCCAUUACCUGAAUACCAUCACAUGUGGCGAGGCUUAAAUAAUCCUUUGAGUAAAUACCCGUCCCUACUACGGUCAGACUCAUACCAGAGCUGCGCAAUAGGGCCAAAUCUAGCACUCUGAGAUUAUUCAACCCUGUUCACAUGUGACGUGACGUAUUCACCUAAUGGCUAACUCCCAUCACUCAGAGCCCCACAAAGCACAAAGCAAGCAACAUUCAGACACAGAAAACUACUCAAGCAACUCUAUCCUCAUAACAAGGACCUAUACUAGCAUACAAUGCUAAGCUCAUGAUAUCAGACAUAACCUAAACAGGUUGUCCUACUGUUGCCCACUCAACUAGUAUGAAAUUCUCAUAAAGCUGAAGCACAUAUAGAAGGCACAUAAGGCAUUCUCCUAGACCUUAGUUCUAUUCUAGCAUGCUGUUCUACUGAGACUGAAACUGAUAACUCAUAACAUAAACUUGUCUGGGUAAUUUGGGAGUACUUACUUGAGCCCGGCUGAUCGCAUGCACCACACCCUUUUCUCUUUUAAAAGUUCUUUUCUUUUUAAUAAUUCUUUUCACUUUUCUAAAACUCUUUNGGUCUCAAGGGGAAUCAGUGGUGGUGUUUUUGGGUCAGUAAAAGAAGAAGAAGAAGAAGCGGUGGAUCAAAAACAAUGGUGUAAUAUCCAAAAAUACGACCCAAAAUUUUUUGUUUUAAUAAUAAUAAAAACCAUAUACUGAUCGUCACAUCAUAAAACCAUGUGUCAAAUAUCUCAACCCAUAAUAAAAUGUCAUGAACAUUCGUGCCAAAUCAAACUGUGAAUCAAAACAAACUCCCAGGAAAAAGACUGAAGCUGUGGUGUGUGCGAUGCCAUCAUCCCGAGCUCUUCCCUUUACUUGCAGAAGUACCUGAAACAAAAACUGAAAACGGUAAGCACAAAUCUUAGUGAGCUCCCCCAAACUACCACAUACCAUACAUAACAUAUAAAUCAUCUACUGGGCCUUGCCCACUGCAUCGAACCGAAGUCCGGAAACUAACCAGGGCCUUGCCCUCUGCAUCGGACCGAAGUCCGGAACUAACUGCAUCGGACCGAAGUCCGGAACUGAUUGGGACCUUGUCCCCUGCAUCAGACUGAAGUCCGGAACUGACUAAACAUAACAAAGCAUAAACAUAUCAGCUAACAUGGAUGCAUAUACUACAUACUGCAUCGGAACAGAGUUCGGAACACAUAACACCAAACAUGCUUGAAUCACAAAGACAUCAAGCACCCUAACUACUGCAUUAGAUCGAGGUCCGAAACUACUGCUAACUAAACAGGCCGGGAUUAUGGCUGUAGACCCAUUCCUACUGGAAGGAAACUCACCUCGUAGUCUAGCUGCUGAAAGGACUGCUCCGGAAUCUGUUUGCUGCGGCUCCGGUUUCACCCCAGCUACAAUUUCCAUAAGCACCAUCAAUCAAAUACUGAUAAUAAUACUGAGGGUAAAAUGACUCUCUUACCCCUGGUCCAAGUCAACCUAACGGUCAAAGUCAACAUUCAGUUGACUUGACUCGUCGAGUUGGGUCACCAACUCGUCGAUUCCUUACUCUUACUUUCUUGAUUCUACUCGCUACUACUCGUCGAGUUUUGGCACAAACUCGGCGAGUUCCUCUUUGUUACUAACACUCUGACAAUCUGCAUCCGACUCGCCGAGUUGUAUGAACAACUCGUCGAGUUCUCCUUCAUCAGAUGAACACUCUAGCUGUGACUCACCGAGUUUUAUGAACAACUCGUCGAGUCUGUUCUUGAGGCAUGAAGAUUGCCUUGGACUCGCCGAGUCAGGGCAUUGACUCGCCGAGUUCUUCCACGAAUGAGUCUAACCCUCUAGCCCACCGAGUCCAUCUCUCACUCACUGGUUCCACUCAACAUAACUCGAAGAAGGGAAAAACAGGGGACUCGCGACUCGACUCGCCGAGUCUGAAGAACGACUUGCCGAGUCGUAUACAUGCAAACACUAUAUACUCGAUUCUGCUUGAAACCAGUCCAUUCCAUUCAUAGAUCUGGGUUCCUGGGACUUGAUUAACACGUAAAGUUUCCAACUUUACGUGUAAAUAACAUCAAAUGAAGGUUUUAGGGUUCAAAGCACACUAUAAGAGUAGAUCUAGAGCUUUCAUGCAAAAAAGGCUCCAUAAAGGUGCUAGAUCUAAGCUUCUGGAAUUCAAACCUAGCUAGAUCCGAAGGCUAAUCAACUCCAUGAGUCCUCUAUGCUACUACUAAGCCAAGAAAUGGUUCAAGAAUGGCUUUAAUGGCUUCAAAAAGGGGAUUUAAGCAUAGAAACAGAAAAGGGUCAAGAUAUACCUUACUAUCUUAUGAAAUUCCUCAAGGAUCUAGGAUCUCCUUCUUCUCCUCUUGAUCUACCUUCCUUUUUCUCUCAAGAUCUUCAAAGAACACACCAAAAUCACACAAAAAUGCAAAGAGGGCUCUAGGGUUUCGAGAAUGAUGCUCUGAGGGGUGAUGGGGGCUGACUUGAGGCCCCAAAAGUUGUUUAAAUAGGGUGCAAACCCUUAAAAUUAGGGUUUCAUCCAGACUGGCGGACUCACCGAGUCCGGAAUAUGGCCUCGUCGAGUCGCCAACUUAAACGUGCUCGAAAUCCCGACUCUACUCGACGAGUCCAGCUACUGACUCGUCGAGUUCCCCUUAAAACUUGAAGAAAAAUAAAUAUAUAAAUAUCAUACCAGAAUUGGGGUGUUACAAAUGGUGAGUACGAUUUAGGGCUAAAUGUUUUAAAUUUAUAUUUGCUUAUUGUGUAAUAUGAGGGAUAUUGAAUAUCUACCAUAAUUAACUAUGCAAAGAUUACUAUAAUACCAUUAAAUGAUUUAUUUAUUUAUUUAUUUCUAAAUUCCUAUUGGUGCAUUCAUGCACACAAUAGUUGCUAGAAACAUUUGAACCUAGCUCUCUCUCUCUCUCNAGGUUCAAAUGUUUUUAGCAACUAUUGUGUGCAUAAAUGCACCAAUAGGAAUUUAAGAAUAAUAAAAUUAUUAAAAAAAUAAUAUAAGGGUAAUUUUGUAACUUUACAUCACCUUCAUUUAUUAAACCAAAAAUAAUUCUCUUAUAUAGAUAGAAAACUCCUUAAUUAAUGGAACAGUUACCAUAAAAUGCCCUAAACUAACCCUAGUCGUCCAAGUCCAUUGUGUGAGGACGUGUUGCGUGGGUUCCUUUUUGCUAUCGGUCGAGAAAGAGAAAUUUGGAGGGGAGGGGAUGUGUGAUAGGAAGAGAAGAGGAUGAAGGGAAGUGAGGCUGAAAUCGAGUAGGAAGAAGAAAGGGGUGCAUGGUGGUGUCGAUUUUGAGGUAAGUAGGCAUUCUGUUUCAUCAUGUAUCAUUAGUUGCCAUAAACGACCAAUUAACCAUAGUUGCAAGUAUGUCUUGUGUUUUGAUUUUUGUUUGAUGCUAAUCGAUUCUAAUUUUCAACCACGCUUCCAUCAUUGACUUAUGUUGAGGUUGUUUUAUUUUCUUUCCAUUAAUUUCUAUAGAGGGUUGUAUAUAAAAUAGUAAUCAAUUUUUGUAGAAAUUGCAGCUUUUCUUACAAAUUCAUGUUCGUUGUGAAGUUACAAUUCUAAUCUAUUGAACUCAAAAUUCGAUUUUCUUUGUCAAUAAAUUAAUUUUCUAUGUUAUUUCUUAUUUUCUAAUGGAGGAUAUGAUUGUUCAAACAUUCAAGAAUGCCUAGAUUUUUGUUUUCAUGGCAGAAUUCUCACAUAUUGUAAAUGCCUAGAAUUUGAUUUCAUGACAUUCUCAUAGAAUAUAACUUUUUAUCAAAGAUAGAUUUUAAUGGUUGUAGAUUGGAAAUCAUUUUACUGAAAUUCACAUGGUUCUAAAUUUCACAUGGAUAUUGACAAAGUGGAUUUUGAUUGCAAAAAAAGUUAUUUAAGUGCAUUAUGUAAUGUAUUCUGUUAGAAUUUAUUUAUAUAAACGCAUUCUGUUAGAAGGUGUUUUGAGAAUGUUUGAAUGAUAUUUAUGUGCAUUCUGUAAUGUAUUAUGUCAGAAUUUAUUUAUAUAAAUGCAUUAUGUUAGAAUGUCUUUUGAGAAUGUUUAUUAACAACAAGUAUAUUUGUUUAACGGGUAAUACUAAGUAAUACUAACUAGUAAUAUAUCUUAUUCUUUAGAAUUGCAUGGAGAAGAAUUCAAUAUUGAUCAUACAAGAGAAAUAUUUGGAAUCGAGUUCAACAACAAGUAUAUAUGCGAAGAUCAAGUGGAUAUUCUGUUAGAAUAUGUAUAACUAUAUUUAAAAUGUACAAGGAUUUUAGUCUGUAAGAAUAUGUAUGAAUUUGUAUUUAAGUUCGGAUGUAUAAGAAUAUAUUAGAAUGAUUGUUAUUUUUCAACAUUUGAUUCAAGAAUUUUGUUUUUCUUCAAUAAUAUUCUAUUAGAAUAAAAUUCUGCAAGAGCAUCAUCAUAACAAAAAAUAUUCUGACAGAAUAAAAUCGGUAAAAAUUGAAAUUGAAUUAAUUAAAAAAUUCAGAUUUUUUUAAAUUAGGAGAAUUAGUCAUCCCUAAAAAUUCGAAAAUUUCAUUUUAUAAAUGCAGUUAAUUGUCCAAAAUACCCCUUUGCUAAAAAUUGUGUGAUUAUAUGGUACAUGUUACCCCAUUGUAAUAUCAUACACUCUCAAAUCAUGUCCAUUGAUUAAUUUCAUCCGUUGGUCCAGAUAUGUGCAUUANAUAUAGAGAGAGAGAGAGAGAGAGAGAGAGAGAGAGAGAAAGAGAGAGAGAGAGAGAGAGAGAGAGAGUGAGUGUUUAACAUUAAAUUUAUUUGAGUUGAUAAAAUCUAUAAUUUUAAGGGUUAUGUAGGUUAAUGUUUUUUAUGCAUGUAAUUUAAACAUUUUUAUACAAUUAAAUGUCCUUUUCAGGUUAACACCAUCCACUCUCACCACUAUCGUCCAUUUUCUACUGCCACCAUUCACUCCAACAAUAAAAACUAAAUUUCAUUAUCCAAAAAAGUACAAUUAAGUUAUGAUUUUUCGAUGGUUGUUUUAUUUUCAUUGGGUUCAACGGUACACAAUGAAGAUUGAACCAAAAAUGACAAAAUCUUAAUGUAAGUCUCCUAUGAAUCUAAUAAAGUUUGGGAAGGGUUCCGGGCAUUGAAAAUGUGAUGUCUAGCAAACUCAGGAGAGACAAUGAGAAAGAAAAAUAAUGUUGUCUCCAGUGGGUUCGACCAAACAUGCUAGGAGUAAGUGUGAGUGUGUAUGGUAAACCAUCUACUUGUUUUUCUUUGCAUCAAGCUCUAGUAACUACAAAACAGAGCAUGUAGAAUGGAAGUGAUGUUAAGCUCUGUUGUGACAAACAAGAUGUAAACCUUACAUAUAUCUUGGAUUCAAUUAGGAAACAAUUGGUAAUGGGAAAGUUAUGACUAAAGGUGACCACAAAAUUGUUGUUGGGUGGUAAUGAUGUGAAGCUCUUUUACGUAACAUGACUUUAAAGAUAAAUACAAGGAUAAAGAUAGCUCCCACCAUAAUAAUCCAUAAAGAUCGAACCAUCUUGAUUUAUGAUAAAGGAAUCAAAAUCCACCAUGAUACUCUACAAAUGGAUAAGUCACCAUGAAGGAACCACCAAGAUCAAAGACCUAUAAAGGUAAAGAAAAUUCAUCAAAGCGAGUUUUAAAUCCCAAAUUUUCCCAGAUGUGUUUACAUGUUGUUUCCCACAAUUUCCCUAUAAAUAGUAGAUAAUAAAGAUGAUGAAAAUAGAGUUCAGUAGUUUUCUUUUUCUCUUCAUUUUAAUAUAAAACAAACAAGAGAAAUGGAAAUAAUUCAAUUUCCCAUCUCUUAUUUCUCUGUACCAAACACCUCCUUAAUUCCUUUUAGUUCUCCAGAUCCUUCUCUCAUAUUCUCCUUACCCUUAUAGGAAUUUUGAACCGAAACGAUCUUUUUCCCUUAGUAUCCUUCAUGGGGAUAAUAGAUUUUGUUAAAGGCUUAUAGGGAGUUUGUAUUUUAUGUAUGUUCUCUACUUUUAUGGCAAGUUUGCAAGCAGCUUCAAAGGUUCAUAAAGGAUGUAACUUAUUUUUCAAUAGUGGAAGUGUUUAAGCCUCUGAGGAAUAUUGAUAUUGUAUGUUCCUUGACCUCUUUAAUGUUGGUGUAGAUCUUUAGUUUCUCAAACUCUCUGAUGUAGUCCAUUACUUCCUUAGUUCCUUGCCAUAGGCUACUAAUCCAAAUACAAAUGUCCUAUUUGUAGGCAUGAUGAACAAACAUCUUUUGCAUGCAUUAUUCGAGUUUGGACCAUGUAUUUGUUAGAAUAGUGUCAAAUGUCAUAACCAACUGGUAAGACUUUCCAUUAUAUCAAAGUCUUUUUUAGGUUUCCCUCAAUGAUCCAAAUAAUAUUAGAAUGUUAUGAGAGAGAUACAAAUAGUUUAUUAAUUAUUUAUACGAUGAUAAAUUAAUUAGAAACUAGUUUAGAAUUAAUUUGUAAUUAAUUUAUACUAAUUAAAAGUGCAUGGACUAAAUGUUAAUUAUUCAAUAACCGAAUAAUGAAAGGUUCUGGAUCCCAUAUGACGGGCGACAGAAAUCAACAAGGGAUAAGCCUUGCGAUUUUUAUCCCAUGCUAUUCUAGGAAGGAGGUUUGAAUUUUGAUAAAUUGGAUUAUUUAAUUAUUAUAUUUAUCCAGUUACCAAUUCAAAAUCAACUUUCUUUCCAAGCAACCAAAAGCUAUAAACCCCUCUGUCACCUCAUAAAUACGUCACACUCUUAUCUAAGGGUUAUUCUCAUCUCUUGGUUAAUUUCUUAGUCGAUUUCUAUUGUUCUAAGGGUUAAUCUUCUUAACAACUAAUAAUUUGGACUUAUUGGAUGUGAACCAUUAGAUGUAAUCUACUUUGGUUACUAUCUUCCGUGGCUUGGAGUACUUCAAUAUCUUCAUCAAAGGUUCUUCAAGCAAAUCGGUUAAUUUGUGUUUCCGAUGCUAUUGUUAGUCUAAGUAAGUAUAUAUAAAACCUAUCAGUCUUGACCUUUGGUUACUAUCUCCCUCUUCAAGCAAAUUAGUUAAUUUGUAUGUUUCCGAUACCUUGGUUACUAUCUCUCUCUUGUAGUUGUUCUUAUUAUUUAGGUUAAAGAUCCUUGUAGGUUUUAAUGGUUUGCUUGCCUUAGAUUAAUUUGUAUGUUUUCAAUGCUAUUGUUAGUCUGAAUAAGUAUAUAGAAAACCUAUCGGUCUUGAUUUCUUCUUUCCUUCAAACUCUCUCCUUCACGCUUCCUGUUUUGUAUUACAACAAAACAUACUUCUCAAGUUUGAUCACCACAAGCUAUGACACUUUCUUUUCAUCAUAUUUGUUAACCUCAAUGAUUCUAUCCAUUCGAGAUAGUUUCUGGGGUUGAGGAGCCUUCAAAAUCUGGUGGAUUAACUUUGAUAUCUCCUAAAUCAUCUUUCUCUUUUCAGUUGUGCCUUCUUCUUUGCGAUGAUCUACGGGAACCACCAAAGGAUGGUAAAGGUGAUAUUCGUUUAGCAAAAUCAUUACAUAAUAUAAUAAUUUAGACAUUAACCCUAAUUUUUAAAGGCUUGAUAAAGGUGCCAUUUGUUUAGCAAAAUUGUUACUUAAUAGUUAAUAAUAAAUAUUAAGAUUAGGUCAACGAGAUUUUCUUGGUUUAUAGUAAUUUUCCUUAUUUAGUAUUAUGCCUAUAUGUACUAGUUCAUAUAUUAUUUAAAAAACGAAAAGAAUCCCGUCACACGUUUUUAAUUAUUGUUGACACCAAGCACCAACAAAUAAAAAGGAUACCAAGUAUUGAUGCAUUUAACCCAUAUCGAAUUUGUAUUACAAUGUGACGAAUGUGUGUGAACGGUUUCCAUUUUCAGCAAAAACGUAUGCGUGGUAUUAAAUGCAGAUUUUUCUUGAGUACCCAACAUUUAUUAUUAUUAUUAUUGUGUUUGAACAUAUUUAUUAAGGGAGGUUGUGUGGGAACCUUCUUCAAAAUUGGGACCAUUUUUCUAUUACAAUAUUAAUUGGAUAUAAUAUAUCCGUAAAGGUUCUUACUUCUUACCUCCUGAUCUUUCAAAUGGGUCAAACGAUAUUUACUAUUUGUUAAAGGGUGAUGUUGUCUUUACAUACCAUUGAUUGUAACCAAUGAAUAAUUUAAUAAAAACACUUUCAGUCAUACCCAAUUAGAGUUUAAUAUAAGAUUCAGUGCAUAUAGUAAUGAUUCUUGUAAAAGUUACUUGUUUUAAAUAUUAAAUAUUAACAUUUAUUGACUGAGACUUGUAUAUUAAAAUAAAUUAAUUAUGCAACUCAUCAGGUCUAAACUGGAAGUUUUCAAAGACAUAUUUUAUUCUUAUCAUACGAGAUAAAUAAUUGCUACAAAGUACAAACCCAAUUGAUAAGGAGAAAAAAAAAAGAAAUAUAAUAUAUUGAAUUGUAUUAAAGAACUGAAAUGAAUUUUAAAUAACUUGUUUCAGAUUCCAUGUAAUGAAUAAUGAAUUGAGAAUCUUUUAGUAUUUUGACUUUGACUUAAAAAAACUAUAACUUGACUUCAAAAAGAGCAGCUCGCUACAUACGCAACUGCUGACGUUUAUGUGUUUCAACCUCCCCGAUGGCAGAGAAUGAAUUUGAUGACGUAUUUGCUUACGUCAGUUAAUUUUAUCAUUAUCAAGGUCAAUAUCAGUUCUUUUUUGUUUGACAUACCAUUAAAAAGCUUUGUUUAGGUUUUUUCAGUUUCACGUAAAUGUUCAUUCAUUGUAUCUCUUGCUUUUUUAUGCAAUUGUUUUUGUUUACUUAGGUUUUUAUACAGAUGUUCUUUAUAGUAUUAACUAAACAAAAUUAGAUCUAUCUAUGGAGGAAUUACAUGGGGUGGUGGGAUAUUACAACAUUCCCAAAAAAAACAUUUUGGGUAAAUUACACAGAUGGUCCCUGUGGUUUAGGGUAAUCUGCUAGAUUGGUCCCUAACAACUUUUUUUAACUCGCACCAUCCCUAAUUUAUUUUUUCGUUACACGCUUGGUCCCUAACCAUUAUAAAAAGUCUAAUUUACCCUUACUGAUUUCUUUUACCUAUUUUAAAUUAUCAAUUAAUUAAAUGUGGAAAAAGUGUUAAUUAAAAAAAUAUGUUGGUCUGAUUCAAGAACCUACACAACCGAAGCCUCAUCCCCUCCCUUCCUUCCUUGAUUUCAGUCGCCGGAAAAUAUCACUCCUCUCGUCGGAAAAUCUCACAGAUAAACGAUGUCUUCUCCAGCUUCACUUCCCCNNNNNNNNNNNNNNNNNNNNNNNNNNNNNNNNNNNNNNNNNNNNNNNNNNNNNNNNNNNNNNNNNNNNNNNNNNNNNNNNNNNNNNNNNNNNNNNNNNNNNNNNNNNNNNNNNNNNNNNNNNNNNNNNNNNNNNNNNNNNNNNNNNNNNNNNNNNNNNNNNNNNNNNNNNNNNNNNNNNNNNNNNNNNNNNNNNNNNNNNNNNNNNNNNNNNNNNNNNNNNNNNNNNNNNNNNNNNNNNNNNNNNNNNNNNNNNNNNNNNNNNNNNNNNNNNNNNNNNNNNNNNNNNNNNNNNNNNNNNNNNNNNNNNNNNNNNNNNNNNNNNNNNNNNNNNNNNNNNNNNNNNNNNNNNNNNNNNNNNNNNNNNNNNNNNNNNNNNNNNNNNNNNNNNNNNNNUUUGUCACUUCUGAUUCGAUAACAUUCUUUCAAGUGCGAGACAAAGAAAGAGGUCAACGCUCAAGUUUGUAUUGUCUCGUCAGAUUCGAGUGCUUGCAUCACCUCCGCCUUCUCUGGUGUUGGAAAUAGAUGUUGGUGAGGAAAACGUGAGUAAGGCAAUUGGAGUUUCAGCCGUCGUCUGCUUUCAAAUGGAAUAAAGCGUGGCAGAGUAAAGAGGCAGGUUAGUCCCGUGAGUGAAGAUGGGAAGGAGAUGAAGGGUUUUCUCACCAGCCAUGUGUGAUGUUGUUGGAGUCGUCGGAGAUGUAGCUGAUCAAGCAACUGGUGAAUGGUGAUGAUGGAAGACGAGAGGUGAAGGAGCCAAUGAGGGGUUGGAGACGCUGCUUGGGGCUUUAUUUACUAUAUUUUGUUAAUUUUAUUAAUAUUUUAUUAAUAUAUUAUUAAUAUAUUAUUAAUAUGAAAAGGUAAAAUAAUGAAUAUUAAAUUAUUAAGGGUAAAAUAGUCUUUUUAUAACGGACAGGGACCAAGCGUGCAACAAAAAUAUAAAUUAGGGACGGUCCGAAUUAAAAAAAGUUGUUAGGGACCAAGCUAGCAGAUUACCCUAAACCACAGGGACCAUCCGUGUAAUUUACCCAAACAUUUUAUAUAAAAAAAUUAUUUAUAUGCAUGUUUUAUGUUAAUGUAUUUCCAAUUAAAAGGAUUUUACCAUGUUUUUUUAAUUCUCAGGAUAAGAUAACUAAAUAAAAUAUAUCUUGACAAUGUUUGUAUCCUGUAUCAAAAUUCCUGGCUCCGCCACUGUGAUUUGAAAGUCUUAUAUGUUUGGUUAAUAUAGUUUCAAUAAUUGCUUAGUAGGUCAUUUUUGUUUAUAAACUGAUUUUCAUACCAUUUUAAUUUAAUUUAUAUUUUUUGUAGUUAUGAUUUAAAAAAAAAUAUUUUUAAUUUUGUUUUUAAGAAAUAAAUAAGGGGCCAUCCUCUCUCUCUCUCUCUUUCUCUGUCUCUCUCUCUCCCUCUGACGCCAUCCUCCCAACACCAUCGCCGCAACAACAUACAUGUUGGAGAACUGAUGUGUAUAUUUAAUGCACUGGUUUUUUAUUUAUAAUUCCUAAUUUAUCGCAUCUAAAUCACACCUUACAGGCAGUGAACCCGAUCGAGUAUAGUAUAGCUUUGAUAAGCAAGGGUGUCGAACACAAGGGGAACAGUAGUGAAUUAAUUUAAAAUAUUUGAUUAUAGGUUACAAAACAUACGAAAGGAAUAAAUAAAUGUUUAAUUAAAUCUCAAACGAAUUUCUAAAUAGCAAAUCUCGAUAAACUGGCAGGAAGACAAAUCUCUUUAGGCACUUUGGUUUAGACAGAUUACACCUUAAAAUCAUAGACAAUUGCACACACAUAUUUAUUUAUUCAUGUUCACCGAUUUCUAAAAUGAUUAGGUUCAUGUUCAUUAUUACUAAUCCUUUAGCAAACAAGUCAAUUNUUAAAACAUAGACAAUUGCAUACACAAAUUCAUUUAUUCAAUGUUCACCGAUUCCUAAAAUGAUUAGAUUCGCGUUCACUAUAACUAAUCCUUUAGCAAACAAGUCAAUUCAAACAGUGAUCAGUUGAUUAAACUAACAUGUUUCCUAGUGUUCAGUUCGUAUCAAGCAAGACUUGUAAAAAUAGUUAAUCAAAUUGGUCAUUCAAUUAACCUCUUGUUGAUGGUCAUCAAACAAGGCUCACACGUUAACUUACUUAUUUCCAAGUUAAUCCUAGUUUCACAUUCGUUAUUCCUAGACUUAUAAUCUCGAUGGUCAUCAAAAUCAUAAGAGACAAGCAAUCAAGCAGAUGUUCAUACAACUCAAUUUACUUAAUAAUUAACAGCAAAUAAUUAUCAUUAACACAUAAGGAUCUUUUAACAAGCUUGGAAAGAUAAAUUAAACAUAAACAAACAAUUAAAUAUAGCAAUUAGUCCAAUAAAUAAUGUUUCAUUCAAUCAUAAACACAAAGUAAAAGGUUUUUACACCUAAAUCAGAAACUAAACACAUAAUAGUAUCACAAUGGAAUGCUAAACAUGGUCACGUUAACAACCCAUAUGAUUACCGACAUGUAUCCGCUCUCCAAUCCUUCCGGUCUCCGCUCCCGUUAACUUAACGGCCUUCCGGCCGCCUUCUAGACCCUCAAAACGGAUUAACAGAAGUUAAUUAUCGACUAAAUUAGGUUAGAAGUCGAAUCCCCCCUUCUGGUUAGCUGAUAAUCGCUUUUUAUAACCCGUGUAACCGACUUACGUACGCUGGGCGUAAGUCGGAUUACCCUGGGCGUACUGAAGAUUAAUUCGCGAUGAGGAAAUCCGGAUGCAAGCAGUUACGCUGGGCGUAACCAUAUAUUACGCUGGGCGUAACUCUUUUUUACNUUCGCUAUUACGCUUGGCGUACAUGUCCAUUACGCGGGGUGUAAUUGACUCUUCCAACAUUUUUUUCUUUCUUUUAGCUUGUAAGCCCUAAUUCCGCUCUAGUCUUUUCUUUUGUGCUCCAUCAACAACGAAUAGCUGCAAAUCAUAAUUCAAAGCAUUAUAAGUACUUUUUAGUUCUAAAAGAGAAUAAUAAAGGCUAAAAUAUUAAGAUAUAAUGUAUAAAAAUAUAUAUAAAAAUACACAUUUCAAAAUACCCCACACUUAACCUUUGCUUGCCCCCAAACAAAUUUACUUUUAUUUUACCAAUAUCGCACUAAACAAUCCAUUUUAAACUCAACCAUUAUGUCAAAACCGCAACCAUGCAUUUGUGUCUAAAAUUUUCCUAAAGUACCCCCCAUACUUUAAAUACUCACAAUCUUCAUAAACACUUGCCCAAUUCUUUCGAACAAUGCUCAUUUUAUGCAUCCCUCAGAAUCCAUCCGCAGAAAACCUCCUAACCUCAAGGUGUUUUUGGUUGAGCAACCCAAGCAUACAUAAUCUAGAAUUACAAUUUACGAUACCACUAUGGAGCUCUUUUUGAAUUCUUCACUUCCUUGAUAAUUUAAUCUUUGAUUUCUUUGAAUUCACCACCUUGUUUGAUUUGAUUUCUGGUAUCUUCAAUUUUUGAACUCUUGGAAUUUUGAUCUUUUGUUCUUCACUUUAGUUGCUCCAAAAUUCUUCAAACUUUUCUUGCAAUUCUCUCUCUCUCUCUCUCUCUCUUUUAACAUGUACCUCACUUUUUUUUCACUCAAAACCCUACAUGCUUAAGCAGGGUCGCUCAACUUCAACCUUUAUUGGCUAACGAUAAUAAUUUUCCUGGAUAUAUUUCUGGUACACGAUGCUAAACAUAUUGCAUCCCUCAAACCAAGCGGGGUUAUGUUUUUGUUCCAUGAUUUCACUAAAAUAAGGGAGGCCACAAAUGCACUAUAACGUGUAUUGGCUCAACUAAACAUUUGAGUUCUCAUCGGAUCAUCUCAUACAAUAUUAGCAAAAAAUUUUAAAUUAUCACUAGAUCUAGCAAUUUCCAAACUAUUAUUUUAUUUUUUUUAUAAUUUACUUUUACCGACCCCCUACCCCACACUUAUUUCAUAAAAUGUCCUCAUUGUAUGCAUAAAACUAAUUAAGCACAUAAAAAGGGAGAAAAAGGAACAGACUCCCCUGGGGUAGUUGUAGCGAGAUCGAAUGGGGCUGCUACAAGUUGCUUCAAAUAUUGCUGAAAGACUGAGAAUUGGGACUGCUGCUUCUAAAUUUGCCGAUAGAUAUAAUCAAGAAUGCCGACUUCGAGAAUGUGGUGCAAAAGAUUGCAAACAAAUGCAAUGUAUAGUAACCAUGACGUGGGAAAGUGUCGACCACGUCGUCUCGUCAAGAAUGACAACCUCUUCUCGCGAUGAAAACUCCCCACAACAUAGGAAAGUGUCAACCAUGUCGUGGCAGCCGGGAUGAUACUUCUACCUCGCGUCGAAAUAGAACUCUAUGGUGUGGGAACAACUCAUCCAUACCAUAAAAGUUAAAAAUAAAAUGUCACUCUUCUAAAUAAUCGCUCACGAAAUCAAUAUGCACCCCACACUUAUGACAAAUCGUGGGUCUUGACUAUAAUCUUCAAACUCUCACACGGCUCUCUCUAGCAACAGUCGGACCUAGCUGCCGAACUUACUGCUAGCUUUCUAAGGGCGAAAAUUCUGCAAAGAUCUAAACAACCAAAGAGCAUCAACAUGGAAAACAAAAGUAAAAACACCCUAAAUUAAACUUAAUUACAUACCAAAUAAAAAAAAUACUAAUACUAAGCAACACAAAAAUAAACUAAAAAUAACACAAAAAUAAAAAUAAAAAGGAUAACUAAAUCACUCGUCAUCUCCUUCAUCAUGCUGCUGUGUCCCAGAAGUACCGGCUCCAUCAGGUCGUGACUGAAAUGGUGGAAGAAAAGGAACCGAGUACUGAAACCCCUGGUGGGCAAAGAAUGCGGUCAACGCAUCCCCAUACCACUGAUGUUGUCUCUCCACGUGUGCAACGCGCUCCCCCAGGCUCUGAAAUCCCUCGUCCAUAUGCUGAGCCAGAUAACGUAUAUCAAUCUCCGGCUCAGGUCCUUGCUGCGCUCCCCGAGGAGCAGGUCUACGCCACUGGAUUCGUCUCGGCUGUGGCUCGACUGCACCCUCCUCGUCUGCCACGUCAUCUGGUCGUACCCGCAAGACACCAUCUCUGCCCCGCUCAAGUACACGCAUCGACUCUAAUAACUGAAGGCUCAUCGGCCUCAUAUCAUGAAAUACCAUCUAUCUCGUAAUCUAACGCGUCAACAAUUGAUAUGAUCGAGCUAAUUGCGUGAUAAAAUGCCCCCCGCAAAUCGGGCUAUCCUCCCGAAGUCCCCUGGCCCUCCUACCCAAAUAUGCGGCUAAAGCAACUGGAAGGUUCAGGUGCCUCCCUGGAGUAACAAGUGCCCAUAAGAAAUACAAGUCUGUCGAAGGCACUCUCUCACUGUUCUUAUGGUGCGUGAGAGAUAUGGAAAUCAAACGGUGCAGCAGUCUGUAUGUGGUAGACCGAAUCAUCCUCCCCCGUGCAGUAGAUAGCGUAUAUACUCCCCCUGUAAUCUCGACCCAAAAGUGUUUUCAUUAUAGUCAUCUAGCCGGCCCGUGAGACAAUCAACAAGGAAUGCCGGGAAGUGGACACUCCUCGUCUCAUCUGUUGUAUAUAUCCCAACUCGAGUGGCGAGCUCAAUCACACUGCACUCCCGACUCACACCACCCAGUCUGAAAGGAAAAGGGUGUCCUAUCAUCGCGUGUCUUCCUAGGGUCAUAGGAAACUGUAGCGUAAAACUCCAGCAAAAAUUCCCAAUACACCGGCUCCUGGAUCCUGAACAGUCGUGCCCAUCCCUGACAUACGAACAAAUGCACUCCACUCGCGUCCGAGUGCGUGUAUUGCAAAAAAUUCCGGAUCAGCGCAGCAAGUCCAGUCUGGGUCGCCAAUUCCCAGUCAAAUGAAGGUUCUAUGUCGAUCUCCUUAGUGAGCAGCAAACUCAAAUUGUUGACAUAUCGGGCCCGGGUUGCAUCAUUUAGAGUUUGCGGAAAUUGUAAGAAACGGUGAUCCGUCACGUCCUCGGGUGGGUUGGUCCUUUGAGUUCUUCGGGCCAUAAUCCGCACAAAUAAAUACCAACACAAAACCAAACAAAAUAUCCACAACAUUAACAAUUUUAGACUAAAAUAGUGGUCCUGGUCAUGGUUUGUACGCUGGGCGUACAUCCAGCAUACGCUGGGCGUACGUCCAGAUUUACGAAUCUGUCCUGGUGUCCCAGCUUGUUCUAAGGCCAUAAACAGUCAACAUAUAUUCACACGAGAAUCAUGAAGGGUAGUCAAAAUAUGGGCAAACUACUUAGGCAUACGUCGAACGAAAUCGUAUCUGAACCUAUUCGUCACUGCCCUAAACCGUAUCACUCUUUCAACAGCAUUAUACCAAGAACUGCGCAGGGCAGUCCGUCAAUGGAAGGUUUUCGCUAGGCCCAAACCCCUAAAGACGAAUCGAUGGCUAUUGCUCGGGAUUAAGGCCAAAUUAAGUCCUAGGGUUUAGUCUAUUGACCGAAAUUGGCCUUAUUUAUGCCAUAAUCAAACAUACAACUGUGAAAUCGGCCCCCAUUCAAGAAAAAGAUGAACCCUAGAAUUCGAAAAAGGCAAUAUGCAGCUAAUUUCACUGAUUUAAACACAAAUCAAAGACAUAGAGUAUCCGAAUAGCAUACCUUUGUGUCGAUUCUACAAGAAAAGAAGAAAAAUCGGAGAUCUUUUGGGAGAACUUGUCGUCACAGCGUAUGCAGCGAAGGAAGAGAAAUUGAAAGAAUAACAAAAAAGUCAAAGGGUAAAAUGAUAAAACCUGUCGUCGAUUUACGCUGGGCGUAAAUUCACAUGUACACGGGGCGUACCUCCAACUCCGGAAAGAAGCAUCCGCGAUCAAUGGUUCAUUACGCUUGGCGUAAGUUAAAAUUACGCUGGGCGUAAUUUUAACUGAAAUAUUUCCUUUCCCUUAUUUGAAAUUCCUUUUUCCAACUAAUUAAUUUGGGAACUUAUAAUUAUUAUUAUUUUUUUUCUUUUAAUUGCUUCACAACAGCCAUGACUUUCCGAUGAGUGACAUUAAAAAAUAAAUGAGACGUCAUGAUCACUUGUGUUUGUCGAGAUCAAACAACAACGGUUGAUUAAAACCCUUGCACGCAAGAAAUGGUUUGUGAAAACAACCACUUUCGGGACCCGUUAGAAUAUUUCCUUUGUUUUCUUCGCACCUUUAACUAAAAGUAGAACAAGAAGUGACCUAACUAGUCAAGAACAACAAGAGCUCGGUCUUCCACUUAACCACCAAAAUACGCCUUACUAUACUACGCCUCAUGGAUUGAGUUGGACAAAUCAACAAAGUAGUAGGUUAAGCAGGUCAAGAAUUCCCUAAUCGCUUGCAUUCUCGAAACCCAUGCAAAAGGCAAAGUCAAACAAUGUGUAUGAUCCCAAAUUCCUGAAUUAACAACAAGAACCUUCCUGACAAGUGAAAUGAUAUCAUCCAAAAUAAAACUAUUAGAAAAUUAAAAACUAACCAAAAACAAAUAACGAAUAAUCAAAUAAACUAAAUUAAUUUCAAGCCGUUCCCCGGCAACGACGCCAAAAACGUGAUGUGUAUAUUUAAUGCACUGGUUUUUUAUUUAUAAUUCCUAAUUUAUCGCAUCUAAACCACACCUUACAGGCAGUGAACCCGAUCGAGUAUAGUAUAGCUUUGAUAAGCAAGGGUGUCGAACACAAGGGGAACAGUAGUGAAUUAAUUUAAAAUAUUUGAUUAUAGGUUACAAAACAUACGAAAGGAAUAAAUAAAUGUUUAAUUAAAUCUCAAACGAAUUACUAAAUAGCAAAUCUCGAUAAACUGGCAGGAAGACAAAUCUCUUUAGGCACUUUGGUUUAGACAGAUUACACCUUAAAAUCAUAGACAAUUGCACACACAAAUUUAUUUAUUCAUGUUCACCGAUUUCUAAAAUGAUUAGGUUCAUGUUCAUUAUUACUAAUCCUUUAGCAAACAAGUCAAUUCAAGCCGUGAUCAAUUGUUUAAACUAACAUGUUUCCUAGUGUUCAAUUCGUAUCAAGCAAGACUUGUAAUAAUAGUUAAUCAAAUUGGUCAUUCAAUUAACCUCUUGUUGAUGGUCAUCAGUCAAGGCUCACACAUUAACUUACUUAUUUCCAAGUUAAUCCUAGUUUCACAUUUGUUAUUCCUAGACUUAUAAUCUCGAUGGUCAUCAAAAUCAUUAGAGACAAGCAAUCAAGAAGAUGUUUAUACAACUCAAUCUACUUAAUAAUACCAGCAAAUAAUUAACAUUAACACAUAAGGAUCUUUUAACAAGCUUGGAAAGAUAAAUUAAAUAUAAACAAACAAUUCAAUACAACAAUUAGUCCAAUAUCAAGGUUUCAUUCAAUCAUAAACACAAAGUAAAAGGUUUUUACACCUAAAUCAGAAACUAAACACAUAAUAGUAUCACAAUGGAAUGCUAAACAUGGUCACAUUAACAACCCAUAUGAUUACCGACAUGUAUCCGCUCUCCAAUCCUUCCGAUCUCCGCUCCCGUCAGCUUAACGGUCUUCCGACCGCCUUCUAGACCCUCAAAACGGCUUAACAGAAGUUAAUUAUCGACUAAAUUGGGUUAGAAGUUGAAUCCCCCUUCUGGUUAGCUGAUAAUCGCUUUUUAUAACCCGUGUAACCGACUUACGUAUGCUGGAUGUAAGUCGGAUUACGCUGGGCGUACUGAAGAUUAAUGCGCGAUGAGGAAAUUCGGAUGCAAGCAGUUAUGCUGGGCGUAACCAUAUAUUACGCUGGGCGUAACUCGUUUUUACUAUUACGCUUAGCGUACAUGUCCAUUACGCGGGGCGUAAUUGACUCUUCCAACAUUUUUUCUUUCUUUUAGCUUGUAAGCCCUAAUUCCGCUCCAGUCUUUUCUUUUGUGCUCCAUCAACAACAAAUAGCUGCAAAUCAUAAUUCAAAGCAUUAUAAGUACUUUUUAGUUCUAAAAGAGAAUAAUAAAGGCUAAAAUAUUAAGAUAUAAUGUAUAAAAAUACACAUAUCAAGAACCAUAACUUCAUCGCCGCCCCACUUUGUCGGAUCACCAUUUUCUAAUGGUAGACGUUUAUUUGGGGCUUAAAUCUAUAUCAUCUCCAUCUCUGAGGCCUUCAAGACGGUGACCAUCCCAAAUCUCCUUCUCCCUCAGAAAAGAUCGAUGAAAUUAUUAGUCUUUGACUCGCUUCACUUCCACAAUUGUUGGAUUAAGGUGUCUAAGAUCCUAACUAAAUUUGUAUAAUAUUGAUGAAUAAAAGUAAAGUCCUUUUUGGGUUACCCUCAUAACCAGUAAAUAGUUUGGAUUGAUCAAAUGGGAGAGAUAAAUGAUCUAUUAAUAUAUGAAUCAGAAAUAGUUAAUAAUUAAUUAUGAAUUAAUUAAAGAUAAUCAAUUAAUUAUUAAUCAAAAUUAAUCUGGAAUUAAUUCGGGAUUAAUUGGAAUUAAUUAAAGGUGCAAGAUGUGAAUUGUAAUUGUUCAAUAGUUGAACAAGAAAGGCAAUUCUAGAAUGUACCAAGGCAUAGACGGGUUUGGGAGCCUCUUUAGGGUUUCCAGAAGCCUCCUGGUAGCAGAUAAGGAAAAGAUUUGAAUUAAGGAUUAAAUCUAUUAUUUAAUCAUUCAAAUCCAACUUUGUCUGUAAGUUACCUAAACUAUAAAUAGGACCAUUUGGACAACUAAUUUCGUGGAUUAUCAUACAUAUAAGGUGGAGAGCACAAUUCUCCUCAUCCUCUCCCAUCUCUCCUUCAAUCCUAGGGUUUCUUGAUAUUUGGGUGUGACGUAUUAGAGACCGCCAUACUUUUGGAGCUAGUUUUUCAAGGAGACUAAAAAGGGUAUUUGAUUAGCUUGUUUCGAAUCAAGCAAGAGGUAUGUGGUUCUAUUCAUGAAUUUGAUUAAUAGGGUUUAUAGUUUUGUUUCAUAAGUAUGUUGCUAUUAUUUGAGAAAAGACAUAAAUCCAAUUUAGGUUGCAUGUAACCUUAAGUGUUAAGUGAAAUCUCACAAGUACAUUUGUAACCUAAAGUAUCCUACCAGUGCUAUCAGAGCCUGUGACAACCCGACAUUUCGAAACAAUAUAAUGUAACACCAGUCAAAUUUAGGCCAAAAUUUAACUUUCCUACAAUCUUAUUUGGGUUAAAUAAAGUGGUAGGAAUCGUAUCAAGGUUUUCAUACAUAUAAAGAACACUAAAGUCCGAGUUAUAACGAAGAAGUUAUGACCAAUCGAAGAUUCUCGACAAAACCGACAACACCGAUUAAACGAAAAACGCAAAGUUUCAAUACAAUAGUUUUUAGCCUUAAGUAUCUAAAUGAAAGUUGUAGAUAACAUUAAACCGUAAACGUACGUAAAAAGAACGUCCAAAUCUGACUUCAUAUAAGAAAGUUAUGAUUUUUCCAAGAUUCGGAUAUAGCAGCAGACAGCUAAAAACUCGAAAUAGAGAUCGAGAGACUUUUUGCCAAAACAAACUAAAUGAUAAUUGAAGGUCUCAAAAAUAUUAGCGCAACGGUAAAAAUUCUGACGAAAACGGACAACGGAUGAAGAAGUUAUGGAUUUUUAAUGGAUUUUUCGUGUCCCGGCCCGUUAAAAAUAAAUAAUUAAAAAUAAAGUCAAAAUUUGCCAAUGAAGUCUAAACGAGAGUUGUAGAGCAUAUUUUCAGCUACACGUGCAUAUAAAGAACGUCGAAAACAGAGCUCGUACGCAGAAGUUACGAAUUUUACAAGUUCGAGACACAAAAUUCGAGGCCGUCAGGCUGGCCACGACGUGGCACAGAUGGCCACGACGUGGCACAUUGACUGAUGGGGUUUUCAGGCUUCGUAGAAGACGUCUUGUCCAUGGAAGAAGAUAAGGAUCGACCACACGACGUGGCAACCUUAUGGCCAUGACGUGGGACCCCAAAAGUUGGCCUAUAAAUAGAUUUCAAGGGUUUUCCGAGUUAGGUGCUCAUCUCUUUCCAUCUAAGUGCUGUUACUUUGCGAAAUUACCUCGAUAAACCAUCCCGAAGCCCCAGUUUUCACACUCAAGUCCCGAAGGAAGUUCUACACUCUCUAGAGUCCCGAGAAUCCCGAGAUUUUCCCGCGUUUUCAACUUUUCAUGUCGAAGUUCUGCUCGAUUCUUCUCUCGACUACUUCAAAUCAACCACUUCAAUCAAGUGAGUUCAUACCCCUAUAAUCUACACUUUCAAAUGCUUUAUAAAUGCUUUUUAUACACUUUUAAGGGGGGAAUACAAGUAAACACACGGUUAUCCCCGUGUGAAAGACAUAAAUCUUUGUUAUACUUUUUGGUUAUGUAAUCAAUCACAUGUGAUUUAUAAUUAACAUACAAUUGGACUUACUACACUUUUAGCCGUUUCACCAAACAGAGUACUUCAAAUAGCUUUCUCAAACGUUUUUACAUGUUAAAACACUUUUAGAAACUGUCUUACAAACUGUAUGUUUCCUCUUUGAAUCUGUUAUAGCUGUGCUUCAAACAAAGGUUUUCUUACACUUAAAUUGUCUUGUCAACUGUUUUCGAAUCGUUUUAUAAACUGACAUCAAGUCAAAAAUUCUUAUUUAUUAAACUUUUCAAAGGUUUUACAAAACUUCUUUUAUACUUUUAUAUUGUUAAAUGCUUGCCUAUAUAUGUAUAGUUAAAUAAGAAAGGUUUAAAAGACUUAGAACGGCUAGCUCGCCUUAUUUCUUUUUUUUUUCUCGUUGGGAUGUGGCCUUAGGGUAUUAGUUAUUCGUCCGAAUGCCAUCUAAAUAUUAGUUAUAUAUCAUGUAUACCUAUAUAGACAUAAAAGUUCCAUCAGUUAGUUCAGUUCCGACACUCUUGGGUAGCAAGGGUGUAUAAACCUACUUGGACACUCAUCAAUUACAUUCCAGUAAACUAUUAUAGGAAUAGUUUAGGGGAUACAAAAAAUUAUUCCUAUUACAAGGAUUUACACCAGAGUCAAUUCAUUCAUGAGUCUAUACUAAAUGCUAUAUGAAGGGAUACUCUUACAGAGAUUCCUCUUACAUGGAUACACUUAUAUGGAUACUCUUACAGGGAUACUUUUACAUAGAUACUAUAUGAUAAGAUACUAUUACAUAUUAUUAGUGUAGAUAUUAUUAGAUUAGAUCUGUCUAUACUAGUACCAAAGGAUAGUAUAGGGGGUUAACCACUCCUAAUCCCUCUGUUAGCUACAGAGGUAAAUGCACAUCUACGAAUGUCUACGGUUGAUACCAUUACAGGUAUACUUAAGGGACUAACUAUUCCUACACCCGACUGUUAGCAACAGAGGUAAAUGCACAUCUACGAAUGUCUACGGUUGAUCCAUUUACGGCGAGUUUCUACACAGUAUUUUUUCUAGUACCAAAGGAUAAUACCUAAGUUAUUAGCUCAUUAUCUUUAUUUUGUGAUACAUUCACAUAAGGACGGGGUAGACUAAUACCUAUAUAAUUAUAUUGUUACCUUUAUUUGGUGUCACGUUCACAUAACCGACGAGGUAGAUCAUACGGGAAUAUCUUAGUACCAAAGGAUACAACAUAAGUUAUUAUAUUAUUACUUUUAUAGCUUUAUAAUAAUAGUUAAACAUGGGAAAAACCGUCACAUUUACAGUGAUGCGUACUUCCAAAACAUUCAGGUCUUGGCAGAAGACUACUUUCAAAACAGUUAGGUCUAGGUAGAAGACUACUUUCAAAACGAUCAGGUCUUGGUCGAAGACUACUUUCAAAACAUCCGGGUCUUGGUAGAAGACUACUUUUUAUACUAGUAGGAAAUAUGGGAUUUUUUAGGGUUUUCAUACUUAUACUAAAUGUUUCAUCAAAUAUUCACUAGUCUUUCAUAACAACUUUUCCAAGCAAUAACAUUAAAAUACUUAUGAAUUCACCAGCUUUAUUGCUGAUACUCGCUUUCAAAAUAACUUGUAUUGUCAGGUUACAAAUAGACAGGUACCGAUGCAAGGUUUAGAGAAGACGGAGCAGUCAAGACUCGUCUUUUAUUUUGAGUAUUCAUUAUGUUGUUUUAUACUAUGAAUGAACACACUUGUAAGCAGAAUUAUUCUAUUAAUGCAAUGGAUGAUGUUGUUGCUUGUUUACUACUUUACAUUGUUGUGAUACAAUACAUGACGUCCUCCACCCCAGAACGUUUCCGCUAUUCUCGGUUUUGGGGUGUGACAGAGCCACGCUUUUCUAUUAGUAGUGCAUAAAAGAUGAAACAAGAAAACUAAUAAAAAUAAAAAAUUUGUUAUGACCACUUCGUGAACAGUCCUCCGCCACGAGGUGACGACUGCUAAAAUCCGAUUUUGGGAUUUUCUUGACUUAUUCAAAAGAUAGGAUAAUUAUUAGUUAUCUCAUUAUUUUAAAUGUAUAAAAUCAGAAUAUAAUAACCGGAUAAUUAGAAAUCCUAAUUUGAAUACAAGGAAGAUUUAAAAAAGGUAAUUAUCUAAUUAUAAAAUAAUUAGAUCAUAUGAUUAUCCUUCAAUAAGAUUUCUAUUAAUUAAUCAAAGGUUUAAUUAAAGAUAAUUAUAAAAUCUUAAUUAGUUCAAAUAUUAAUUAAUUAAAGAUUAAUUGAAUUAAUAUGAUUUGAACCUUUUAAUUUAAAAGGUUUUAAAAUAUACCCUAUACAUAUGUAUAAAAGUAUAUUACUAUAUGUAUAACUAAAAGUCAAUCAAAUUAAUAGUAGACCUCAUUCAUGUAGCUACACUCUAAGAGAUGUAUAAGAAAACGACCUAUAAAAUGACCGUUGAACGGGUGUUCUUUUCACCCAUCGUUCUUUGUAUGGUGGAGGGUCGUUAACCGAACGGGUUUGAUAGGACACUAAUCACAUAAAAAGUAUAAUGUAUAAAGUACUAGAAACUUCUAUAAAAUCCCACUAUAGUUACUUUAGGAAAAAUGUGAAAUUGUAUGUUAAUCCAUGAAAACGCACUGUAACACUCAUUUCAGGUAUCUUUUUAUUUUUCAGAAUUUAGGGUUUUAUAGUGGAACUCGACGAGUUGGGGAGCUACAACUCGUCGAGUAGAGUUCAUUUAUGGGACGCGGAAUCUAGGACCUACUCGACGAGUUGGAAGGCCUAACUCGACGAGUAGGCGUUGUAAAGGAAAAACCCUAAUUUUAGGGUUUGCACCCUAUAUAAUCUCCUUAAAACCUUGAGGCUGACCUUCCAUCAGCCUCCAAACCCUAAGAACGUCUGUGCUAAACCCUAAUCCCCAUUUCCUCUCAUAUUGUGAGCUAGAUUGACUUUUGGAGCUUAAGAAGAAGAAGAUAGUGAGAAGAAGGAGAAGAUCCAACAAGCAAAGCUCUUACUCUUGAGCUUAGCAAUCUUGUGGACUAUUGGGUUUAGCCUCUUUGCGAUGGUUGUAAUAGUAUAAUUAUGACAGUUCUGAUAUAUUUUUAGUUCAUUUCAAUAUGGUGCUCAUGAGAGGAUUUGGUUCUGGAGUUGGUGGCUAGGAUAGGUGUGACAUCCCCAUAUUUCUCGGCCAGAAAAGACCGAUUUUAUUUAUGCUUUUUAAAAUAAAAUCAGAGAAAUCUUUUUAUAAGAUAUUGCGGAAUUGGUCCCCAAACAAUAUAUGAUAAAAGUUUAUCAAAAUCCUUCAUUAAGAAGGUAUAUAUUUUCCAUAUAUAUAUAUCAAAACCUCGGGAUGUCAUGUUCCGAUACAGAUCAAAAGCAUAAACAAGACAUUAUAAGCCUUUCAACAGUUAUUUACAACUACUGGCCUAUAAUCCAAAAAUCUCUCGUCAUCCUCCGACUAUGCUCGGGGUCCACUACCUGUAAUCAUAAAACUGAGUGGGUCAGGCUUGGGAGCCUGGUGAGCAUAUAGGGUUUUCAACCCACAAUAAUAAUAUACUUAUUAAGUUCACCAAUCAACAAUAACCCUGAUUACCCAUUCCCGUUGUCCUCACUUUACGUCCCUAAACCCCUAUCACAAGGGACCUAGCCUAAGGAUUAUCAUCGGGAUGGACACUACUGCUAAGGGGUUUCCUCAGCCAUACAUGUCCUUAAGGCAACCAUGAGGGGGAUGAAGUACGCCAAUGAACAUUUAAUUCAUCAACACCUACAAGUUGCGAACCUGCUAGUGUUCCACUGGACUAUCUAGAAAGUCCGUGGUCGUCAUCUAUACUUCGCUAGAUGACUACAACAACAACACAACAUCGACAUCGAGGCCUCUCACCAUUUUAACACACAUCAACUAUUUCAUCUACCCAUGUUCUACCCAACAUAUUUUGUAGAUAAAAAGCAUAUACAGUUUAAAACUUGUAUAAAACAUCAAUUCAACAGUCACCUCGAAUAAACAAUUAGCAUAUUUACACAUAACACGUAUUUCAAGGUAAAUACUUCAUAUCUAUGUGUAAAUUGAAAGUAACUACACACUCACUUAUUUUGGUGAAAAUCGGGCAGCAAUUCGUUUCCUAAAACGAUCGUUUCUAAUAAAACCGGGAGUUUUAUUGAGAAACCGGGCUCUGCAAAAGUCGGGCUUCGAAACCGAAAAGAUAAAUUUUCCGGGCUUCUCGGGCACUUCGUGGGGUAUUCCGGGCUUUACAAUUGAUACCGGGGCUUUGCGGGAUGUUAAGAUGAAGAAAAUAUGGAGAGAGGGGCUAAAAAUGGCUAAAUUCCAAAAGUAACCGGAAACCCUCGCAGGUACCCUUCUAUUUAUAGGGUCCGAAGUUUGAUCCAACGGCUGAGAAGUCUCCUGAUCCGACGGCUAAGAGGCUUCGCAGGGGGGGUCUCGCACAUGGCUCGCAUGGCUCGCACAUGGCUCGCACAUGCGAGGGCUCGCUGUCGGCUUCUAAGUGGACCGCGGCUUGCUGGCGCACCUGCGAGGCUCGGAGCUAGGCUAUGCGAGGCUCGGACACACGCGGCAGCUGGGCGAAGCUUCGGCUGGGGAGCUGGCUGCUUCGGAUUGGGCCUCCUCCUCGGUCGAAUCAGAAGAGGACACGUGGCUCGCAUGACUCAGCAGCCUCGGUGACUCAGCAGCCUAAUGACUCAGCAGCCAGGUGACUCAGCAGGACACGUGUCACUUUCUAAGCGAGGGUGACGUGGCAAUUGUGACUAUGCGAAAUUUCUCGGUUUUCGUGCCAAAACUUCUAAAAUCCAUAACUUUCGCAUACGAGCUCCGUUUUUGACGUUCUUUAUAUGCACGCGUAGCUAAAAUUACGAUCUACAACUUCCGUUUAGACUUCGUCGGCUAAUUUUGACUUUAAUUUUUAUAUUAUUAUUUUUAACAGACCGGGACAGGAAAUCCGUUAAAAAUUCAUAACUUCUUCAUCCGACGUCCGUUUUCGUCAGACUUUUUACCGUUGUGCUCCUAAUGACGAGACCUUCAAUUCUCGUUUAGGUUGUGUCGGCUAAAAAUCGCUCGAUCUAAAAUUCGAGUUUUUAGCUGUCUACUGCUACGCUGAAACUUCGAAAAAUCAUAACUUCCUCAUACGAAGUCAGAUUUGGGCGUUCUUUUUAUCGAACUUCUCGGUUUAACGAAUACUACGACUUUCGUUUAGAUUACUAAGGCUAAAAAGUAGUUUAUCAAAAACUCACUUUUUACGACAUUCAGCACCGUGCCGGUUUUGUCGCGAAACUUCGACAGGUCAUAACUUCUUCGUUAUAACUCGGAUUUUGGUAUUCUUUAUAUCCCCGAAAUCCUUGUUUCGACCACUACAACUUUAUGUAAAGAUAUCGGGCUUAUCUCACACUUUAAUUUUGACGCUUAUUUUUAUUCUUAAUUAAUUAAGCCCUAAUAAUUAAGCAUAAAACACAUAAUUCACAUAAUAUUCACAUAAUUCCUUUUCAUUUCUUCAAAAUGAGUUACAAAGGUUAACCUAGACUAUCAACUCAAUAUAAAUGCCUAGGCUAGAAACACGAGUGUUACAAUUCUCUCCCCCUUAGGAUGAUUCCGUCCCCGGAAUCACAUAUCACCAAACAACUGCGGGUAGCGACUCAUCAUGUCACUCUCCGUUUCCCAAGUGAGAUUUGGUCCAUUCGUAUGUUUCCAGCGCACAAGCACUAAAUCGACCAUCUUGCGUCGUAACUUCAUAGUCUUACGGUCAACGAUUGCCUCAGGUUCUUCGAUCAACCUCUUGUUUUCAUCCAACCUUAACUCAGAAAUCGGAAUUAUGUCGGGCACAUCUCCUGUGAACUUUCUCAAAUAACACACAUGAAAGGUGUUAUGAAUACCCUCUAGUUCUUCCGGUAACUCUAGCUUGUAAGCUUGAUUCCCGAUUCUCUGAAGAACUUUAAAUGGUCCAAUAAACCUUGGACUCAACUUCCCUCUCUUACCAAAUCUUAUAAGUCCCUUCCACGGCGAGACUUUAAGUAAAACCGAAUCUCCAACAUCGAAGGAUAUCGGUUGUCUUUUCUUGUCAGCAUAACUCUUUUGUCGAUCUUGAGCAGCUAACAUCCUUUCCCUUAUCACUUUCAACUUUUCAGCAGUCUCAUGGACUAUUUCAGGUCCCAUAAACUGCUUUUCCCCAGCUUCCAGCCAACAUGAUGGCGUUCGACACUUCUCCCCAUACAAAGCGUGAUAAGGUGCCAUCUUAAUGCUUGAGUGGAAACUAUUAUUAUAGGAGAAUUCUACUAAAGGUAAGUGUUCAUCCCAGUUACCUUGGAAUUCUAGGGUACAUGCUCUCAGCAUAUCCUCCAAUGUUUGAAUCGUUCGCUCGCUCUGACCAUCGGUUUGCGGAUGGUAAGCUGUACUCAAACACAACUUGGUACCCAAUUCCUCUUGUAGACUCCUCCAAAACCUUGAGGUAAAACGGCUGUCACGAUCGGACACAAUCGUUAACGGAACACCGUGAAGCCUCACAAUUUCCUUCACGUAAGAAUUCGCAAGUUUAUCCAUAGACCAUUUCUCUUUGGCCGCUAUGAAAUGCGCACUCUUAGUGAAGCGAUCAACGACCACCCAAAUCAUGUCGUGACCGUUCCUUGUUCUGGGCAGUUUAGUCACAAAAUCCAUGGUGAUGUCUUCCCAUUUACCCAUGGGUACGGGUAAAGGUUCUAAACUCCCAUACGGUUUCUGAUGUUGUGCCUUAACCCUAGCACAAGUUACACACUCGGCCACAUACUUAGCAACAUCGAGCUUCAUCGUCGGCCACCAAUAAUAGGGUUUUAGAUCCCUAUACAUUUUCGUACUGCCGGGAUGAAUUGAGUACAUGGUCUUGUGAGCUUCUUCCAUCAGAAGAUCUCUUAUUCCGCCCGUCUUAGGUACCCAAAUUCUAUCUUGAAAUACCUUCAACCCUUGGUUGUUUGUACCGAACACUAACGUUUUGCCCAAACGUUCUUCCUUUCGGUCAUUUUUCUCUAAAGCUUCCUCUUGAGCUUUCUUUAUACUUUCCACAAUUGUCGAGACAACUUCAAUUCUCAACGCUCUUGGCCUUUUCUUUUCAAGGUUUACCUUCCGACUGAGAGCAUCGGCAACAACAUUUGCUUUACCAGGGUGGUAAAGUAUCUCACAGUCGUAGUCCUUGAGUAACUCUAGCCAGCGUCGUUGCCUCAUGUUCAAUUCCUUCUGAUUAAAGAGAUAUUGGAGACUCUUAUGAUCAGUGAAAAGUUUACACUUGGUGCCAUAAAGAUAAUGCCUCCAUAUCUUCAAGGCAAAUACUACCGCUGCCAACUCCAAAUCAUGAGUGGGGUAGUUCUUUUCAUGUUCCUUCAAUUGCCUCGAUGCAUACGCGAUCACUUUAUCCCUUUGGGUCAGAACACAACCUAACCCAACUCCGGAUGCAUCGCUAUAAACUGCAAAGUCAUCAACUCCUUCGGGCAAUGAAAGAAUCGGUGCUUCACACAAUCUCUUCUUCAACUUCUCAAAGGCUUCCUUAUGCUUCUCAUUCCAAGAAUAAGUGGCUCCUUUGUGGGUCAAAGCUGUUAAUGGAGUAGCAAUCGAAGAAAAGCCUUGGAUAAACCUUCGGUAAUAUCCAGCUAAUCCUAAAAAGCUUCGAAUCUCCGUAGGACUUUUUGGUUGUUCCCACUUCAUUACAGCUUCAAUCUUUGCUGGGUCGACCAUUAUCCCUUCUUGGUUAACCACAUGACCUAAAAAUUGGACUUCUUGAAUCCAAAAUUCACACUUGGAGAACUUUGCAUACAGCUUCUCCUUUUUCAGGACUUCUAGCACUUCACGCAGAUGCUUUUCAUGCUCCUGCUUGCUUUUCGAAUAAAUCAAGAUAUCAUCUAUGAAUACUAUCACGGAUUUAUCUAAGAAUGGUUUACAAACCCUAUUCAUCAAAUCCAUGAAAGCUGCUGGGGCAUUGGUUAGUCCGAACGACAUAACCAAAAAUUCAUAGUGUCCAUAUCUCGUUCUAAAAGCAGUCUUUUCGAUAUCCUGCUCUCUCACCUUUAGUUGAUGGUAUCCCGACCUAAGAUCGAUCUUCGAGAAAUAGCUCGAACCCUGCAACUGGUCGAACAAGUCAUCGAUCCUUGGCAACGGGUACUUGUUCUUUAUCGUCACUUUGUUCAGCUCUCUGUAAUCGAUGCACAUUCUCAUGCUUCCGUCUUUCUUCUUUACAAAUAACACAGGGGCUCCCCAGGGUGAUGAACUAGGUCGAAUGAAACCUUUGUCCAAUAACUCCUGAAGUUGUGUCAUAAGUUCUUUCAUUUCGGUUGGCGCUAAUCGAUAAGGUGCUUUCGCUAUCGGCGUCGUUCCUGGUAACAAGUCGAUACGAAAUUCUACUUGUCGAUCAGGGGGCAAUCCGGGAAGAUCUUCGGGAAAGACUUCCGGAUAAUCACACACCACCGGAAUAUUCUGCACCUCCUUCUUUUCCAUCUUGGCAUCGAUCACGAAUGCUAGAUAUGAUGUACAUCCCUUGGCCAAACACUUUCUGGCUUUCAUUAGGGAAAUGAUUCCAGAGUUUACUCUGCGUUUGUCUCCGUACACCAUAAACGACUCUCUCCCUGGUGGGUUUACUUUUACUAUCUUCUUUCUACAUAGUAUUUCUGCAUCGUUGGCGCUAAGCCAAUCCAUUCCUAAAACUAUGUCGAAUCCAUUUAACUCGAUAGGCAAUAAUUCCUCUUGGAACUUAUUCCCAUCCAAGUCAAUGAGGAUGUUUUUCAUACGAUGGCUAACAGGUACAAACUUGCCACUAGCAAUCUCGACUAUUAUAGCAUUAACUAGCAUAUCUACAGGCAAAGCUAGCUUUCUACCAAAUUCAUGCGAUAUAAAGGAGUAAUUGGCUCCAGAAUCAAACAAAAUUUGGGCAGGCAAUUCGUUUACGAGAAAGGUACCUGAAGCGACAUCGGCUUCUUCUUUCGCAGCUUCGAGGGUCAUCUGAAAGGCUCUCGCCUUCGGCUUUGGUGGUAGAUUGGGUUUUGCUGCGUCCUUCUUCUUCGGGCAGUCCCUCAAAAUAUGCCCUUCUUCAUUGCACCCAAAACAUACGUUCUUAUUGAAGGUGCAUUCAUUGGCAUAAUGCCCUGGCUUUCCACAUUUGUAACAAGUGACUUCCACGCUGCACUUCCCAGCAUGUUUCUUCUUACACUUGUCACACCACUUGGCUUCGCUUCCUCCUCCAAACUUUCUCGAACCAGUCUUCGAGAAUUUGUUCUUUUUAUUGGAACCUGAAGUUCCUUCAAACUUUCUCUUUUCGCCAACUUCAACCUUGCUGGCGGCUCUCCCUUUUAUCAUAUCUUCAACAGACUUGGCAGCCCAGAUAGCUGCCUCCAAAGUAAGUGCCUGACGUACUGGCACCGCAUACUCCCAUGGAAGUCCCUUUGCGUACCUGUCUAUUUUUGCCAACUCAUCUGGGACAAUACGCAAAGCAAACUCCAUUUUGUCUGUGAAGUUAUUUGUAUAUUCGUCAACGGUCAUACUCCCCUUCUGCAACGUUAGAAAUUGGUUUUCUAACUCAAGUACGUUUUGGGCCGAGCAGUACUUGCGCUUGAAGUGCACUAAGAACUCUGCCCAAGUUAAUUGCAGUGGCUCAUUAGGGCUUAGGGUUUUCCCCAAAGUGCUCCACCAACGAGCAGCACUACCCCUGAACUGACGUACUGCAAACGUAGUUUGUAACUUGCCUUGGCAAUCACAAGUCAUGAAAGCCAACUCCAUUUCCGAGAUCCAGUCCAUUACUCCGACAGGAUCUUCUUUUCCAUUGAAGGUCGAUGGCUUGCAAGUCAUAAAGUCCUUAUACUUGCACCCAUUUCUCUCCACUCUACCCUCGUGGUUAUUCCUCCCAACCACAAGCGGUUCACUAUGACCAACCGAUCUGCUAUUGUUCCCUUCUUCAGAUCGAUCGUCAUUUAGUUCACGUUGUUCAACAGGAACUGAAGGUUCAUCCCUGUCGUUCAGCAACAUUUGCCUCAAUUCCUCCCUCUGUUCAGCCAACAUGGCCUGAAUCAUAGUUCGUACUCCAGCCAUGGUGAUGGGUUCGGGUGCAGCUCCUACUAUAGGCACCUGUUCCACCACUGGAGGUUGAGGUUGUUGGUUUCUGUUUGCAUUUCCAGCUCCACUCCGAGUUCUUGCCAUUACAAUCUAUAUACCGAAUAAGGCGAAAUUUAGGUCUUUAUCCUUGUUAGACAUGUCAAUUCCCUUAUCACUCCGAAACGUUUACAUGUUAGUUCUAAUCUCGUAUUCAUACGCUUAGAAUCCUACACACAUAAGGUUUCCAGAUCCGGUCGGCAACAGACCAUAGAUCCGAACAAAUAAUGGCACACAUGGCAAACACAUAGCAUUUAGCACAUAAGGGCAUUUUAGGCAUCUUCCCUAAAAUAAACUAGUGCUCGUGUCUAAAAUAUGGUAGACACUCAUCUCACAAUCAUCACUUAGCAUUCUAAGUUCAAGUCUAGAAAUUCUACAAUUUCUUAGUUCGCUUAAACUAAUGCUCUGAUACCAACUGUGACAUCCCCAUAUUUCUCGGCCAGAAAAGACCGAUUUAAUUUAUGCUUUUUAAAAUAAAAUCAGAGAAAUCUUUUUAUAAGAUAUUUCGGAAUUGGUCCCCAAACAAUAUAUGAUAAAAGUUUUAUCAAAAUCCUUCAUUAAGAAGGUAUAUAUUUUCCAUAUAUAUAUCAAAACCUCGGGAUGUCAUGUUCCGAUACAGAUCAAAAGCAUAAACAAGACAUUAUAAGCCUUUCAACAGUUAUUUACAACUACUGGCCUAUAAUCCAAAAAUCUCUCGUCAUCCUCCGACUAUGCUCGGGGUCCACUACCUGUAAUCAUAAAACUGAGUGGGUCAGGCUUGGGAGCCUGGUGAGCAUAUAGGGUUUUCAACCCACAAUAAUAAUAUACUUAUUAAGUUCACCAAUCAACAAUAACCCUGAUUACCCAUUCCCGUUGUCCUCACUUUACGUCCCUAAACACCUAUCACAAGGGACCUAGCCUAAGGAUUAUCAUCGGGAUGGACACUACUGCUAAGGGGUUUCCUCAGCCAUACAUGUCCUUAAGGCAACCAUGAGGGGGAUGAAGUACGCCAAUGAACAUUUAAUUCAUCAACACCUACAAGUUGCGAACCUGCUAGUGUUCCACUGGACUAUCUAGAAAGUCCGUGGUCGUCAUCUAUACUUCGCUAGAUGACUACAACAACAACAACAACAACAACAUCGAGGCCUCUCACCAUUUUAACACACAUCAACUAUUUCAUCUACCCAUGUUCUACCCAACAUAUUUUGUAGAUAAAAAGCAUAUACAGUUUAAAACUUGUAUAAAACAUCAAUUCAACAGUCACCUCGAAUAAACAAUUAGCAUAUUUACACAUAACACGUAUUUCAAGGUAAAUACUUCAUAUCUAUGUGUAAAUUGAAAGUAACUACACACUCACUUAUUUUGGUGAAAAUCGGGCAGCAAUUCGUUUCCUAAAACGAUCGUUUCUAAUAAAACCGGGAGUUUUAUUGAGAAACCGGGCUCUGCAAAAGUCGGGCUUCGAAACCGAAAAGAUAAAUUUUCCGGGCUUCUCGGGCACUUCGUGGGGUAUUCCGGGCUUUACAAUUGAUACCGGGGCUUUGCGGGAUGUUAAGAUGAAGAAAAUAUGGAGAGAGGGGCUAAAAAUGGCUAAAUUCCAAAAGUAACCGGAAACCCUCGCAGGUACCCUUCUAUUUAUAGGGUCCGAAGUUUGAUCCAACGGCUGAGAAGUCUCCUGAUCCGACGGCUAAGAGGCUUCGCAGGGGGGGUCUCGCACAUGGCUCGCACAUGCGAGGGCUCGCUGUCGGCUUCUAAGUGGACCGCGGCUUGCUGGCGCACCUGCGAGGCUCGGAGCUAGGCUAUGCGAGGCUCGGACACACGCGGCAGCUGGGCGAAGCUUCGGCUGGGGAGCUGGCUGCUUCGGAUUGGGCCUCCUCCUCGGUCGAAUCAGAAGAGGGCACGUGGCUCGCAUGACUCAGCAGCCUCGGUGACUCAGCAGCCUAAUGACUCAGCAGCCAGGUGACUCAGCAGGACACGUGUCACUUUCUAAGCGAGGGUGACGUGGCAAUUGUGACUAUGCGAAAUUUCUCGGUUUUCGUGCCAAAACUUCUAAAAUCCAUAACUUUCGCAUACGAGCUCCGUUUUUGACGUUCUUUAUAUGCACGCGUAGCUAAAAUUACGAUCUACAACUUCCGUUUAGACUUCGUCGGCUAAUUUUGACUUUAAUUUUUAUAUUAUUAUUUUUAACAGACCGGGACAGGAAAUCCGUUAAAAAUUCAUAACUUCUUCAUCCGACGUCCGUUUUCGUCAGACUUUUUACCGUUGUGCUCCUAAUGACGAGACCUUCAAUUCUCGUUUAGGUUGUGUCGGCUAAAAAUCGCUCGAUCUAAAAUUCGAGUUUUUAGCUGUCUACUGCUACGCUGAAACUUCGAAAAAUCAUAACUUCCUCAUACGAAGUCAGAUUUGGGCGUUCUUUUUAUCGAACUUCUCGGUUUAACGAAUACUACAACUUUCCUUUAGAUUACUAAGGCUAAAAAGUAGUUUAUCAAAAACUCACUUUUUACGACAUUCAGCACCGUGCCGGUUUUAUCGCGAAACUUCGACAGGUCAUAACUUCUUCGUUAUAACUCGGAUUUUGGUAUUCUUUAUAUCCCCGAAAUCCUUGUUUCGACCACUACAACUUUAUGUAAAGAUAUCGGACUUAUCUCAGACUUUAAUUUUGACACUUAUUUUUAUUCUUAAUUAAUUAAGCCCUAAUAAUUAAGCAUAAAACACAUAAUUCACAUAAUAUUCACAUAACUCCUUUUCAUUUCUUCAAAAUGAGUUACAAAGGUUAACCUAGACUAUCAACUCAAUAUAAAUGCCUAGGCUAGAGACAUGAGUGUUACAAUAGGCCAAGAUUGACAGAUGAUUACAUCUGUGAGUUGAUCGCUACUGGGGUAGCUGCUGUUCUCCUGGUUGCCAUCCCUGAGUAAUUUGAGUCUAUCAAGACCGCUAUGAUUGAACUAUUUGAUGAGCAGUAUGCCGUUAUGUAUGAGGAUGCUAUUGCUGCAACUACCGCAACUGUUGCUGCUAAUGUAUGGAUUCAGUGAGGGAGAAAUGAUUAUUUAUGGAGAGGGUACCAGGGAUGGAUCGAACUUUUUUUUCUAAUAUCAGGGCUCGAAAAUAUUUACAUCAUGGGUGUAUGGUUUACCUCAUGUAUGUGGUUGACACUCGGGUAGAGAGGGAGGUCUCGGUUUCGGAUGUGCCUAUGGUCAUGGAGUUCCCAAAUGUGUUUAUGGAGGAAUUACCCGGUGUUCCUCCUGAGAGACAUGUUGAGUUCAAGAUCGAUUUGGUCCCUAGUGCGACCCUAAUUGCUAAGGCAUUGUACAAAUUAGCACCACCAGAGAUACAAGAGUUGUUUUCUCAGCUUCAGGAUCCGUUGGGCAAGUAGUUUAUCAGACCGAACAGUUCGCCUUAGUAUUAGAAAUAGCAAUGAUUUGAGUUUUAUUAAUAUUAUUUUAUCCCAUCAUUUGUUGGUUUGACAGCCAAACAAAUUGGCGCCGUUGCCGGGGAUACGGUAGUACUAAUUGUUUAUGCCAAGAUCUUUUCGCACAGGUACACCUUUACCAGUUGAUUUGGAGAUAGAAAAAUAUGCUAAAUAGAGAAGGAAGCAAGCCAGACUUUUAAAGAAACAACAACAAUCCGGAGCUUCUUCGUCAAAUCCAUCAACUACAUCCUCUCCAACAUCCAAAAAUAUCACCCACCAUCUUCACCUACUCCUACCAUGGCAGAUAACCAUGGAGGAAAUCAAAAUCCUCCACAUCCACCACCUGAACAAACCUUUAGACAAUGGGCCACUCAAGAUGUCACCCAACAACCGUUGUGCAUAAAUUACCUUGCAGCAAUCAACUUUGAACUCAAGUCUGGACUCAUCCAUUUGUUACCCUCAUUCCGUGGUCUUGAGAAUGAAGACCCACAUAAAUUCCUUAAGGAAUUUCAUGUUGUUUGUGUGGGUAUGAAGCCACAGAAGAUCAAAUCAAGUUAAGGGCAUUCCCCUUUGCUUUACAAGAUUUAGCCAAGGAGUGGUUGUAUGACUUAUCAUCGGGGUCAGUCACAACAUGGAAUGAACUUGCAAGGAUGUUUCUGGAUAAAUAUUUUCCAAAAAUGAGAGCUUCAGCUUUACGUAGAGAGAUAAUUGGCAUCAAGCAACAAAAGAGAGAAGCCUUGCAUACUUAUUGGGAACGGUUCAAGAAAUUGUGCUCAAGAUGUCCACAACAUGGGAUUACAGAAUAUCAGUUGCUGCAGUAUUUUUGUGAAGGAAUGUCAUCUUGGGAUAGGAGAUUACUCAAUGCAUCAAGUGGUGGAUCUAUAGCUGAUAAGACUCCAACAGAAAUCAGAGUUCUUAUAAAAAACAUGGCAGAAGAGUCCAAGCAUACAGUCCAAGAAGAAGAGUGGUACGGUGAUGCACCAAGGGGGGUGAACGAAAUUUCUACUCCAAAAAUUAAAAGUCAACUUUCUGAGUUGACUAAGGUAGUAAUGAUGCUUGCAAAGGGCAAGGGCGUGCAACCACCAACAGUUAGACCUUGUGGUAUUUGUACACAAGUUGGACAUCCAACCGACAUGUGCCCUCAACUUCAAGAGGAAGAUUAUGAAGAAGCAAAAGCCAUGGGAGGUUUUCUUGGAUCUAGUCAAAGGGGAUAUGAGCAGCCACGAGGUGAUCAAAGAUGGAACAACAAUCAAUGUUGGGGAGGAAAUCAACAAGGGAACUACCAACCAAGUCAACCACAUCAAUACCAACAAAGACUACCUUUUCCACCACAAAACUUUCAGCCAAGGCAACCACAACACCCUCCUCAACAAGCGGGUUCAUCAAGUAUGCCUUUAGAGGACAUAGUGAAAAGUUUGGCAACUAGUACACAAGUUUUCCAACAAGAGACAAAAGCAAGCAUAAAGAACUUAGAGAAACAAGUUUCACAGCUUGCUAUUUCCGUAAGCAAACUAGAAUCUCAAGGAAAGUUGCCUGCCCAAACUGAAGCAAACCCAAGGCACAAUGUAUGUGCCAUCACAUUGAGAAGCGGGAAGAGUUAUGAUGGUCCAAAAUUGUCGGUUGAUCAAAAGGAAGAAGAAAUAGUAGUUGAAGAGACGACCAAAGAAGAGAAGGAGGAAGAGAAAACAAUUGAAAAGAAGCCCUUCAUCACUGAGUCUAAAGCCACACCUGCUCCAUUUCCCGAAAGAUUAAAGAGCACGAAGAAAGAACGGGAGGAGAAUGAGAUCAUGCAAAUGUUCAAGAGAGUUCAAAUCAACAUUCCACUCCUCGAGGUCAUCAAGCAGGUACCUAGAUACGCAAGGUUCCUUAAGGAUCUUUGUGUAUCUAAAAAGAAAUUAAAAGGAAAUCAAGUCGUAACGGUUGGGGAGCAUGUAUCCGCGGUUUUGCAAAAGAGGAUGCCCCCGAAGUGCAAGGAUCCCGGUGUCUUUACCGUGCCUUGCAAGUUGGGAAAUCUUUAUGUACACCGAGCUAUGCUUGAUCUAGUUGCAUCCGUAAAUGUCCUACCAUAUUCUCUUUUCAAAUCAAUUGGUGUAGGAACAUUGAGCAAAACCGGUGUGAUCAUCUAACUUGCUGACCGGUCUUUGGUACACCCAAAGGGAGUAUUAGAGGACGUGUUAGUGCAAGUCGACAAAUUUGUCUUCCCGGCUGAUUUUUAUGUCUUAGAUAUGGGAGAUGAUGACUCUCCAAGUUCAAGUUCCAUACUUUUGGGUAGACCUUUUCUUAAAACUUCUAAAACAAAAAUCGAUGUCUACAAUGGAACUUUGAGUAUGGAAUUUGAUGGUGAAGUUAUCAACUUCAAUAUGCAUGAAGCAAAAAAGACUCCUUUUGAUGUUCAAUCUGUUAAUUUUGUCAAUUUGAUCAAUCCCUCAACAAAAAAGGGUUUGAACUUGUCUAACAAUGAAUUUCUAGAAUUAGUUUUGUCACGGAAACUAGACAGGGACAAAGCCAAAGAGCUUGCAAAGAAGUUUGAUAUGGAUAAUGAAGUGUUGGAGAUUUUAGAGUUUAUUGAUGACAAGAAGCAUGUGAGGAGUGAUGAUAUGUUAGAGAGGCCCACGUAUCCAGACUGAAGCACAAAUAGUUGGGGCAAAGUCGAGCCAACGACAUUAAAAAGGGGCGGCUAACCGGGAGGCAACCCGGGGGUAUUUUUGUCAUUUCGUAUAUUUUCGUUGUAUUUUCUUUGUUUUCAAACUUCCAAGUUGUUUUUCAUGCUAAAAGAGGGUUAAAAAUCAUUUUUCGGGCAGUAGAGGUUUAGCGGGUAGCAAUUUCAAAAAGUGAAAAAAUCAAUUUUUUUGGCCUUUUCAGAAGUUUACACGGCCGUGUAAACUUAUGCCUUUCAUUUACACGGGCCGUGUAAACGUUUAAACGCGGUAUAUCUGAUUCAGGGAUUUACAUGGCUGUGUAAAUUCUCCCAUUUGAUUUACACAGGCCGUGUAAACGCAAAAACAGAGCUGAACGAUUUUAAGGUCAAAUCUCGAUUUUUCUAACUCAUUCUUCUCUCAAUACCUGCGAUUCCUUCUCUCCCUACUGCCCCCCUUCGAAAAAACCCUUCCAAAUACUCAAUCUUCCUCCAUUUUGCAUCAAAAACCAAGCUCCAAGGUAUAAAAUUCUUCUCUUUUCUUCAUCUUCUUUAUCUUUCACAUCUAUUUCAACCUCUCAUGGCCGAUUUUGGGGUUUUUGAGCAAAACCCUAGAAUUUUUGAACUUCAAAAUUUCGACCUAAUGCUUGAAAUUUCUUGUAGGAUAAGCUUGGGGAUAGCUUGGGGGAAGCAUUGGAUAUCACCCUAUCACCAUUUUCAAGCACAAAUCGGUAUAAUUGUUCCAAACUCUUACUUUGUGCAUUUAGAUAGAACCACAUUUUUUUGGGUGAUUUUUGGUGAGACUUGCUAGUUCUUGUGCUUCAAUUGUCUUAAUUGUGUGCAAUUCUUUGUUGAUUCAUUUGGGUAAUGGCUUCCCGGGGUAAAAGACCUAGAAUUGGAACUUCACAGGAUGAACAAGACCCACACCCCUGGACAACCCUUAUGAAUUUGGUCUAAUUUUUGAGACCAAUAGACAUGAGAUACUGUAUGCAAAUCUUGUUACAAGAACAAUGGGUGCUCAAAAAUUUGUGGACAUCCAACCCCUCAAAGAUUUACAUAUCUAUAAGGUUGUCCACAAGCUCUUUAAAAACAUAGGAUGGGAGGGUCUUUUGAAUCUUCAUGCAGUUAGUUACCAAACACCGAUGUUGGAACUUUUGUCUUCUAUUACCUUUGACUAUCAAACUCAUCUCCUGACUUUCCGUUUGCUCAAUCAAAUCCAUCAGUUUCAUGCUGACAUUCUCUGUGAUAUGAUUGGUGCACCCAAAGCAAAAAGGGAUGUAUACACAACCAAGGGAAGAAAAAAUAUCAUUUUUGAGCAAAACUGUACAAAUUUUUGGAGAAGCAUUUCUUGUGAGUAUGACUAUCAGUCAGGCACAACCAAAGCUUCUAGCAUUAUCCAUCCGGUCUUGAAAGUCACCCACCGGAUCGUUGCUUCUCUCUUAUUCCCUCAAGAAGAGAUUAGCAAGACUAAUAAGAAAGAGCUAGAAGUCUUGUGGUGUAUGGUUCAUAAGCCUGCAGAAGUCCCUCAUUUUGGGUGUUGGGUUAUUCAAAAAAUGCUCAGAAGUGCUACGAGCCAUGGUGGGCAGCUAUAUUGUGGAGGCAUGGUUUCUGUUAUUGCUGAGCAUCUUGGCCUCCAUUUACCCAACAACCCAACAAACAUAGUCAUGGGCCGUACUCGUCUAUCCAUUGAUGUUAUGGAAACAAUGCAUCUCUUCCACCGCCUUCCCAUUGGGGAUGUUCAUUGGAUAGUAGAUGGGAAAGAGUAUCUACGCAUAGGCAAUAGAAACAAGAAGAUACUCAAUUUAGCCAAUGACAUUCCAUCAACCACUUGGAAACUCAGAUCCAGUUUAGGUGUUAUAGUAGAUCAUAGUCCUCCACCCUCUCCUCCUUCUGCACCUACUGCUGGUGCCUCUAGUUCAUCUCACCCCACUUCUUCUUCUGAACACAAUCUUUAUAUGGGUGAGUUUGGACGUUUGAACCACCGUUAGAUCAGUAUACUACAAGAAGUUGGAGAAAUUUAUACGAGUGUUGCUGAAAUCACUUCUGAUUUUCAAGACUACCGUAACUUGCAAGAAGAGCAUUGGGCCCACCAAUAGUUGCGGUGGGCUGAACAGGAUCAAAGAUGGGCCGCUCAAGAUCAGCACAACCGCAACAUUCAUCACCUGCUGAGCGAUAUCCAUAGAGUUCUUGUCCUCCCCACACAGCCGCAGCCACCAUCAACAUCUCAACCCCAAUGGCCUCCCUACUACCCUGCAGAUUAUCCUUCACAGUUCCCUCUGUACCAACCGCUCGGUCCUCAAUAGGACGGUUAUGCCUCUCUCCAAGCAUCGAGGACGAUGCUUAUUUUAAGCUUGGGGAGGGGCAUCCAUCCAUGCAUUAUCCCGUUGCAUGUAGGUUGCAUGUAAAUUUUGUACAUAUUGUAUUGCAUUGCAUUAUUAUUCUUUGUCAUUUAAAAAAAAAUUCAAAAAAAAAAAGUAAAAGUAAAAUUUUUCUUGAUCCAAUUCCAAGCAGCCAAAUCUUCUCAAAACAGUUGAGAUGGUAAGUGAGUUGUGUGCCUUGAGAUUUUACUUGCUCUUUUUAUUGAAAAAUCUAAAAGCAAGUUAAUCACACACGAGCACAUCUCCUGAAGCUACUUGUGCAAAGCAGAAAAUGAGAAGAUUGUCAACACUGGAGCAUAACAGCAGGUAUGAGUUGAUUCUUUGGGACAUAUGACCGGUCUUAUGAGUAGUAAUGCUCAAUUGAACUUAAAAUGCCAAAUUCAAAAGUUCAUAAAAAGAAUGCAAAAUCUCAAUGUCCCGCCUUCUAGCGCUCUUAAAAGUCCUUUCUACUUAUUCCCUUUUAUAUACCCUUCUUGAGGACAUAGCUUUCAACUAUACUUAUGGGUUUUUGCAUGUUAACAUUUAGUCCCCCGAAAAAUGUCUAGAAGUCCCUCACGGUAAUAGACCGUGAGAUGUCCCAUAGCAGAAAAGUCAAGGACGAAAAUAUAAAGAAAUCGGACAAAUAAAUAAAUAAAUAAAUAAAGUGUUAUGUGUUAACUUAGUUAUUUGUAUUUAAAUAAUAAUAAUAAUAGAUCUAAUUAAAAAAAACUAUUAUUAAGUUAAUCUGUGACAUUUGGGAUUCGAACAAGUAUACUCUGAGGGGUGUUCUACACCUAAUCACCUAAAGCUAAAUUGUUUGGGAUUGAUUGGGUUGAAAGUUCGCUACACGGGUUCCAUAGAAAGUCAUGAACUUAAUAAUAGCAAAUAAAGCUAAUCUGUGGCCUUUGAGGUUCGGGCAAGUAAACCCGAGGGAUCUCUUCAAAUCUAGCACACUAAGGUCAUUUGAUUUGGAUGUGUUGGUUGGAAGCCCGUUACACGGAUUUCAAAGAAAGCCAUGAGCUUUAUUUGUAAAAAAAAUGUAAUUAGGAAGUUUGUAUAUAGUUAUGUUUAUAGUUUAAUUAGAUGUUGUGUUUAGGAAAAAUACUUGGCUGUCAAAAGAUUCCCUUGGACUUGGAUUUGAAUUUAUGACAUUGGACUGAAUGUUAAUUACUUCGACUGGUGUAAGUGGUUUGAAGUUUGUAACCAAUCUGGAUAAAUAUUAGGGAAUUUUUAGAAAAUAUUUUUCAGAAAAAGAUUGUUGUUAACCAACAAAUAGCUGGAAUCGGACAUUGUUAUAUUUUAUGAAACAAAGAUGGUUGAGCAUGUUUUGUCACAUAUAAUUUCACGAGAGUAAGACCAUAAUUUGUUCCAAGAAUUGACUUGAUGAUAUUGAAAAGGAAUAAGUGUUGUGAUCUUUGAUUCUGUUGAGUUGUACUAGGGAGUGGCUAAAGUCUUGUCUCUAUUAUCAUAUAAUAUUUUGAGAUUAAAGCCAAGUUAACUCAAGGCAUGACAGGUACAUUCUCAACUAUGGUACAAAACAGGGUAAUUGGGUUGGAUCUUUUCAUGUUUGUUUUAAUUUCAUGCAUUAAGUUUCAAAUAGUUUUAACUUUAAUUUCUUUUCUUCUAUUUUAUUUUAUUUUCUCCGGUUUAAAUUCCUUGUUCUUUCUUGAGGACAAGAAAGGUUCAAGCUUGGGGAGAUUUGUUAGGUGCAUUUCAUGCAUUCAUUUUGUAGUUUUAGUUCAUAAAAGUGCAUUGCAUUUAGGUUUAAACUCAUGCAUUUUGCAUAUUUUUCGGGAUUUUUCAUGAUGCAAUUCCAUUCACACACUUUUAUGAUAUUUCAGGGACUUUUUGAAGGUUGGAAAUCGCUGGAGGAAGUUUAAAAGAACUGGAGACAGAGUUACAGAAGUUUUGGAGCUCAGAAGAAAGAGAAUGAAGAAUUUGGCUUCUCAGAAGUUUACACGGCCGUGUAAAUGCUCCCCUUUUAUUUACACGGGCCGUGUAAACGUACAUGCAAGGGCAGUCUACUUCGAUGACCUUGAAAGAUUAAGCAUUCUACUUCUAUUGUUUACACGGCCGUGUAAAUGGCACCCUUUAAUUUACACGGGCCGUGUAAACGUCUCGACAGUUUUAAAGUGGUUUUGUCUUCUUAUAAUUCAGACAAUCGGUUUUGUGAGGAGUUAGGUCGGAUUUUGGGAGAAAAGAAGGCGAUUUUCAGAACUUUUGCAAGUAGAUUAACACUUGGAAACACUUUAAUUUCCUUUUUGUAAGUCAAUUUGAAGUUUAAACUUGUUUGAUUUGUAGUUCAACCUAGACAUGUGUGGUUGAUUUCAUUAUCAUUUCCGAAUCUGAAUUCUUAAGUAUGUGUUGUUAGGUUGUAACUUGAAUUUGACUUGUGUUUAACAUCUAGUAAUCUUUGAUUUGAUCUUAAUUAUGUGUUUGGUUGGUUCUCUUUUUCACUUGAUCAAUGAAUUAGGGUUCUAGUCAAUCUAGUUAAUCAAAUUAUGAAAUUCGUAUAUGUUUUAUGAUUUGAUGUUAGUAACACACACUUACUUGGUUGUAAUUAGAUCAAAAUUAGUGUAAUCAAAGAUUAAAUGUUUAUAUUCCCAAGCUUAAGAGGAAUGUUAAACAUUGUUGGUAAUUAGUGCAAGAACUUAAUGUCAUUUAAUGAUUUGAUACAAGAGCUUAUUUGAAUUGAAUCAAUUAAAUGAAGUUUUAUUUGAAGAGCUUGUUUUGAAUAAAAUACUUUUGCUAAUUUGGAUAUUAGAGUUUAUUAAUAUCCAACUUACCAACCUAGAUUGAACAUGAGUUAUAAUCAUAUUACAUCUUUCAGCAUAAUACAUGUAUAAGAGUCAGAAUCGGAAAUGUACUUCUUUUACUGUAUUUGUUAUUAAUCUUUCUUAUCUAUGAAGUUUAAUUCAAGUUCAAACACAAUCCCCCAUUUUAAUAUUAUGUGUAUUAUGUGUGAAAAUAUGGCAAGAUAAGAAGUCAUGUAUUCCUGUGGACCGACCCUGCUUACUCUAUACUAUCUUUAGUAUUAGAAAUAGCAGUGAUUUGAGUUUUAUUAAUAUUAUUUUAUCCCAUCAUUUCUUGGUUUGACAGCCAAACAAACAAGCUAACGGUGAAGAGCCGUUACCUAGUUUUGUGGAUUGAUGACCUCUUCGAUAAAUUACAGGGUGAAUCUUGGUUCUCCAAGAUUUAUUUGAGGCCAGUGUAUCACCAUAUGAGGGUUAGGGAGCAGGAGGUGGAGAAGGCAACAUUCAGACACAUUAUGGUCACUAUGAGUUUGUGGUGAUGCCGUUUGGGUUCACCAAUGCACAUGUGACAUUGAUGGAUUUGAUGAAUCGAGUGUGCAGGCCGAUACCCGAUCUAUCAUUAUUGUUUUCGUCGAUGAUAUCCUGGUCUAUUCCAAGACCAGGAAGCAACAUGAGGGGCACCUUCGAGAGCUUUUGGGAUUUUGAGGCGGGAGCCAAGUUCUUGAAGUGUGAGUUUUGGUUAUGGGAGGUCCAGCUCUUGGGACACCUCGUUAACUAGAACCGGAUUUUGGUCGACCCGACCAAGAUUGAGGUUGUUACGCAAUGGGAGGUCCCGAAGUCUCCCUCGGAGAUCAGGAAUUUUCUAGGUUUAUCAGGGUAAUAUCAAAUAUUUAUUCAAGAUUUCUCCAAUGUUGUUGUGCCCCUCACUCAUCAGACGAGGAAGGGUGUGGAUUUUUGCUGGGGGCCUAAGCAGCAUGCUGCAUUUAAGACACUAAGAUAGAAGUUAUGUAAGGCCCAGUGUUAACUCUUCCCGAAGGUGUAUUGGAUUUUAUGGUAUAUUGUGAUGCAUCCAUCACCAGUUUGGGGGCAAUACUCAUGUAGAGAGGGAGGUUGAUUGCUUAUGCUUCUAGGCAGUUGAAGCCACAUGAGGUUCGUUAUCCGAUGCAUGAUCUUGAUUUGGGGGGGGGGGGUGGUGUUUGCCUUCAAGAUUUGGUGGAAUUAUAUGUAUGGGUUCCGGUGUACCAUCUACAUGAAUCACAAGAGUUUGAGAUAUCUCAUGGAUCAGCUAAAUCUGAACAUGAGAUAACGCACGUGGCUUGACGUGGUCAAGAAUUAUGACUGCGCGAUUUUAUACCACCUGGGGAAAGAGACUAUGGUUGCUUAUGCUUUGAGUCGCAAGUCAAUUGGUUCUUUUGUUGGGAGCUUAUGUAUGAGGAUUUUGACCGAUUCGCCACUUCUGAAUUUGAUUAGGGAGACUUAGGUAGAGAGAGUCAAGAAAGAGAACUGGAAAUAGGAGCAAAUCAGGGGUGAGAUCGACAUGUUUUCUACCGAUAGCCGUGGAUUAUUGACCCGGUGUGGUCGGGUUUGGGUACAAGAUUUUGCAAGAUUAGACAGACUGUGCUGAAGGAGGCACAUAAGUGCAUAUUUUAAAUACACCAUAGAGCCACCGAGAUGUAUCUGGAUUUCUACUUAGUUACUGGUGGUCGUGUAUGAAGAGGGAUAUAGCCUGGUAUGUUGAGAGGCACUUGACCUGUUUGAUGGUCAAGGCCGAGCACUGGAGGCCGCAUGGCAAGCUUCUGCCUUUGGAGGUUCCCAUGUGGAAAUAGAAAUAGAUCACCAUGGAUUUCAUCUCCAAGUUACCUCAGAUGGCUAAUGGAUUUGAUGCGAUAUGGGUUAUCAUGGGCUGUUUGACCAAGAGUUCCCACUUUCUAGCUAUUUAGGAGAGCUCUUUGGCCGAGAAAUUGGCCGAUGUUUAUGUGCACGAGAUUGUUGCUUGACAUGGUGUUCCAUUUUCCAUUGUAUAUGAUAGAGAUGUUUGGUUCACUUUUCAAUUUUGGCAGAGGUUCCAUGAGGAACUGGAUACGAAAUUGAACUUUAGCACUGCUUAUCAUCCGCAGACGGAUGGUCUGAGCAAGAGGACCAUCCAGACACUCGAGGAUAUGUUGCGAGCCUGUGUGAUCGAUUUCGGUGGGAGUUGGGACUCCUACCUGCCCCUAGCUGAGUUUUCUUACGACAACAACUAUCACUCCAGUAUCGAUACACCGCCAUUUGAGCUUCUCUAUGGGAGGAAGUGUCAUACCCCAGUCUAUUGGAGAGAGACCGGUCACAGGAUCAUGGGAAAGACCAAGGUAGUUCUCCAGAUGAAAGAGCUUAUUCAGCAGAUUAGACAUAGGUUGUAGACAACUCAGAGUUGAAAAAAGAGUUAUUUUGAUAGACGUUGAUCUGAGUUAGAGUUCCAGGUUGGCAAUAUGGUUUUACUAAAUGUAUCACACUGGAAGGGUGUAAUACGCUUAAGGAAGAGGGGCAAGUUGGGGCCCCUAUAUGUUGGGUCGUUUCGAGUGAUUUCCAGGGUUGACAGGGUAGCCUAUCGAGUGGAUCUGCCUAAGGAGCUCAAACAGAUUCACAACAUCUUUCAUGUUUCCCAGCUACGGAAGUGUAUAACUGAUGAUUCAACAAUAGUUCCUUUAGAUGAUAUUUAGGUCGAUGAUCGACUGAGCUAUAUUGAGAGGCCGGUGGCAAUUUUGGAUAGGAAGAUAAAGGCAUUGCGCAACAAGGUUGUUCCAUUGGUCAAAGUUUAGUGGAAGCAUCGAAAGGGUUCCGAAUGGACUUGGGAACCUGAGGCAGAGAUGCGAAAGUAUUACCCUGGGUUAUUCAUGAAAUUAAAAUUCAAGGAUGAAUUCUGAAUCAAGUAGGAGAGAAUUGUAACACCUCAAUCUAGGUAUUUUUUGUUUAUAGCCUUAGAAUGAAAUUAUAAUGCAAAUUUGGCCCCUUUGGCUCACUAGGAGAAGUCGUGUGUUUUUUCCAAGUACGUUGGGUGUACUCAGCGUACGCAAAGUGUAUUUGGCUAGGUUCAAACCAUAAUUUUUAGGGUUUGAGCCCUAUUUAUACAACAUUAUCUCUUCAAGACCACUUCCCUCAUUAGCCUCCAUCUCCCCGAUCGUCCCUAGCUAACCCUAAUCCAUUGUGUGAGCAUUUUGAGCUUGAAAGUGUGCUUUUAGUGAUCUUGAAGGAAGAAGAAAAAAGUGGAACCAACUUGGAAGCUGAAGGCAUCUUGGAUCAAAAAGUAUCUUUCCAUCAAGCAUCAUUUGGAGGUAUAAAGCUUGGAUCUUGAUGUGUUGAUUGCUUAUAUCUUGUUAGUCUAGAGUUUGUAUGCAUUUUUAGUCCCAUAGUUUGGUUUAAUUGAGUAUGAGUUACUCCAGGUCCUUGAAAUGUAUUUUAUUGUAGUUUUGAGCUCAUAGAUUCUAAAAAUGAGAGCUUGGACACUCUCAUUGAGCCAUGUAAGAGUAUUGGGACUUUGGAUGACUUUUGGACCAAGGGUUUGAGUUUUCCCUCUUGUAUGCAUGAAAAUGGAUAAAGUUUGAGACUUUAUCCAUUAAGACUACCCUUUUUAUCUGAAUAUAAAGUUUGGAGCUUUGGCUUAAUAAAAUAAGAGCUUAAUGGAAAAGUAGGGGUUUAGCUCUGCUACGCUGGGUGUACCUGGAGGUACACUGCGCGUACCAGGUAUCGAUCUUUUGUUUUAGAGGGCACCCUCUACGCUGGGGUUAGAGGGGAGUACGUAGGGCAUACUUAGCCCAGAUGGAAAUGUUGACUUUUGACCUUGACUUUUGACUAGGAUUUUAACCAAGUUUGACCUAGGGGUAUUUUGGGUAUUUUAAGUAGUAGUUUGAUAUUAGGUCAUUGUUUAUUGUAUAGGUGGCCUGUAGAGUUGGCAUUUGGUGCAACAAACUUUUCUGCUAUCUUCUCAGGCUGUGAGGUGAGUUUUCCUCACUGUACUUGUGGGUUGAAGGCACCAAUGCCAGCCCACUGGAUUAUGUAUCAUGGUAUAUUAGAUUAAUGUUAUGCUGAGUAUGUGUUAAAUUGGUAGAUCUGUAUGAUUACCUGUGUUCUUUGAGUAUGCAUUAGAUUGGUACAUAUGUAUAAUUAUAUUUGUUCUUGUUUACUGAUUGUUAUUGUAUAUGUCAACAUGUUUUUAUUUGUUGGGUUGAGGCGGUCCUACUUUGUGCUGAAGGCCAAGAUACCCGAGGUAGUCCGGAUAGAUUGAAGUCCUGUGAGGAGGUCGAGUUAGGCCGAAGGCCUGGAGAGCGGUCAAAAUAGGCUGUAGGCCCUGCGAGGUGGUCCAGUCAAGAUGAAGGCACAUAUAUACAUGCUCUUAUCUUUUUUGGUUGUGUGUGGUACUGUGGGGGAACUCACUAAGCUUUGGCUUACAGUUUAAGUUUUAUGUUUCAGGUACUUCAGAUGAUCGGGGAACAGCAAAGGCGUGACUGAACGUAUCAUUGGGUGAUAUGUUUUGGAGAUGUUAUGAUACUCUGAUUUUGGAACAUUUGUACUUAAUCUUGGGUUCUUAUGAUUUGGGUUGAUUAAAAACAAUGAUUUCUCAUUAAUUGAAAAUGAAAAUUUUUAUUGCGAUUUUGGGAUGUUACAAUAGGUGGGUUGCACCUAAUCCCACAUCGACUGGGAAGAUGAACUAAGCAUUUCUUAUAAGGGGUGUGGAUAGCUUCCCUGUCACAACGCGUUUUAAAGCCUUGAGGGCAACAGAUUCCAUAAGAGCUCUACAGUUAAGCGUGCUCGGGCGAGAAUAGUACCAGGAUGGGUGACCCCCUGGGAAGUCCUCAUGCUGAGUAGCCCAAAGCAUACAAUAUUGUGAUACAUUCCAGAGGGGGAUGUUAUAAACGAUAUCAAAUCUAGGUCACAGGUCGAUGUGUUGAACAUGGACGUCGAACCCUGUAAUAGGGGGGGUGAUGGUGGGUUGCAUCGGAUCCCAUAUUGGCUGGGAAGGACAACUAUGCAUUCCUUAUAAGGAGUGUGGAUACAUUCUCUGGAACAAUGCGUUUUAAAGCCGUGACGACAACAAAUACCAUAAGAACUCGUGACUAGUGGCCCAAAGCGGAUAAUAUUGUGAUACUUGCCAAUGGGGGAUGUUACAAUUCUCCUUAAGAUAGGUCUCUAUAGACAAAUAAAUAAGAUAAUGGGAAUGGGUAAUUGGUUUAAUUGUUUGAUCUAAAAUCGAUAAUUAAACAAAUUAACUAUACUAUUAUGGGUUGAAAACCUUAUGUACGAACCAGGUUUUCCCAACCUAAUCCACUUAGUUUCUUUGUAUCACAGGAAGUACUACAAAGAUAAUGAUGUUCAGAACUGAUGAGAGAUUCGAGGAUAUAUAGGCCAUAGUAGAGAAUAUAUUGUAAGGUCUGUAACGACUACGUUUAUGCUUUUGUUUCAUGUAUCAGUUAUGACUGUUAAAAUGGGGAUGUCAUAGCAGGGCACUCUCGUCCCAGUGGGAUGCAUGUUUUUUUGGGUUAUUGAGGUAUUUAAAGGCUAUUAACCCUUAGGGUUUGAUCAUUUUCAGCCUCCAACACAUCUAGAUCAUUCUUUGGGUGAAACCCUAGCAUCCUUUGAGUAAGGUGAGCUUAUCCUAUCUUUUAAACCAUUUUAGGGUGUAUUCUAGUGGUGAUUUGAUGAUUAUUACAGAUCAAGAAAGUCUUGUUGGUUGCAAGGGAUGUUGUUUUAAGUUUGAAUCCAUGAAGUUCAUACCUUUUCUAGACUUUUGUAAGUAAAAAGAUUCAACCUUUGCUUUCUAGUUGUUAGAUCUUAGCAAUGUUCCCUUUUAUGCACUUUUGGUCCCAUUUUGGUGGUGAGUUUGGAAUUGAGAUAACUCCAACUCCUUUUAAGAACUUAGGAUUGUUGAGUGGACCAUAUAUGUAACGCCCGUAGAUCCGGGCUAGUCAAUUUAGAGGCAAUAGGGGUCGAAAACGACUUUUCGACAAAAGAUUAUUAAGAAUAAAUAAUCUCAACCAAGGUUUAGUAUAUGUUACAAGGUUUCCGUACAUAUAAAGAGCGUCGAAAUCCGAGUUAUAACGAAGAAGUUAUGACCCGUCGAAGUUUCGCGACGGAACCGACACGAUACCGGGAGGCGUAAAUAGUGAAUUUACGAUAGAGCGAGAUUUAGCCUUAGCGAUCUAAACGAAAGUCGUAGUAUAUGUUAAACUGAUAGUGUGAAUAAAAAGAACAUCCAAAUCUGAAUUCGUAUGAGGAAGUUAUGAUUUUUCUAAGAUUUAGCAUAACAGUGCACAACCCGAAAUCUGAAUUUUAGAUCGGUCGAUUUUUAGCCAAAAUAAUCUAAACAAUAAAUGAAGAUAUCGUUAAUAGGAGUUAAACGAUAAAAAGACAUUCGAAAACGAAGCUCGUAUGAGAAAGAUAUAGACUAAGCUUAGUCCCUACUCUUCGAGCGUUGCGAAUUCGAUACAGUUUUGUAAAUCUGAGAUAGAGUGAGAAUUAGCCGACAGGAUCUAAAUAAAAGUUGUAGUACUCGUAAAUACCAACGCGUGGAUAUAAAUAACAUCGAUAAUAGAGCUUGUAUGCGAAAGUUAUGGACGAAGCUUAGUCCCUACUUUUCGAGCGCGGCGAAUUCGAUACAGUUUUGUAAAUCCGAGAUAGAAUGAGAAUUAGCCAACGAGGUCUAAAUGAAAGUUGAAGAUCUCAUUAAUAGGAACUCAACGGUAAAAAGACAGACAAAAACGGAGCUCGUAUGCAAAAGUUACGGACGAAGCUUAGAGACUACUUUACUAUAAAACUCCUAUAAAUACAAGGGUGAACUCCUCAUAUUUUCUUCACACCAUAAGCCUCUCUUUCUCUCUCUAACUUCUCUCUAGCCUCCCUAAACCCCUCCCAAGUCUACGGAACCUCCCUAGCACGAGAAGAAAGCCCCGGAGCGCCCGACGGCUCCGAGAAGAAAAGCUUUCGGCUUGGAAACGCUGCUCCAGCGAAGCCCGGUUUUUAAUAAAAACUCGCUGUAAGUGAGCUACGCCUAUACUAUAUUUAAUAUAGAUUUUAUUUAAUUAUAGUAACAUUAUUAGGACCUUAAAAUAAUUAUUUGGGCUAUUAUUAUGAGUUAUAUUGAGUGUUAUUUAACGCUUAUAUAAUAGUAAUAAUAGCUACACUAUUAAUUAGUCGCGAUUAACGUUAAAACUAAACUCUAGUGGUAUUCAUACUAGGUUUUGGUCAAUGAAAAAUUGUUUUAAGAGUAACGAAGUGCUGUCAGAGUGGCAACUCACCACCUUUCAGGUGAGUGCAUAGUUACUUUCAUCUUACACAUAGAUUGAAGUAUUUNAAAGGAUUUAAACUGUAUACGUAUUUUAUAUAUACAAAUAUGUUGGGUAUGACAUGGGUAGAUGAACGAUGAGAGAUAAAAGAUGAUGUGAGUAAACAUUGGCAGCUAUGGACUUAGUGCCUAAUAAACAUCGGCAACUAUGGACUUAGUGCCUAUUGGACAAACACCGGUAGCUAUGGAUUUAGUACCUGUUGGGAAUUGGUAGCUAUGGACUUAGUACCUAUUAGAUAAACACUGGUAGCUAUGGAUUUAGUACCCGAUGAAUAGACUAUAGCAGCUAUGGAAUUAGUGCUUUACGAACGAACAUUAGCAGCUAUGGACUUAGUGCCAGUCCUAUAACCUUGGAAGUAAGGGACUUCGGAAUAAACGAAUGCAGGAUAGAUGACUCUUAGGUUAAAUCGUUAAGAGUAAAGAAGAUAAUGGGGAUGGGUAAUUGGGUUGAUUGUUUAAACAUAAUAAUUAUAAUAUUGUGGGUUGAAAACCCUAUGUACUCACCAGGUUUCCCAAUCUGACCCACUCAGUUUAUUUAUAUCACAGGUGUUGAUACAAAGUCACGUUACACUGAGAGAUUAAAGAGAUGUAGAUCACUAGUGUAAAUAAAUGUGAGUUCCAUUUAUGCUUAUGUUUCUGUAUUGAUGAUGACAUCCCAAACAUUUUAAAAUGAAUAAAAUACGUUUCUUUGAAAAUGUUUUGAUAACGUAUUUAUCGUGUUUUUCUGGGAACAAAUUCCGCAACAUUUUUAUGAAAUGAAGUACUCUAAUUUUUAUAAUGCAUAAACAAAAUCGGUCUUUUCUGGCCGUGAAAAUUGGGGAUGUCACAAUAUAGACAUGGAAAGUUGGCAUCUUGUGCAUGUUAUUUUAACCAUGAAUAUUAUUUUGGUCCUUUUUGUUCUUUCUGGUGCAUUAAAUUCUAGAUCUUGUAAGCUUGUGGUAUUGUUAUGGAUAAAGUUGGUCCAUUUAGACCUUAUGAAGAUACGGAAUUUAGGGUAUGGACUUAAUGGAUUAAGUCCUUUAACCGUUUGGAUUAAGUAAGGGCGACGCCCCCUUCCUCAGUGCGACACACUUCAAGGGUUUUCUAAUAUGCACUUGAUUAUGAGCAAGAUACCGACUGUUUUGUGCUAUAGUGGGCGCUAUGCGCCUGGGAGAGGGUGCAGUGUGCUUGUUGCCCAAACUGUUGAAUUUGGCCAUUGACCGUUGACUUUUGACAAGUUUGACUUUUGCUUAGAAUUUUGUAGAGCUAAGUAUUUGACUAUGCCAAUGGUCGCGAUUUGGCAUUAGCUAGAUUGGGUUAGAUGUUAUGUGGCUCAGGUAGCUGUUGAGCUUAUGUUGAGUAGUUCAAGUGAGUAUACUCUCUAUAAUGUGUAGGACACUAGGUGUCGUUUUGUGCUUGUUGUCUUUGUGACUCUUGCUGUACGCUUGUAUGAACAAUCAUGGGGGAACCCAUGGAAAUUGUAGGAGUGUUGUGAGACUACAAAUAUUUCCUUGUAGUAUUCACUUAGGAUGAAAUAUGUCCGUUGGCUGAAAUAGACCAUUAUAGUAGUGAUUGUAAGACUAUGAUUUGACCCAUAACAUUCAAUUGGGGUGAAAUAGGCCCACUGGCUGAAAUCGGCCGUAGUACAUGUUUAUCAUUAUCUAUGGUACGUGGUAUUUUACAAAACUCAUUAAGAUUUAUGCUUAUGGUUUUAAGUUUAAAUGUUGCUGGUCUUUUUGGCAGUUUUGGAAGAGCACGACGUGAUUACAUCACAUCUGCUGUUAUGUUUGCAAGAUGUUCAAUAUUACGAUAUUAAUACUCUUAUUAAAUGUUUUCAAAACACUUUAAUAUAUGAUAUUAUGUAUGAAUGACAUGGUUUCCCUUGAUUUUAAAAUGAAAAUUUUGGUUUGAAAUUUGGGACGUUACAAGUUGGUAUCAGAGCCUUAGUUUGAGGGAUUCGGUCCCACUCUAGUAAGUUUUUUCAAAAAGAAAAGGAUGCGAUGUGUGCAUUCAGUCAAAUCUCAAGUAAGUGAUUCCCAGAAUACCCAUGCAUGUGGAUAUGUUAUAUGUUUUAGAUUAUGAUAUGCAUGUUAGAAGUUAAAUAAGAAUCUCAUCAGGGUUGUAUGCUGCAAGCCUGCUUAAGAGAGAUGCCUUUUAUGCCUGAUAUAUGAACUUUAUGAACUUUAAGAGAUGCAUGAAAGUGCGUAGGCUAAGGAUCUUCCGAAAUUGUGAGUUAGAAUUGCCUGAUCUUUAUGAUGCCUUGUUGCAUGUUGGAUAUGUUUCUCGAAUGCUUCUUGUUUCUUGCAAUGUGAAACUUAUAUUGAUAUUAAUUAGCUAUUAAGCGAAUACGUUAGGUUACAUGCCACAAAGAUCAAAUAGUUUUAGAAUGUUGGAUUUGGUCCUAUUUCCAACCGUUGUAGAGCAGGAUCUUCGAGUCGAAGAACUGUUUAAUUUUUGUUGUAUGUAAUUGUAUACGUAAGAUAUUUAGUUGACGUUGGUAGAAGUUUCUUCCGCAGUUGAUAGUAGGGAAGAGUGGGAAUUCCUAAUGACCUUGGAAGAAUGUUAGAAUAUGAUAUUUUAGGCACUUGAAUUAGAGAAAUCCUAUAAGGAGAAUCUAGGAAGAUUAGCGGUGUGUACUCAUCUGAGAGCGGCUAUAUGUGGUUGGAUUGGUUGGUAGUGGUCAUGUAAGCCUUGAUAUAAUUCUUAGGACAAGUAUGGAUAAGUGUGGAAGGUAGUAUGAGCUCGUACUACUAAAAGCACAUGAGUUGUACUAGGAUCAAGAAUAUUCGAAAAGGUUUCUAAGGAGUUGGUUGAGGGUAGAUAGCAUGGUUUGGCAUCAUGAUUCAUUGUAGCGUGUUUCCGUCUCUAUCGAUCUAUCAGUUAUGGUUGUUCAUGAUGAAUACAGGUCUAGAAAUUGUUUGGGCCUUAGUGGACAUGACAUAUUGGGUCUAAAUGGUGUAGACCUAUGUGACUUAACUGAUUCUAAGGUCUUGAGGGCCAUGUUUGAAGUAGUGACAGUUUGAGACUGGACUCAAGUGGGAUGCGAUUGUGAUGAAUGACUCGAUGAUUGCAACCUGAAUCUGGUUCGUCGUCCGACGGCUUAGGAUGUAGACCCAACGCGAGAUGCAUGAGCGGGUGCAAGUUCAGGCACCACCGAAGUAAGAUAUUAAGGCUUUGGAUAUUCUUUUGGAUGGAUUAGAUGGUUGUGGUUGUUGCAACAAGUGUGGGAAUGAACAAUAAGGUUCUUGUGGUAUUUUUGCCUCAAGAUAUUUCAGACAAGGCCAAGAAAUUCAUUUAUGUUGAGACUGUACUAGGAGUGAUCAAUGGUCUAAUUUCUUUGAAAUCAUUUAAGUUAUAUUCUAGCUGAUUAUUUCAUGCAAUCAGGAGAGGUGAUUGGAUACCAACAAUUUCCUUUUUCUCCAAUAUGUACCAACUAUGAGGGUGAUGCCUCUUGUAUUUAUGUUGAUUUUAUGAGGAAUCAUUUGAUGAGAACUUGUAUGCAAGGUAUGUGGUUAGUCCAUAUGUGCUAACUAGAGAAUUGGUGGUAUGUGUGGACUGUCAGAGUUAUUUCUUGUGCAUCUGCAUGGGGUUCUUAAUGUUCAAGGUGGUAGUGCCGGGGAAAGUUUCCGAGGUCUCCAUUUGAGAUUUAGAGUUUUCUCGAGUUUGAUUGGUCUUCUCUUAAAGGGUCAUGUUAUGUUGUGUAAUAUAUUCCAAGAGUCAGGGUUGGUAUGUAUCUGGUUGAUCCGGUUUGAGUCUGAGUUGUUUGCAAACGUUAAUUAGUGGUAGUUCAAACCCUAAGUGGGGGAGAACCAAGUAUCAAAUCAGAGGAUCAAUGGAUCGUUCGAUUUUGUGGUCUCGGUACAGUGGAUCAUAAGAAUGCAAGAUUUCAAGUAUGCUAGAUUUUAGUAAAGUUACUUGCUGCAUAAGAAAAGGAAAGUAGGCUCCAUCAAAGUGCUCGCGGUUAGGAAGUUGUCUUGUUGUGUUUCUCAAGGAUCCGUCGAAGUCCUUCAUAAUCAAGGAGAAUUCGAGGAUUGGUCGAAUUGUGAGUACAUUGCAAGUUUCCAUCAAGUUUAUGUCUUCAGGGAUGCGUGUGUUGUCCUCACAUCAAAACGCUAUUGGGCAAGGAACUCAUUAUGGUCAGUAGUUCCUUUCGGAUGAACCAAGGAUCUUUAUAGAGGAGCAUUUUGAGCCGCUCAGGUUGUCAAUUAGAUGUAGAGAACAUAGUUGGCUCGUAGUAUGGUGCGAUUAUCUUUGAUCAAUAUUGGGCAAUGGUUGACCUGUCAUUCGAAUUUAGGGUUCAGUAUGCAUAUUUCUAUGUGGGCUUCUUUAGCAAUAUGUGAGAUCAUUGGGAUUAGUUUAUUUAUCCACUUCCAAUCGGUUGCUAUUCCAUUCAUCAACAACAAUUGAGGUUGUUCAAAGGUUUCGAGCUAUGUUAGUUGAAGGUGUAGUUGGUGCGUUAACCAUUCGUUAAGUUUUGUAAGGUAGAUAUCUUGGUUUCUAGGUACGUGUACCCUCGAUUGUUGGUUGUGCAAUUAUUGUUCAUAGAGAGCUCGAGUUUGGAAGAUGUUCUUGCUUAUUGGAAGUUCAGAUGUCAGAGCGGUAUUGUUCAGUUUUUCAUGUGUGACCUUGGAUCUACACAGAGUCUAAUUUUGACAUGUCACUUCGGUAGGUUGGUAUUUGGGUUUAUCCGAUUAGGGUUCUAACAACAUUUGCAGAUAAUUUUGGAAUCUUCCUCCGAACCUGGAAUUUUUAUCAGGUUAGUUGCGCAUUGGUGGGAUGUGUUUAGUUUCAACUAAGGUGUGGGAUCUUUUUCGAUUGUUCAUGAUGAUGUUUCUAUUAGCGGUUGAGGUUCGUUUCACAUGGUUAUGAGGACUUUAGGUGGAUUGAAUAAAUGUAACAUCAAGUUCCAGGUAUAAUUACUUUUGUGGUUGUGGGCAUUUAUGGAUUAAAAUACAAGACUUUUUUGGUGGUCAUGACGUGGUGAUGAUAGGACCAUGAUGUGGUGACACCAGAUGAAACACACAUUCGUUUUGAGUGCCACGACGUGGAAGGAUAUUGGCCAUUAUGUGGAAGCCGUCUGUAUGCAAAACCCUAAUUUUCUGGGCCUUAAGCACUAUUUAAAGGAUAUGAUGGGUAGGGUUUGCACACCCUCAACCUCCAUCACCUCCCUUUGACCCCAAGAAAACUUUAGCCCCUAUUGUUGAGUUUUUGAAGCUUUUGGUGGCGAUUUUGGUGCCUUGAAGGAGAAUAAGGUGUCUAUUGAGUGUAGAUCCAACAAGUAAGUUCCUCCUCCAUAUUCUAGCACAUAUUCUAGAUUAUUAUGAGUCUUCAUGUUCCAAUCUUUAUGUGCUAUGUUUCUAGAUCUAGCCUUUGAUGCAUUUUUCUUCCUGUUUGGGUUAGUUUGUGUGGUGGGAUCCCAUAUGUUCCAGAUCUGAAGUCUUAUUGAGUUUUGAUUCCUUACAUGAGGGUUUGAUCUCAUUUUCAUCAUUUUUGACCUAGUUGGAGUUCAAUACAUGCAUUGGACAUGCAUGUCUAUAAAACAUAGAUUUUUAUGAAUCAUUGAGUGAGCGAAAGCGUUUUGGGAAGUAUGGAUGUGUAAAUUGAAGGAUUAAGAUCUUAAUGCAUUAAGUUGGCCAGAUCAAUUCCCACGAUGUGGCGUCUAAUGGUCUUCGUGAUUACUUUGUCAUGAGGUCAUCAUGAUGUGACAAAUGCUUGGCCAUAACGUGAUAACCGACUGAUGGACUUUUGACUGUUGACUUUUUAACCUAGCUGAAUUUUGGUCAACUUGAGGGUUUUGCACCAUGGAUUGAGAAUUGGUCCUUGAUUGUUGUAUAGGUGACUCGUAGUACCAGUUCUUUGAUUGUGUGAACUGUAAUGUUUAUCUGCUAGGAUGCCAGAUGAUUUUUCUUACUAUACUUUGUACUAUAGUAUAUAUUAUGGUGUGUAGGAUGUUGGUACGUUGUAGUGACUUGUUAGGUUGGUAGAUAUGUAUGAUUACAUGUGUUUGCAGGUUAUUGUUUAUUUAUUGCAUAUGUCGACAUAUUGUGGUUGGUUUGAGGCGGUCCUACUUUGUGUUGUAGGCCAAGAUACUCGGGCGGUCCAGGUGUACUGUAGCCCUUGCAAGGCGGUCCAUCUGUAGGACCAAAGGAGCGGUCCAACUACUAUAGGCCUUCCAAGGGGGUCCAAUUAGACUAUAGGCUCGGUAGAGCGAUCCAUGCAUCCUAUAGGCCUUGCGAGGCGGUCCAUGCAGACUCAAGGAUCAUGUAUGCAUGCAUUGUAUGUGUAUUUUUAUGUGGGCUAUUUUGGGGGAACUCACUAAGCUUUGGCUUAUAGUUAUGGAUUUAAAUGUUUUAGGUACUUCAGAGGAUCUGGGGAAGGCGAAGGCAUGAUUGUACACAUCAUCCUGCUAAUAUAUGUUUGAGAGAUGUUAUUGAUAGUCUGAUUUUUAUGGUUUUGUUUUGUAACAAUGAUUUGAAUACUCUAUGGAUUUCAUGGAAAUGUCCUUUAAAAUGAAAAUUUUUUACUAUGGUUUUUGUGACGUUACAAAAAGAUAGCCUAAAAACACUUGAUUCGACUUUCUGGUAUGGUUUUCAUUCGAUUUUUUGCGUUCAGGUUGGAACAAGCAUACAACUGUCUAUUUUAUUUUUUAGGUUACGUGUAUUCAUGUUGUUAUAUGGUGUUGCGUAAGUAGUAGUCUAGAAUUUGGUGGGAUUUGCGUACUUUUGAAUUGUAUUUCUCAUGUUGUGGUUGAAUAGUGUUGGGAUGGAUGUUGACUGGGUUCCUGCAGGUUGGUAGAAUGAUAUCCGUGUGUCUAUAGGCCAAUUGAGGUGGUGGUCGUGAGUCUUCAUGCCCGUUGUUGGAUGAUGGCAAGAUAAGUGUUGAACCAAGAGCUUCUCAUGCCAAUGAUUGGAUGGUGUCACAACGUAUCAUAAACCUUAAUGGUUAUGAAUUGAGUGGAUGAGACCUUUGGGUCUUGGUUCGUUAGUAAACUUGGCACAGUUGGGAGCUUGAGCAGUAUGGUGUUGCUACUAGUGGCUUAGUGGCCGACAGGUUUGGGUCGGGCAUUUAUAGGAUAUUGACUUGUUGGAAAAGUCAUGGUUGUUUAUAGGCAAUUCCUCGUUGAGCUUCUUCUUUGUGGAUUCUUGUUCUUUUUUUGUGAGAAUGGUUUUGUAUGAUUUAAUUUACCAGUGAUGGAAUUUUUUAUAUGUCUCUUGGACAAAUUUUCAGAUGGUUGUGUACCUAAGCUGUUAUGGGUGUUUGGAUGCCACACGAGAUUUUGGAUUAGCCAUGGUUACGCUCGUAGGAGUGGUGGUUAGUGAUGAUUUUUUAGUAAGUAAAGUGUGUAUUUGAGGUCUUUUGAGCAUAAUUUUCAGAUUAGGGGAUUGGAUGGAAUUCACAAUCGUGAUGUUUUGGAUGUUCUUGAUGCAUGGUUUGGUUACGUUCCUAGUCAGAGACUAGAGGUAGGUAUGAUGAAUGAAUGAUCAGCAGUCCUUAGGUAUGGUUUCUAGAGUUUAGAAUGACGGGUUCUUGGUUUUUUCAAGUAUAUUGAUGGAGUUGGUUUGUAGUUGAAGUUUUGAUAGUUUCCAAGUCUGAGUGGUUUCUGCUGUGAGUUGGGUCUUACAGUUUAGGAGAGAGGUAGUUGUUACACUUCAGUACUAUCAAGUGUUUGGGUUGUUUGAUGUCAUUAGUUGGGCUCCGAGUGGUCUCUCUUGUUUUCUUUAUGGAUGUCUUGAUUUUAUUAAGUGGUUUGAGGAAGCAUAUGGAUCGUGUUGGUGCUAUUUUUGGAAAUUCUAUUCGAGACAAAUUUCAAGGACAAAAUCCAGUUUAAGUGGGGAGAGUUGUAACGUCUAGUUUCGGGAUGUUUCAAAUUUCGGGAUAGCGAACUAAAAUUCACUCAAGUACAGUUCUUAGGCUUCAAGGGGAUAAAGUUUAAACCUUAUUAGAUGUUGAUUGUUUUGUCAAAAAUUACACAAGUAUAAAUCAACCAAUUUGAAUGAGAGGAUGUGAUGUUCGAAUUGUGCAAUAAAGAAAGGUGAAGAAAAUGACACAAUUGUUUACAAGGAAAGCCCUUGAUCCUUGCUAGGAUCUCCGACACAAAACCUUUGGAGGUGAUAAUGAUAACAUGCCUUGAUGAUUUUAUUAAUAUAAAGUGAUGAUUACAGAGAGUAUUUCAGUAAGAACAAGUGAAAAAGUUCGUAGAGUAAGCUAAGAGUAGGUAGAGUGCGCCGUGUGCGAGAUACAUGUGUCAAUUUAUAGUUUAAACUAGCUAACAAGAUGUUCGAUAUUCCUGGGAUCCUCUAUGACCAGCUUUGUGAACGUUGUUGGACUUGGUAUUUCGGGUCUUUAGCAUAGUUGAGAUGACUCUUUGUUGAGAAUAAGUCUUCUCCCGACUAUUUAUGCACAUGUGUUAAUUAAGAACGAAAUAUAACUGUUAUAAAUGUUAGUAAAUAAUUAUAACUGUAAUAGUCGGGAUCCUGAGAUAGUUGAGGAUCCUGAAUAUCUGAUGAGGUUUGAGGAUCCUGAAUGCUUUGAGGAUCCUAGACCUAACAAUUGCCCCCAAGUUAUUCCUGAAACUAUAGGAGUUAAUUUCGAGAAUAUUAAAAGUAUAACUUAAAAAUAAAUUAAAAAGAUGAGAUAAAGAAGAGUUUAAAAAUUGCCCCUUAAUGGAUAAAUUUUAUCCAUCUUGAGGUAACCGAGAAGCGGUCAAAUCAUCUUUCUUAUCUCUUCUUUGCUAUAAAUGUGGGCUUUCGGUAACUUCUUCUUUACUCUCUUCAGUCGUCAUCGUCUUAUUGCGAAGGUAAUUUUUCCUCUUACUUGUGUUCUUCUGUUCCUACGAUUUUCCUCAUCAUGGUUAAGAAAACAUGUCGUGCUCAAGCUAGCAUUGUUACUUCUCCUGAGAAUGACUUCAGUGAUCAAGCAAUCUUAUCUUAUGAAGAAGUUUGCUCCUUCGACGAUGAGGACAUGGAGUCAUUGAAAGCCGUUGGGGCUUUUCCUCCUGAUGUAGUUUUUCGACCUUCUGAGGCCACCGUUCAACCGAAUUUUGUUUCUCCGACGUGGGUUUGCUUUCUCGAAUACCCAUUUACUCUAGGUUUAACUUAUCCUUUCAAUGGUAUCAUUCGUGAUUUCUUUUCGACUACCCAAAUUUCUUAUAUCCAAGUUAUGCUUAUGGUUUGGAGGAUCCUGUUUUGGAUUGAUCGCUUAAAUCAGUCCAAGAAUAUGGACAUUAGGUUACCUGAGAUAGCUCUCGUUUAUGUUCUUUUAAAUUUUGGUUCUUCCCCUUUCCUGUUAAGAGUUAAGAGAAACAAACCCCACCUCAUUUUGAUAUCUAAACAAAAUGAUGGUGCUUGGAAGGAAAAAUAAUUCUUCGUUAGACGUGAUUCGAUUCCCGAUGGGAUUCCCAGCCAAAAACAUGGAUUAAAAAGGGUAGGAUUUGAAUUUAGAUUUUAAGGAUCUUGAAAUUUACUUCCCUUAUUUUGUUUGUCUUGAUGCAACAUUCAAAUUUGAGGCGUUGUUCAUGCUACUGGUGAUUCCGAGGAUAAGGUUUCCAAAUAUCUUGCACUUCCCACACUUGAAAGGUCUUUCAGGUUUGAAUAUUCCAGUCUCCAAGAGGGUUCUUCUACUACUGCUUCUAUGGCUACUGGUACCUUUAUUUUGCUUGGAUACUUCUUUUAUAUUGAUUGGGAUCCUGAGUUGAUAGGGAUCUUUGGCAGUUUCCAAGACCACUCGGUCUAAGGCUUGUUUUGGUUUGGCAGAUCUUGAGACGAUAUGGCCAUCGGUUUGAUCAAGGUUAAGCAAGAAAAAGGUGUCACUUUUCUUCCUCCCAAGCAAUCUCACGUAGACCUUACAAUUAAGGCUUGAGGAUCUCAUAAGCGGAAGCCUUCUAAAGUUGCGGAUUUUGGUUUAUAGAAUCUUGACAUUGAGGAUGCUCUCAGGAAGUUGACCACGUUUACUCAAGCUGUAAGUUUUUCUUUCAUUCUUUAUUGUUCUAUUUCUUAUUUCCAUUUGAUCUUUUUCAAGUUUCCGACCACACCUCUGCCGAUUUGAUGCUCCAGACUAAGAGAGCUGAGCAGGCUCUUCAGGAACAAGAAAAGAUGUGAAAGGCGAUCAAUAAGGAUCUUCUAAAGCGAUUGGAACUUAUGAGUAAGGAGAAGGCUGAGAAAGAGGGUGAGCAUGCUGUGGAGAUUGAGGAGGUGAUUUCUAAGGUGAAGAGUAGCGCUGCAAUAGCUAUUUGGGAAUCUAAGAUCAAGCUUGCUGAAGAUCUUAAAAAUUUUGGAUCCUAGAAUGUGGUUGGUUGGCGUGAGGCAUUAGCCCAUCUAAUGGACAAGCCUGAUUCUGUCACUACGGAUCCUACAUUGUAUCCGUUGGAGGGAGGAGAGAAAUAUGGGGCCAAUGAUGACCAGACUAAGGUCUAGGCAUGCAAGAAGAUAAAUUAAGUAGUUUUUGCUUUAUGUAAGACAUUUAGCUUCUGCAUUAGCAGGUUGGUGUGCAACUUUUUGAAUGACAUGGUAGUAUUUUCCUUUUAUCUGUCUUUAUCUCCUUGUCCUGUUUAAUAUGUGUGUCAAAUAUAGUACUAGGAUUUUUUAAGUAGUUAGGAUCCUGAAAAUAGAGAAUGAUUUUCAAGAUAAAGUUCUUUUGGCAAAUAAUAGAUAAAAUGAUUUGAUAAGGAUUGAAUUUGUUAAACAACUAAAAGUGAAUCUUAAAAUAAUAAGAACUGACUUUGUUAAGCAAUUUAAAAUGUUAAAAGUUUCUGUAAAAGUUUGAUGACUGACUUGUAAUCCUCAAGAGUUUCAAAUAAUUUUUAUAACAAAACAAAAAGAAUUUGUUAAGAACUGAUUUUGGUAAAUCUAAGUGCUUUAAAACUUCUUUAAAGAUAUCAAUUUAAAAUAGUAAAUGGCUUCGAAGUGAUGAAAGUUUAUAAAUCAGCAAUUGGUUUAGGAUCCUAAAAAGUUUAAGAUCCUUAAUUUUACUUAAAAAAUUUCAAAGUUAAGAACAAGGAAACAUGGAACCUGAUUGUCUUUGAGUUUUUCCUUAAGCUUCAUAAGUCUUUCAAUCUUAGAAUUUACUGAGGAUAAAUCUCAACUUAGGAAAGAACUUACCGAUGUGGAUCCUUAAUGAUGAUAAGAUUUUUACUGAUGAGGAUCCUUAUCAAUGUGGAUCCUUAAUGAUGAGGAUCCAUAUUUAUGAGGAUCCUUAAUCAUAAGAUCAUACGGGGGAAUUCCCUUCUUAGGAUAACCUGUUUAGAUAUUAGAGGUUGACAAAACUCUUGGGUAACACCAUAAGUUCAAUUCAUAAGAUGUUAAUGUCAUAUAUUGUGGAGGAUCCUAAGUUUUGACAUAUUUCAUGGGAAAGAUCCCUACUUAUGAUAACAUGUAAAUGUUAGGAUUUGUGUGUAUUUUCGGGGGAAAGAUCCCAACGUGUGAUAGCAUGAAGAAGUUAUAAACAUUAUGUAAUUUCUAGGGUAAGAUCCCAAUUUUAGAUAACAUGAAAAUAUUAUAAACCUUAAGGAUCUUAACUUAUGUUCAAAGAUAAGAGGGUUCCAAAACCACUGUAUCAUGAAAUGAUCCCCUCAUUCGUAUCCUAUAGUUAGAUAUUGUGCGUUCAAGCGAGGUGUAUAAACCUUAGUUCAUGUGAAAUAGGUAAUUAACUCUUUAAACCUUAGAGGGGAUUAAGUACCCUUAAGCAUAAGAGAGAUGAUCAGUCUCUAACUUAUGUAUAUGGUAGUUUAAAGAUCAUACCGUUGAUAUAACGAAAUUGUCCAAGUGUCAAGAUGCUGAGAUCUUUGUGCAUCAAGAUCCUUAUGUUUCAGGAUCUUCAACCUUGAGGAUCCUUAUGUUUCAGGAUCAUUACUUAUGGAGAUCGUUAGUUGUAUGUUGUUCUGCAUAGAAAACGUUAGCUAGGGGUGGGCAUUAGUCUAGCGAACGCCCCUCUGAUGCUUAAGUUAGUAAUGUAUUCAAGAUGAAAAUAAGUAAUGAUGAAAAGUUUAAGGUAAAGAACAUGUGCACCUUGGUUUUGUUGAAGAUCAAUUAAUAUUAUUUACAUAUAGUAUGCUUUGAGAUGUAUAUCAUUCCAGGAUCUUGGCAAAAUGUCUCUUUCGAGUGUUUCUAGCUAAUAUGCUUCUUUUCCUGCUUCAACAUCUAUGAGAUAUGGUCCUUCCCACUUAGGAGGUAAUUUACCUGCACUAGGAUCCUUGGUGUUUUGGAAUGUUUUCCUUAAUACCAAGUCUUUAUUUGGAACUUUCUGACUUUUAUGCUCUUGUUGUAAGCCUUGGUGAUUAUUUUUUUGAUGAGCAACAAUACGUAUCUUGGCAAUAUCUCUAAGUUCGUCAACAAUGUCAAUAUCAUGGGCUAGGAUCCUAUCAUUGUUUUCUUGAUUUUGGAGCAAGUAUCUUACUGUUGGGAUCACUACUUCGGUAGGGAUCAUUGCUUAUGUCCCGAACACUAAGGAGUAGGGGGCCUGACCUGUGGAUACUUUGGAAGUAGUCUUAUCUGCCCAUAGGACGAAAGUAAGCUCUUCUACCCAUCUUCCUUUCUUUUCAUCUAGCCUUUUCUUCAAGUUUUUUACUAUGAUCUUGUUGCAAGAUUAUGCUUGACCAUUAGCUUGGGGAUGAACAGGAGUGGACAUUAUCAUUUUGAUUCCCUAAUUCAUGCAAAAGUCUCUUGUCCUCUUGCUUAUGAAUUGGGAUCCAUUGUCGCAUAUGAUUUCAGCAGGGAUCCCAAACCUAGUCUAGAUAUUACGUUUAAUCAAUGAGACUACUUUGUCUCUAACGUGAACGAAGGCUUCAGCUUCGAUCCACUUCGAGAAGUAAUCAGUCAUCACCAACAUGAAGACUUUUCCUCCUGGAGCUAUUGGUAAUUUUCCUACUAUAUCUAUUCCCCAUUUCAUGAAUGGCCAUGUAGAGAUAAUAGGAUGUAAAGGUUUUUCCAGUUGAUGUAGGAUGUUGCUAUGUCUUAGGCAAGCAUCACACUUUUGAGCAUCUAGAAAAGAAUCUCUCUUCAUGGUUGGCAGUAGUAUCCUAUUCUCAAUACCUUGGAUCAUAAGAUCUGCCCUCAGUGUGAUUGCCAUAGUCUCCUUCAUGUAUGUCCUUCAAGACUUCUACAUCUUCAGGAUCUUCCAAGCAUCUGAGGUAUAGAACUGCCAUAGACUUUUUUAUAGAGUUUAACUUGGAUUAUUACGAUUCUUUCACUUUUUUCUUUUGUUGGGAUCGUGCCAUUUUCGAGAUACUCCAUAAUGGGUUGGAUCCAUGAUCGUGGACUUCUUCGAGGAUCCUGUUCGUCGGGAUCCCUUUGAGGAGGGAUCUGAGGGUUAGGAUCUCCGGUGGCUGCUACACUUAUUGGUUGUUCAGGAUCAUUGGGUUUGUCGGAAAGGGAUUCUAUAGAAGGAGUUAUUUGUGGGUUAUAGGGAUCUUCAUUUAUGGUGGGAUCCUUAGGGAGGAUCCUAUGUUGGCUAAUGUGUCCGCUUUUGUGUUUUCUUCUUUGGGAACUUGGGUUUGGCUAAAGUUUUCAAAAUCGGAGGCUAAUUUUUUGAGGAUAACGAGGUAUAAUGCUAAUCUUUCACCUUUCACUGCAUAAGAUCCAUUGAAGUGAUUAGUUAAUAAUAAAGAGUCAACAAAUACCUGAAGAUCCUUAGCCAAUUGUAGUCCCAUGAUGAGUGCUUCAUAUUCCGCUUCGUUGUUGGUUGCGUUGAAUUCGCAACUAACUGCCUGAGGUAGGAUGUCCCCUGUGGUGAUUUUAGUAUGAUCCCUAACCCGAUUCCUUUUUGGUUUGAAACUCCAUCCAUGAAUAGUGUCCAUUUUCCCAAGUGUUCAUCUUCUAGGAGUCGUUUAGCUUCAAUGUCUACUUCAUUUUGUAGAUCAUCACUAAAGUUAGCCAGAAACUUGGCUAAUGCUUGUGACUUUAUGGCAGAUCUUGGCUCAUAUUUGAUGUCCAACGUGCUUAACUUCACUGACCAUUUUUCCAACCUUCCUGACAUCUCUGGUUUUCUCAUCGCAUUCUUAAUAGGAUAAUUAGUUUUCACAUAUAUAGUAUGUGUAUCGAAAUAAUGUCUUAACUUGGUAUAAGUAGUUACUAAUGCAAGAAUUAAUUUUUUGAGAUUAGAAUACAUGGUCUCAGGAUCCAGAAGACUUUUACUUACAUUGUAGAUAGGAUGUUGGUCUCCGACUCUCCGUUAGGAUCCUGGGCUUGGACAACACUUACCGCACUUGAGGAUACCGAGAGGUAAAAGAGAAGUGGUUCUCCAUCUAUAGGCUUCACUAGCAGUGGCUCGAAACUUAAGUAUUGUUUAAGUUCCUGAAAAGCUUCUUUGUGUUUUUCGGUCCAUUCAAACUUCUUGUUCUUCUUCAAGAUAUCAUAGAAGGGCUUACACCUUUAUGAGGAUCUUGAAAUAAACUUGUUGAGUGCUGCUACUUUUCCAGUUAGCCUUUGGAUGUCUUUUAUUGAAGAUGGAGAUUUUAGCUCGAUGAUUGCUUUAAUCUGCUCCAGGCUUGUUUCUAUUCCUCUCUUGGUUACCAUAUACCCAAGGAACUUGCCCGACUUCAUCCCACAGUGGCAUUUAGAAGGAUUCCACUUCAUGUUGUAUCCAUCUAGAAUGUCGAAGGCUUCUUUGAGAUCCCUAAUAUGAUCUUCAGCUUUCAUGGACUUCACCACCAUGUCGUCAAUGUAGACUUCCAUGGUGUCCCCCGUCUAGUCUUUAAACAUUCGGUACACCUGUCUUUGAUUUGUUGCACCUGCAUUUUUAAGACCAAAAGGGCAUCAUAGUGUAACAAUAUAUACAUGUUGGUGUUUGUAAAUGAUGUAUCUUCUUGAUCGGAUGGUUCCAUCUGGAUUUGUUGGAAUCCUGCUGAAGCAUCCAUGAAGGUUAAGAGUUUGUGGCCAGCCGUUGCAUCUAUCAUGGAGUCAAUGUGUGGUAGAGGAAAAGGAUCCUUAGGAAAAGCCUUGUUAAGAUCCAUGUAAACUACACAUACUCACCACUUUCCGUUAUUCUUCUCUACGACAACUACAUUAGCUAGCCAUUGGGAACUUCAGUUCCUUGAUCAUCCCUGUCUUGAGGAGCUUUUCCACUUCUUCUUGUAUGAUCUGAUUCCUUUUGGGUGCAAACGUCCUACUCUUUUGAUGUAUUGGUUUCAAAGAAGGAUCAAUAUGAAUUUUGUGAGUGAUAAUACUCUUGUCUAUACCUGUCAUAUCUUUAGGUUUCCAUGUGAACGUCUUGCUUCUAGUUUGAAGGAAGUUUAACAGGUCCUGCUCAAUUUGCUCGGGUAUUGAGGAUCCUAUGAGGACUUUGGCUUCAUGAUCUUCAUUGCUCAGGGACAUUUCCUUCACGUUUUGCUCUUUCGUUUGUAGAACAUGUCGUGCCCCUACCUUGAUCGCUAUGCUUGUUGGGAUUUCAUCGUAGGCUUAAUAGAGGUUUUAUAACAUUCCUUUGACUCUUGUUGAUCUCCCAUGAUCUUUACUAUUCCCCACGAAAUAGGCAUUUUUACACACUGAUGAUAUGUUGAUGGAACCGUUUUCAUCUCAUGGAUCCAUGGUCUACCUAAUAUCACAUUAUAAGAAGAUAAGGUGUCAACAACACAUAAAUUUUGUAUAGAGUUUACCCCUUUAUGUAUAUUGGUAGCUUUAUCUCCUCGAUGGUGCGUUUCAUUUCUCCGCUAAAUCUUUUGAGGAUCGAGGAUUUUUUUAUUAUCUCCAAUUCCGGGAUGUUCAUCCUCUUCAGUGCAUCCAAGAGUAUGAUGUUAACCAAGGAUCCUUCUAACAAAGUGGUUGGCAAUAUACAAUGUUAUCAUGAGUCCGUCAUGGUGAGGAUCCUGGAUCUCUUCCUUGUCUGUCUCGUCAAACGUGAUUUCCUUUUCAUUGGUAACCGGGGUAUUCUUUCGUGGUCUAUCUGUUGGAUUAAUGUCUAAGUCCAUAACUAUAAUUGGUAAGACUUGACAUGACCCGGCAUGGUCCAUUUGGGUUGCAUGGCAUCAUGCAUUUGGAUAGACUAAAAUGAGAGAAAUAACACUUAAGGUUGGUUAAUAUAUUAUAAGUUAUAAUAUAUUAAUAAGAUUAUUUAAUUCGUAUUGAUCAAGAAUUAAUCUAGGAUUAAUUAAGUGAUCAAAAGAAGACUAAUUAAAUAUAUGGGUUGAUUGUGUAAAUCAUCCAUACUUGUAUAGUGGGCUAAGAGUCCAUGGAUUAUCAAGUUGGGCUAAAACCUAUAGGAUGCUCCAUGGAGUAUUUGAACGCAUGGUACCAAGGAAAUGGAAAGCAAUGACAAUUAGGUUUCACCCUAAUUUUCACUAACUAUAUAAGCAUAUUAUUCUUGAGAAAAAGGCCACUAUGUGAGAGAUAAAGGGCUAGCCGAUUUUCAUGAAGUGUUCCAUUUUCUAUCAAGUCAUUCCAUGUGCAUUUGGUGUUAUGUGAACCAUUUGAGGUGUCAUACUUGGGGCACUAGGCACUCAAGCUUCAUGAAGACAUUCUACAUCAAAGAGGUAUGUAAUUCUAACUUGAUAUAUUCNUUGUAUGCUAGAUUAGGAUAAUACCUUGGAAGUUCUUAUUUGCAUGUAUAAUAGAGAAAACAUAGAUCCAAGGUAUUUAUGGUUGCAUGUACACUUCGGAGUGUUAGAAUGCUCAAAACCCAACAGUGGUAUCAGAGCCAGGUUUGCUUUCUCUUAUACUUGAUGCAAAUGUGUUUUUUCAAAGUUGAAUCUGUCCAGACCAUAAAACUCAAUGAGUUUAUGCCAAAAACUCGACGAGUUCAUCAUUUUGGCCAUGAACUCAACGAGUUUCUUAAGGAACUCGACGAGUCACUCUUGGAUGUAGUGUUUUAGGCUUACUCUCUUGUAUGUAUAAAUGGGUUGAGUCUUUCCUAUAAAUAGGAAGUGAGUGACUCCCAUUAUGGAAGGAAUCAUUUUGGAGUGUUAGACUAGAGAGAGAAUUUGUGUACAAACCCAUUUGUAUAUUCUUUCUAGAUCUAAUAAGAGCUUACAAAGAAUUAUUUACUCCUUGUGUUCUUGAUUUGUAUGGUGAAUCACUAGAUCUUUUCUAAUUCCGCACAUGCCAUCAAAAUCAACACCACUACAAUUGGUAUCAGAGCGGGUGUUCUUGAUCUCAUCAAGAAUUGAUCCUUGAUGGCUAUUUUGAUUUGGUGAUUCUUUUUCUUCAUUGAUCUUCGUGUUUAGAGAGUGUUUUUGUGUUCUAGAAGUCGAAUUCUUCUUUGAUUUGAUCCAUAAUUCGACUUUCUCUCUCUAGAAUACUUGUUUGUAUCACUUUAUCUCUCUAGAAAACCCAUUCAAAAUCACUUUCUCUCUCUAGAAAAUUUCAAGUUCUUGUAAUCAUGGAGAAAUGGAUGAUACGUAGAGAUGAUUUUCAAAGUGAAUGCUCAUUUGAAUAUCUUCUUUAUAGCUUAACUGUUGGAUUGAUAAGUGAAUGUGAUAUUGUUGUAAAUGGAGAAAAGAAUGAAGUUGGAGAAUUAAUUAGUUGUCCAAUUUUUCGAACCAAACAUUUGUUUGAUCGUUUGAUUACAACAUAUCAAAAGAGACGAAGAAAUAGAAGAGAUGGAGAAGUCAUAAAAGGAAUUUCUCGUGCCGAAUGCAAAUAUGGAAGCAAUAAACUUGAAUAUUAUGCAGAUUGUCGUGAAGCUCGGGAUGGUGUUCUUGAUGAUGAUGAUGUUCAAGAAAAAGGAGUUCAAUGUGAUGUUCUUGAUGUUCAAGAAAAAGGAGUUCAAGUUGAUUCUCAAGAUGAAAAAGUUUUUUGCUCAAUUGGAGUUCAAACCGAUGAUAUUUUGUGUUCUUGUGAUUCAUUUGAAGGAAUGAUUCCUUAUCGGAAGCCGGUGGUUCAAGAAAUUCACAAAUAUCAAACUCCAAAAGAUUUGAUUCAAACUCAAAAUGUUCAUGUUGUUGAAAGUGGGUUUGUUCAUGAAGUCAAGUCUUCAAGAUGCAAAAAGAUGAGAAAGAAAAAGAAGAAGAAGAUGAACCGAAAGAACAAGCGGGUUUACUCACAAAAAUCGUCAUAUGUUGUGAAGCCAAAAUCCAUGAAGAAAAUUUGGGUUCCAAAGCAACAAUCUCCAAAGGUUGCAUUGAAUUUGAAGUCAAAACCCAAAAGUGGUGGUGGUUCUUUUGAAGAUGUUGUUGGAUCGACGAAGAACACGAAGAACAAGUUGUACAUCUCGCAUGGUGGGUGGUACAAUGUUCGAUUUGGAGAUUUUCUCAUUCUGACCAAAGAACCAAGAUCUUCCAAAUUUGAUUCGUUCGUUGAAAAUGGAUCUCGAUUCGUCAAAAAGGUAUCACAAAUUCUCAAAUGGAUACCAAAACGUCCAUGAUUUUGAUUAGUGCUUUGCGUUUUUCAUUUUUGAUCGAUUUGCCUCAUUGGAUCUAAUUUGUUUCAACCCCAUAGUUGAUCCAAUUAUUUUUGUUUUGAUCAAAACCAAAAUCAAAAUCUUAUUCUAUUUUUCUGAAAUCAUUUUUUGUUAUUGUUUUGAAAAUAUCAAUAACAAAAUAUUUUGAUUUUCAAUACUCUUAAACAUUGUUCGAAUGAUGAAUAGUUCGAAGCACAGCCCAACAACAAUUGUUUACUAUUCGGAACCCAGUCCAUGAUAAUGAAUCUAUUUAGAGCCCAUAAUGUAGAUCAAAUACUGUUCAUCCAAGGUCACUUUGAUAUUCAACCGAUUUGUGCUUCUAAGAUCAUAUGUUAUUCUGAUUCAAAUCAAAUACACUUCGUAUGAUUUUUGUUCAUUCAUUUUCAAUCUCAAAUAUCUUGAAUAAUGAUGAAGGUCGCAACAUAUCAUGUCUCUGAUUAAGUCUAUUGAUUUAGAUUUACAAUUUCCUCUUGAAUCUCUUUUGUUGAAAUUGAUUUGAAUGAAAUCUGAUCAGAGUCGUUAAUUGAACAAAAUUAGUCUUAUGACUUCAUCUCUUCAUUCAUAACAAUCAUUUGUUGCUGAUUGUUAAUAUGAGUUUAGAUAUCGAUUUUAGAUGAUUUGUGUGUGAUGAAAUCGAGUUUAUUCGUUCUAAACUUUGUAAUCGGAAAUUGUUUUUGAGAUGGUACUAAUCUUAGACAAGAACGUGAUGAACAAGUGAUGAAAAACUGUUCGACUAGCUUGUUUGAUCUGAACUUGAACUAAGGAGUUUUCAGUUUGUGUUUGUUUGAUCGGAAAUUGUUUGUUUGGUGUCGACAAAUUGAAAUCAGUGGCGAAGGGUUAAUGUACGAAGGGUUGAUAUUGGGACGAAGAAUCGUAAGAAACGAAGAAUUGAUUUCGUUCGAUUUGGGUUAAGAUUCGAAGACUUGAAUAUCGAUCUGUUAUAUCAAGAAGUAAAUGUUUCGAAGCCUUGGUUAUAUGAUCGAGAUUGGAUGGUGUUCGAUUGUGAGUUGGGGAAGAACACAAGAUGACGUCGAAUAACAUUUUGAACAGUUUUGAUCAAUCGGUUGGAAUGUCGAAUAUCAUUUUGUUAUUGGACGGUUUAAGAUGACCUUUGUUGUAAGGAGAUGGUUUGCUAUAGAAUCGAUUUGGGAAGAACGAUAAGAAACGAAGAACGUGAGAACGAAGAUUUGGAAAGAUGGUUUGGAGUCGAUCAAUCAAAGUCUUUCCUGUAGUAUCGAUUGUUGAAAUGAUCGAUACAAUCUAAAAGUAAUCAAAAAUGAAGGGUCACUAGUUGGUUGUUCUUGGGUUUGAUUUAGUGAAAUGAAUUAACGAAGGAUGCAUAUGAAAGAAUUUUCGAAGGGUGUUUGUGUAUUGAUGAAGGAUUCCAAGGGUUCCUGGAACGAAGACCUGUAAUAAUAAUAAUAAAAAAAACGAAGGGGUGUUUGGAUUUAGAUUCGAAGGUUGUUUGUGACUUGAACAAAAGGGAAUGUUUGAUUUUGAUUAAAGCAAAACAAUCGAAGGGUAUUUUGAGUAUACAUAUGAAGUAAAGAAGGAUUAUGAUUCGAAGGGCAUGUGGUAAAUGAACGAAAACGAGAAAUCAUAAAUUCGAAGGGUUGGUUUAAUGUUGAAUAUUCGAAGGGUAUAUUCUGAAUUUUCGAAGGGGUAUUUUGAAAAUUUAUGAAGACUUUUACUGUUCAGUCUUCGUAUCCUUGUACUUCGUGAAUUGGAGUUGGGGUCUUCGAAAGAAGUGAGCAAAUGACAAAGUUUCGAAAACAACCCCUGAACCUUCGAUUUGUUGACACUUCGAAAAUUAACACAUGUUUGGAAUGUUUGACACUUUUCGCCCAAAUUCGAAAUCUUUUGGAAGCUUCGAAUUUUUGGGAAUCUUCGUAUGUUUGGAACACAAAGAGCAGAAUUUUCGAAAAUGGUCCCUGAAACUUCGAAUUUUUGGCAGUUUUCACCCAAAUUCGAAAAAGGACUCUUUUUUGCUGAAAAUUGAAGAUUGUGCAUUUCUGGUCCCUGCAGUUUGUGCAAAUUGACGCUUUCUACCCAGAUUUGAAAAAGGGGGAGAGUUUUGCAUAUUUGGUUGUUUUGGACGCAACGGGUCCCUGCAACUUUCAGAAAGUGACAAUUUCUAUCCGGAUUUUGAAAAAUCUUGCAACUUUCACCCAAAAAGUCAAAAUUUUUCAUAAAUUGAAAAUUUUUUGUGGCUUUUUCGUGAUUGUUUAUCCGUGAAAGAUUUUUGGUGAUUAAUUUUUGGUACACAUCAAGGGNUCUGGGUCCCUGCAAGUUUCAGAAAGUGACAAUUUCUACCCGUAUUUUGAAAAAUCUUGCAACUUUCACCCAAAAAGUCAAAAUUUUUCAUAAAUUGAAAAUUUUUUGUGGCUUUUUCGUGAUUGUUUAUCCGUGAAAGAUUUUUGGUGAUUAAUUUUUGGUACACAUCAAGGGGGAGUAUCGUGAAGACUAUUCCUCGGGCGCUUCUCAUCCUUAGUGGGUUUUAUAAUCAUUUUUUGAUUAUAAAAAGGGGGAGAAUGAUGGGUAUUCGAAGCUUCUCGGGUUUGUCGAAUAUUCAUUUGUGGAUUUGAAGACCGGUGUUACUUCGAGGGGGAGUUUGGUCUUGAUCGCGCUAGCUCGUUGGAGAUUAAUGUCGGGCAUCCAAUCCUAACUUUGAGGGGGAGAAUGUUAGGGUGCAAAGUCACUCUUGGAUGUAGUGUUUUAGGCUUACUCUCUUGUAUGUGUAAAUGGGUUGAGUCUUUCCUAUAAAUAGGAAGUGAGUGACUCCCAUUAUGGAAGGAAUCAUUUUGGAGUGUUAGACUAGAGAGAGAAUUUGUGUACAAACCCAUUUGUAUAUUCUUUCUAGAUCUAAUAAGAGCUUACAAAGAAUUAUUUACUCCUUGUGUUCUUGAUUUGUAUGAUGAAUCACUAGAUCUUUUCUAAUUCCGCACAUGCCAUCAUAAUCAACACCACUACAAAUGUUCAUGCUAAUCCAAUUUCAAAGAUAAGUGUUAAUAGAUUCAUGUUUUGUAUUAGUUUAAAAGUUUUGCUAAUAACAUGAAAAAGUUUGAUGUGAAUUAUCUUUGUUCAUAUGAGUUGCUUAGAUUAAUAGAUAAGUUAAUUGAUUAUGUGUUUUCAAUCCAUUUUAAUCUAAGAGAUGAUUCUAAAAUGUGUUUGUGUAACUUGUCCUCAAGUUACAUGAAAGGUCACAUUUAAGUUUCAUAAAACUCAUAAAAGUUGGCAAUGGUUACAAAAAAUGAAGAGUCUUGUCCUCAAGUUAUGGAGGUUCAAGAGUCACUUCAUUAAGUAAUAAAAUGUGUAACCUUAAUUAAUUCCAUAAGUUACAAAAUAAAGAAAAGUUACAUUCUUUUAUUAGUUUAAAGUCUUCCAUAACUUGUCCUCAAGUUAUGGAACUUGAAGAGUUUUUUUAAUUAAAACUACUUUAAACACAUAAGUUAUGGAAUUAAUUAGUUUUGAAUAGUUUCAAAACUUGCCCUCAAGUUUUGGAAUUUGUAAAGUUUUCACUUAUGAAUACUUUAAUUCCAAGUUAGCCCUUAGAAUUUUAAAAGUUAAAAUUCAACCCUUAUACUUUAUAAUAUUAUAAGUUAAUAAUAUAUAUAUGUAUAAGAGUAAAGUCAGUCUUACCGCUAGUACGCCUCAUUCACGAAGCCGGUCUAUAAGGUGGGUAUAAGGUUGUUGCCUAUAAAAUGGCAACUUAAUGGGUGUCCACUCUCACCCACCGCUUGCUUGACUGGUGGAGGGUCGUUAGCCGAACGGGUUUGACAGGACUAGAAUUCUCCCUUCAUUAAAAGUAUUAAUGAUAAAUACUAAGUAACUAAACCUUUUAUAAAUACCCAAUCUUAGUUACUUAGGAAAAUGUGAAUAAGGUGCUAAUCCAUGAAAUUACACUUUGCACUUUGUUUAAGUCGGUUAGUUGAGUGUGUGUAGUUAACCGGCACACUAACUCGUAUUUAACAAGGUAGGAAAAGGGUAACUUAAUGUUUAUGAUAGUAUCGAUGGAGCGUGUGUGGUUAACCGGCACAUCGAUUGAGGGGUAAUUUAUUAAGGGUACCAAGUGAUUUGCAUGGUUACUUCACACCUUGUUUUGUGAUCCUCGGCAUCCCAGUCACAAAACCUGAAGGGCACACUCGAGAUUGAAACAUGCCUUUGAAAAGUUCAAUGAAUCUCAAAGAUCUAGGAGUUUCAAAACCAAUUAAAACCUAAUAAUACAUUUCGUUUAUCUUGGUGGAAAUUGGUGAAUCGUCAUUCACCUACCUUCAAAUAUUUUAUAGCUUGGAUUACGGCAUACCUCUUCUAAGUUAUAAAAUAGUUUGUUGGGUCCUAGCCUUAAUAUUUCAUAUUGGGUGUCAUAUUAAGGACUUUAAAUCAACUAUCUUGAAUAUCUCCCAAAAGAUGUCUGGUUUAGACAUUUAUGAUCUUCCCAAAUCUCUUGAAACAAGCUUUCCUAAAUGAAGAUGAUGUCCCAUGGAAAUCAUACUUCAAUCACCUCCUCCAAUUAUUCUCCCUAACCCACAAGUUCUUGAAAAGUUUAAGGUCACUCAAGCCCUAUUGGCAAGUAAAAGUCUAUGUGUGGUCACAUCUUGGAGACGUAGUCACAUAUUCACAAGCCGGGAGAGUAGGGUAUCAAAGUCUUGUGAAAGCUGGUGGUUCAAUCACUUUCUAAGUCACAUAGUGAGUUCCUUUGGGACUCUUAUGAAACAGACUAUGACAAGACCCUUAAUGAUCUUAUCUAUUUGCUAAGAUCAACUUCCUAAAACUUGUGGACAUUGACAAUAAUGGCAUUGGAUAUCCAGUAAAGCACUCUCUUCCUAAUGGAAAUGGAUCGGCUAUAGUCAACUCGGUUGACCAAAUGGUAAAGAGAAAAGCUAAGUCUGUGAUAGUCCUGUGUACCAUUAUCAAAGGGUCCAUAUGUUUGUAUUGCCAAAGAAAGGGCAUUGGUUGCGAAGCUGCCAAAUUUACCUAAGGAUGUUAAAGUCAAUAAGUUUGACUCUACUUCAGGUAAAAUCCACUAUCUAACUCUGUUAAGUUUCUAUUCUGAGAUUCUUGAUACAUGAUGUGACUGGGUCACAUGGUGAUGUUUCAAGAAUCAAAUAAAAGUGAAGAAAAUUAAAGAAAGAAUAUGUUGAAUCUGAUCGCGUAGAUGGAUUUCUAUCGCAUAGUUUUAAGAUCGGAUUCUUGAGCUUCUUCUUAGGAGUUAUGAGAUAUUGCUUAGGAAUAGAUAACAACAAGUUUUCAUAUGGAUUGUAAGGAUAAUUUUUUUUCGCAAAGUUUUAAAAAAAGUAAAAGGAAAUUUUUGAUUUUAUUUAUUUUAUGUAUCCUUGCAAUGGCAUUUGUGAAAAAAAUUGUUGCUUAUAUGAUUCCAUAAAUAGCAAGAGUGGAAAUAUGAAAUUGAUUCUUUCAUUUGUGGUAAUGUCUAAAUUUACCAAAUAAGGAAAGAUCCUCAUCACCCAAGUUUCAAUUGGACCGGAACUUGGAAUCAUGCAAGAUGUAUAUCAUGAUGAAUAAGAACUUUCAAGCAUUGGAAAAAAAUUAAGACUAACUACUUGUUCACAUGGAUGUGUGAGUCAAGUAAAUGACUAAGAGAUUGAGUACACAUUCUUGUGCACAUAAUGUCUAAAUUUACCAAAUAAGGAAAGAUCCUCAUCACCCAAGUUUCAAUUGGACCGGAACUUGGAAUCAUGCAAGAUGUAUAUCAUGAUGAAUAAGAACUUUCAAGCAUUGGAAAAAAAUUAAGACUAACUACUUGUUCACAUGGAUGUGUGAGUCAAGUAAAUGACUAAGAGAUUGAGUACACAUUCUUGUGCACAGGUUAAGUCCACCACAAAAGAUCGAUAAGACUAUUCGUCAUAAUUUACUAUAGCUUAAUAAAUAUGGUUAUACUUACAAGCUUAAGUGUAAUUCUGAGAUAUUGGAAAAGGUUCCAAUGUAUGGCAGAGCGAACAAGAAGAAUCAACUUAGGCAGAAAGAUAAAAGUUUCUCAAAUUUGAAAUGAUGGGAGAGUACUUUAGUAUCAUGUUUUAAGAUCAUCUUAAUGAUUAAGAAACCAUAUCACAAUUCAUCUUCUAAGUGCAUUCUGAUAGCUAAGAAGAGGAGCUAUGAAUUGUUGAAGUGCUUAAAUCAAGAAGACGAUUCAUACUUCGUUCCAAAAACAAUUCUUAGAGUUAUACUCAAAGAAUGUAACUUGAGUGACAUGUCUUAAAGAAGGUUUAAAACACUUGUCAAAUGUAAGAGUAAAAGUUUUCUACUCUUGUAUAUUUGAAAUUGGUAAGUUGUCAUAUUUUGGAUAAAACAAAGACCAAAUAAGGCCAAUUGUGUGAAGUGUUUAUCUUGAUUAGAAUCCCACUAUCUCUUGAAUAUUUGACAAGAGAGUCUUAUAUGUCAAGAGGACAGUGGGAGUCUUAAAGGUCUUGAAAGUCUCAAGAACUAAUCAAGAAUAAAACCUGAAGUUCUUCACUAGCACACGACUUGAGGUUUAUAACCUAUCGUAUUGACAUUUUCUGUGCCCAUUCCAAUUAAAGUUGGCUUUGCAUAUGAGUUGUUAGAGUUCUCAAUUGGUUGCACAACAACUUGGAAGCAAUGGCAGGCCCUUGAGCUGCCAGGUGGCAAGAAAUUAAGAUUGAGUUCAGUCCAUAUGAGUUUGGAUUUGUCAUUAUCCUUGUCUUGUGACUAUGGUUUUGAAAAUUUCAUGUGGAUAAGAACACAUACACCAUUAAAUCUAAGUGUCAUAAGGUUUCUCUCCGAUUCAUGAAAAUGAUGGUGAGGAAACACUAUCACUAAGUAGAUUUUAGCUAGAUAGCAAUUGUGAUAUUUGCAUUCUCAAAGUCGUUAGUGGAGCGUGUGUGGUUUACCGGCACACUAACCUGGACUUGUGAGAAGUGGCAAAAAGGUCUAACCAUUAUGAUUACGGCAUCCCUCUUCAUAAUUGUUUAGACACACAAGUGUGCUAUCUAAGGGAAGGUGUAUGAUUUUGAUAAAGUCUUAUCAAAACAAUCUAGUAUCAGAAAUCUGAACUUUGGUAAGAAAGUCAAUGAAGUAUUGAUUUCUAGAAGUCCAGCUAAUUUCUGAGUACAUGUCAAAGCUAGUUGGAGCAUAAGUCUUAUGCUAAUAAUCAUCAUGUUAGUGGGAGCAUGAUAAUUAUGAUAAGUAUUGCAAGUUAGCAAUGUUAAUUAUAGAAAACAAAAGGUUUCAAUUAGGAAAAAAGUUGUUUUACUAUAAUUAAGGGAGAGGAAACUAUACUUCAUCUCAAAUCUAAAAGCUUAGAUUGAGGUUUUAAUCGUAUUUAGUCAAGUAUAUAUAUGAAUGUUAUGUUGGAAUAGCUCAACGUAAGAAAAUUCUAAUAUAUGGGUCCAUUAUUUGCAUUCUAAAAUUCGAUUAUGAUUACGGCAUCCCUUUUCAUAAUCUAAAUUUUGAGAACUUGGCAAAUUGAAAUGGAAAUGUUAUAGCAAAAGACUGGUUUAGUCUUUAUGUGAGACAUCAUGAAUCGUGUCCCAUAUGCUUCGGAUAUAGGAUCGAUUACAUGUGCUAUAUUCAUCCGUUCUAAAAUUUUCCAAAUGCCUGGGGCAUUAAGAAGGGAAAAGGUUUAGAACUGGAUAUGACUAAAAGGAUUAAACAAUUGUCGAGGACAAUCUAAGGUUUACCAAAGAUUGGUUACUCAAGGACAAUUGGAAGUAUAGUGAUAAUUCUGGAAGGACCAUAUUGACAUAAUCUGUAAGGAGGCAACUCUUGUUCAGAAGUGAUAGUCAAAAUGGAAUGAAAAUGUUUCAAAGUUAGAAAUUAUUCAAUUUGUGUAAGAUUAGAAUAAACUUAAUGCAAGAAGGAUGUUCCAAGGAGUUGAUCUCCUUUGGAAUGCUCUGUAAUGUUUGUUGUCAAGUCUUUCUGACUUUAUGCAUAAUCAUUACAAGAGGAUCAAUGCAUAUAAGUUUAGAAUCUAACAGAUUUUAGUAAAUGGCAUUAAUUUGGAAUUCUUGCAUUUGCAGUAAGUAUUUGGGACUGUGAAAAGAGAAUCAUUGAAGUUAUGUUCAAUUGAUCUAGUUCACAAAGUAAAGAUCAUAGACAAACAUAGUAUGCAUACUUGGUGUGUGGCAUGACUAGUGUUUAAGAAAACAUAGUGUACAUGCUUGGAGCAUGGGACAACUAUUGUUUUAAAUUCAAGAAUAAAGUUGAUAGCUGAAACAGUAUACAAUGAAUAAUGUGUAAUCAUAUGGUGAUAAAUAAAAGGUGUUUUAUUUAUGUUCAAAGAUUUGAUACCAUAUUGGAUUCAAUUAUUAUUGUGUUUCACUUUGCAUGUUUUGACUUCCCGAAUAAACUAGGUUAUUCUUCCGGAAUGACUAAGUUAUUCAAACCAUCCACAGUCGGUCAUAUGUUGGAAGUAGAUAUGAAUUAAGACUGUCAUGGGUUGGCUUGUAGAGGUCUAAGGUGUUGGACAAAGGGCUACAACACUCAUGAGUGCUCAUAAGUUCUGAGUAUUGGAUUCAACCCGCGCUCAUUGGAAUCACUUCAUGGAUUUUAUCACGAGUGAUCAUGAGACGAUAAUAUCUUAUAUUCUUCAAACCUAGAGAUAUGAGUUGUUACUAUGAGUUGGUUGUACAUUGAUUGCACGAAAACGCAUUUGGUAACUCGGUGUUAUAAAACGUGCCUUUGUGUAUGAUUCAACAAGUAGUAGAACAAUCCAUAUGAGUCGAAGUUUAUCCAUUCCUUUUACCUUCAGGAUAAAAGCGAUAUAUGUGGGCCCCUUGAUGAUUUGGUGAUGACAAAUGUAAGUGCUCAGCUGGGCCAGGACUGAUUUGAUUUGUUUAAUUAGUCAGUCGUCGCAAAUUGGAAAACGGGAAACAACAAAUGGACAUAGAGAAUGAUUAUAAUCCAUGUCUCAGUCCAUAUGAUAUCUAGAAUGGAGGAAUAUAUGAUCCCUUAUCUAAUGGACAAGUCAUUGACAAAGGUCAGAGUUCAUCUACAAGGUCAGAGUUCGACAGAAGCUUUUGAGAGCUACGAUUGCCAGUUGGUUCCUGAAGUCAUAUGCAAUAAUAGUUUUAGACUUAUCCAAGUGGGAGACUGUUGGAUUAAUGUCUAAGUCCAUAACUAUAAUUGGUAAGACUUGACCCGACCCGACAUGGUCCAUUUGGGUUGCAUGGCAUCAUGCAUUUGGGUAGACUAAAAUGAGAGAAAUAACACUUAAGGUUGGUUAAUAUAUUAUAAGUUCUAAUAUAUUAAUAGGAUUAUUUAAUUAGUACUGAUCAAGAAUUAAUCUUGGAUUAAUUAAGUGAUCAAAAGAAAACUAAUUAAAUAUAUGGGUUGAUUGUGUAAAUCAUCCAUACUUGUAUAAUGGGCUAAGACUCCAUGGAUUAUCAAGUUGGGUUAAAACCCAUAGGAUGCUCCAUGGUGUAUUUGAACCCAUGGAUCCAAGGAAAUGGAAAGCCAUGAAAAUUAGGGUUUACCCUAAUUGUCACUAACUGUAUAAGCAUCUUAUUCUUGAGAAAAAGGCCACUAUGUGAGAGAUAAAGGGCUAGCCGAUUUUCAUGAAGUGUUCCAUUUUCUCUCAAGUCAUUCCAUGUGCAUUUGGUGAUGUGUGAACGAUUUGAUGUUUCACACUUGGGGCACAACGCACUCAAGCUUCAUGAAGACAUUCUACAUCAAAGAGGUAUGUAAUUCUAACUUGAUAUAUUCUUAUGAAUCAAUGAUAUUAUGCUAGUUAGGAUGAAUACCUUGGAAAGUUCAUAUUUGCAUGUAUAAUAGAGAAAACAUAGAUCCAAGGUAUUUAGGGUUGCAUGUACACUUAGGAGUGUUAGAAUGCUCAAAAACCAACACUAUCCUCCUUUUCUGUUUUAGACACCUUGGCGUGUCUUUUAUCCUGAGAAUAAGAAGUACCAAAAAUGUUAGAUCCGCCUGAGAUAAUGUUAAUUACUUGGCGUUUGGUGGUGGAAAUCUUGGUUUCUCUUGAAUCUUGUGACCAUCCUAGUUUUUCUCCUUGGACUUUUCUUUCAUUCUUAUGAGGAUCUCUUUAAGAUGCCCUUUGAUAAGGAGGUAGUUGAUCUCCUUUCUUAGGGCUAUCCAAUUGUCCGUCAUGUGCCUGAGAUCUCUAUGGUAAGUACACCAUUUGGACUUGUCUUUCCAACUGGUGGACUCGUUAUCCUUCUUUUGCCACCUUGCUUUGUCUCUGAGAUCCUGCAUAACAUAGAUUAAACUGGAAACAUCCAUGGAAGAAGAAUAGUCAGUGAUAUUAGGAGGUUAAUCUUCCCCUCCUUCAUUUUCAAGGGAAUUAUUAACCUUGUGAUGAUCUGGUUUGGAAUGGGGUUUCGAUUUGUAGGAUCUUGGAGCCGAGGAUUUUGGCCUUCCUAUUGGGAUUCACGUAUUGACUUGAAGGGUUGAUCCUCUUCUGGACUUAUUUAUCCUCUUCAAGCCUUAUGAACCUCAAUGCUCGGCACCUAACUUCGUCCAAUCUCUUGCAUGGAGUCAUCACGAGAUCUUCAUAGAAAGGUGAAUCCUUCCUUAGACCCAUCUUGAAGGCCUCCACAGUAGUCUCCAUGUCAAUGUUAGGGAUGCUCAGAGCUUCCCUGCCAAACCUAUUAACAAAAUCCCUAAGUCGUUCCUUAGGAUCCUAAACCACCCGAUAGAGAUCACUAGAGAUCUUCUCAAAGGUUCCGCUACAAGAAAACUGGUUAUUGAAAAUAUUGACUAAAUGUUCAAAUGAAGUAAUAGAAUAGGGGGGAAUGUUUAGCAACCAUUUAAGAGCUGAUCCUGUGAGGGUUAAACCAAAGCCUUUGCAUAGGAGAGCAUCCUUCAAGUGCAAUGGGAUGGGAAUGAUCUCCAUCCUUUCUCGGUAUUGUGCUAUGUGCUCUCCAGGGUCCGUAAUUCCAUCAUAAGGCUUCAUGCUAGGAGUCUGCAAGUGCUUAGGAACUUCGGUAUUGGCUAUCGCAGGAACAAAUCUUGAGAUCCUCUGACUUGUUGGAGAUCCUUCUGGUAUGGGUUGAACUACCUCGAGUACACUUGAGAUCACAUGUCUCAACUGUUGAAGUUCCCUAUCCAUGUUUGGACUUAUUCUUGCAUCAACAUUCGUUGAGUUAGUAUUGAUAGUAUUGUUGCUUAAGAAGUUACUAGAAUUAAGGUUUCUAGGAUUAUUGAAAGGCUCAUCGAGAUCAUUGAUCAUAGAUGCUUGAAUGUCUGUAGUCGUCCCCAAGGGUGAUGCAGCGGUAGCAGGAUUUGUGUUCCCCUGUUGAUUUCCUGAGGAUCCUACAUUGUCGAAGUUUAGGAUCCUUGGUUGUACAACUGUGGGCAUCAUUUCCUGGGAUUUCUAAAAUUCUGCCUUCAUCGUCUCCACUUCUCUAAGUAGUGUUCUAUUGUCGUCUUGCUGCUGAGUCAUCUGUUGCGUCAUUUUCCUCAUCAUAGCAAAGAGUUUAGCAGUAGUGACCGGAGCAAUCGGAUCCUGGAGUCCUGAAGAUCCCAAACUUCCUUGGUUAGUGACCGAAGGGUGUUUCUUUUGGAUGUAUCAGGCGCUUUCCUAUGCCAGGGGGUCUACUCGGAGGAGGUGGUAGGUUUUUGGUUGGAAUGGAAGGAGCGGAGGAUGAAGAAAGGAUCGGUUGUGUAGACAUGAUAUUUCGAGGAUUUUGAACACCACGGUCCCACGGUGGGCACCAAAUUGUUUUGAUCAAAAAUUACACAAGUAUAAAUCAACCAAAUUGAAUGAGAGGUUGUGAUGUUCGAAUUGUGCAAUAGAGAAAGGUAAAGAGAAUGACACGAUUGUUUACAUGGAAAGCCCUUGAUCCUUGCUAGGAUCUCCGACACAAAACCUUGGGAGGUGAUAAUGAUCACCUGCCUUGAGGAUUUUAUUAAUAUAAAAUGAUGAUUACAGAGAGUAUUUCUGUAAGAACAAGUGAAAAAGUUCGUAGAGUAAGCUAAGAGUAGGUAGAGUGUGUCGUGUGCGAGAUACAUGUGUCAAUUUGUAGUUUAAACUAGCUGACAAGAUGUCUGAUAUUCCCAGGAUCCUCUACGACCAGCUUUGUGAACGUUGAUGGACUUUGGUAUUCUGGGUCUUUAGCAUAGUUGAGAUGAGUCUCUGUUGAGAAUAAGUCUUCUCUUGACUAUUUCUACACAUGUGUUAAUUAAGAAUUAAAUAUAACCGUUAAAAAAGUUAGUAAAUAAUAAUAAUAUUCAUAGUCGGGAUCCUGAGAUAGUUGAGGAUCUUGAAUAUCUGAUGAGGUUUGUGGAUGCUAAUUGUUUUGAGGAUCCUGGACCUAACAUUGGUAAUACCGAUUAAGUGAUUUAAGCCCUUGAAUUGUGGUUUGGAGCCAAGGGUAAAAUGGGAAAAACAAUAUUUUAGACUACUUGCAUGAAUUGAAAGUUUUAGUUUGCUAUGUUUUACGUCAAAAAUGUUUAGAUAGUAAUUUGGGGAUUGUCAAUGCCUUCACAUGUGUAUAAAUAUCACUGAAAAUAGAUUUGGAACAAAUGACUUAUGACCGUUUGAAGCUGGAGCUGAAAACCGAAAAAUUUGGAAUUUAUCGCAAAAGCACAGUACGCCCUUGGCCCAGUGAGAGGCAAUUUUUUUUAGGAUUGUUGAGGUAUUUAAAUUCCAUUAACCCUUAGGGUUGGAUCAUUUUCAACCUCCAACACCCCUAUAUUAUUAUUAGGAUUAAACCCUAGCCUCCUUUGAGCAAAGUGAGUUUAUCAAAUCUCAUUGAAUCAUGUUUGGGUGCAUUUUGGUGGUGAUUUGAUGAAGAUGGAAGAUCUAGAAAGUCUUGUUGGUUGCAAUGGAUGUUGUUUCAAUUUUGGAUCCAUCAAUUUCAUGCCCUUUCUAGACUUUUGUAAGUAAAAAGCUUCAACCAUUCCUUUCUAGUUGUUAGGUCUUGCUAAUGGUUCCUUUUAUGCUCUUUUGGUCCCAUUUUGGUGGUGAGUUUGGAGUUGAGAUAACACCAACUCCUUUCGAGCACUUAGGAUUGUUGUAUGGACCAUAUGUAUAUCGAAAGUUGGAAUCUUGUGCAUGUUCUUUUAGCAAUGGAUGUUAUUUUGGUCCUUUUUGCUUAGUCUGGUGAAUUAAAGUCUAAAUCUUGUUAGUUUAUGGAAUUGUUAUGGAUAAAUUUGGAAAUUUAAUUAAUCUUUACAACAUAUUAUUUCAGAACUGAAAGUUGGAGGCUUGGAUUUAAUAGAUUAAGUUGAAAGAAAUGCAUUCUUGGAGUUUUUGAGAUUUAAUAUUUAGAUCUUGUUUGUGAUGGAAAAGAUUAACGGAUAAAGUUCGAAACAUUAUCCAUUUCGACCUGAUGAGAUUUCAGAUUUGGAAUUUGGGAUAUUGACUUAAUAGAUUAAGCGCUUUAAUCCUUUAGUUUAGUCAUGGUGCGACAAGCCCUUCCUCAGAGUGACACGCUUCUAGUGUUUUUUGAUGUGCGCUUGAUUAUGAGCAAGUUCUUGAUUUUUUUUCCUAUAGUGGUCACUGGGCGCCCGCGAGAGGACGUAGUGCGCUUGUUGCCCAAAGUGUUGACUUGGACCGUUGACUGUUGACUUUUGGUCAAUUUGACUUUUGGUCGGACGUUUAUAGAGUUGAGUAUUUGACUAAGAAAUGGUCUCGGUUUGGCUUUAGGUAUCUUGGGUUAGUUGUUAUAUUGUUGCAGGUUAGUUUUGAUCGGUUAUGUAACACUAGUCAAAAUAGGUCAAUAACAAUCACAUGUGAUUAUGCCAAUCAUGUAGUGUGGUUAGUAAUGUUUUGAAAUUACUAUGUAGUUCAUGAUAAAUUCUAAUACAAAUAUGAACUUUCUUUAUAAUACAACUCAAAGUAUAUGUCCAUACGAUUCCAAAGAUAUAGAGAACGUCUAAAUCUGACUUAGCGUGAAGAAGUUAUGAUAAACCGAACAAUAUAAAUCUUUAUAAUAAGAGGAAUUUAAAAUAUACUUAGAAUCAUCUAUUGGAGUCUAAAAGAGAGUUGUUGUAAUCAUAAAUACCUAUGCGCGCAUAUAAAGAACGUCAAAAACGGAGUUCGUAUGUGAAAGUUACGACCUUUCGAAGAUUCAGGUGUCAAAAACCCUAAUCUGACUGAACUCAUGAGGUGAGCAUAAAUGUUCACGAGGUGAGGAGUCAUUUUUCCACAUCUCGGAAUCUAGAAGGUAUGAAGAGGCUAAGAGGGGAAAGAUCCAAACUCACGACGUGAACAAGGAUUCAUUCACGUCGUGAGGAGUCAAAGAGACACCUUCCGAAGCUAGGGACGCAAAUGGCAAGUCUACGGGGUGAUUAGCCAUGAAUCACGACGUGAGUCUUACAAAACUCACAACGUGAGAGGCCAAAAUCCUUCAUAUAAAUAUCAAGUCCAACUUCAGCCAUUCUUACACCUAAAUUUAUUUCUUCUCUCUCCUUUUUUGAAGCCAUUUUGCAUCCCGAGCCCCGACGACCUCGUACCGCUGUCCGUUUCUGCUUAGAUUAUAUAAAUUCACGCUACUAGGGUGAGUUUCACGGCACCACUUUCUAAUAUUUUCAGGGGGAAAAUGCAUGCUAAAUAUUGUAUAUAGGUUACUAUUAUGUCUAUAUGAUAGUAUAUUAGUAUCAACGUAGAUAAUUAUAAUAACUAGGAUAUAGUUGUUCUAAAUGUAGUAUUUUGAAUAUAUACAACUAUUAUCAACUUGUUAGCAUGUUCUUGUACUGGUGUAGAUCUUAAGUUAUACUUAGGAUUCUAUAUAUAUUUCAUGUGCGAUAUAGUUCCAGAGUUGUACUCGGAAGUUCUAUAUGUUAAUUGAUAGGUACGUUGUUAUUGUUGGUUUUAUGUCAAGAUAAAACUUGGUAUGUUAUAUAUUGUUAUUGUUGGUUUUAUGUCAAGAUAAAACCUGGUUUUUCUUCAAGUUAUAGUUGUUAUACUGCGUAAAUGUUAUGAAGUUAGGAGGAAUGUUUAAAAGCAUAGUCUAGUAACUUAGGGUUUUAGACAUGAAAAUGCUUUUGUUGUUAGGACUAUAGAACGCUGUCAAAGUCUACAUGAGCUACCUCAUUCAUCAACUAAGAUUGGGGAUCUUAGUGGAAGUCCUCUGACAUGUAACCAUUAAUCCCGUGUGAGCGAGGAAGUUGUGCAUGAAUAAGAUACGGGUUGACGACCCCACUCGUGGUUGUUAAUUACAACCCAAGACAAGCGAGUGACGAUCCGUUCCUUUUAUUUGUUAUUGUUCCGGCGUCGAUGAAGCGUGCAGUAUUGUUUCUCAUGGUAAAUCAUGAGUGUAUUGUUUCUCAUGGUAAAUCAUGAGUGUGUCUUAUCAGAGGUUUUGUUGUCAAUCAGCGGUUACAGACUCAUGGUAGCAACUUGUUAGAUACAUUACACUUCGUUGUUAUACAAGUAUUAAUGUUAAGUGAUGAGAAUAAAUCUCUAGAUCGUUUAGAUCUUUCACAGGUAUAUUGAUAAAGAACAGACAAUUCAAACACAAUAUGAUUAUGAACACAGUAUGGAAUCAAUGUAAUGCUUAUGAUUCAAAUAUAGUCACGCCUCAGCAGAGCUCGAUGAAGUACUUCCACUGUAGAGGCGAGCUAGGGUUUACAAUACUUUGAUAAGAGAUAAUAAAAGCGUUUUUAACUAAAGAUACAUGCAUGCACCUUAAAUACUAAAACCCUAGAGAAAACAUUGCACGGUUGGACAGGCCCAAACCGGCUACAAAAUUGGACUAAGGACCAAGCCCGCGACGUGACACUAUAAGCCCAACAAUCUCCCCCUUUGUGUCAAAUGAGGCGAGAGAUUAUUUCUGUUGAGUAGGCUUCACUGUCUUCACAACUUUGAACAGCCGAGGAAUGAUAGCAAGAAGAGUCUGUCAAAACUGAAUAUACCAUCUCAGCAUGUCAGUAAACAACUUCUUGUCAGCUGCUGCAUUCUGAUUACACCUCUGAAUGAUCUCCAAACUAUGCUCCAGGCAUGCAUUUGAGAACAGGUGCUUGUCAAUAAGAGCGAAUAGGCAUUUUGACCUUCGCCCCUAAGAAACAUCACAAUGUGAUAUUUUGUGUCAAUUUUUCCCUUGAUCAUUGUGUUUAUAUCGCCAACUCUUCCCAUUGGUUUGCGUGGUACGCNGCUUGUGAAUAGCAGAUGUGAUUUCUUGAUCCAUCUUUGCUACUUCAUGAAUGUAACAAACGAGCAUUUGCUUGACAUGGUCAAUAAUCGGCUGAUACUCCCGAGGGUUGGACAGCAAAAUGUUGUUGUGGAGUAUCCAGUCAUGAGGGUUGAGGUUCGGUAGAUCAGCCAGGGAUAAAUUAUGAACCGAGCCUUCGGAGCCUCGGGUCACUUUAAAUUUGACGUUGAUGAAUUUCCCGGCUGAAUAAGGCUUCAGUACCUUAACAUUAGUAAUCUUCUAUGAACUCCAUGUCAAGUACUGUGGCUGAGCAAAUCCAGAUAAAACUCUAACAGAUCCCGAUCCACCUCCGGGUCCGGAGAGGGAAUGACAGCAGUUGAGUUGAAGCAAUUAAAGAUAAAUGCCUUUCGAGUGAUUGGCAUAUCAAACUGCGCAUCCUUCGAGUUUUCAAAGCCGAAUGACAUAACAGGUUUGAGCCAAUGAGCGCUCGGUUCAUCUAUAGCAUCUUUUUGGAGCGAAUCAAUGGUCCAAUCUGAAAAAAUGGACUUCUUUUUCUCCAAGAGCUCCUUUCUUUUUUGCUUCUUCUCCAGCUCAGCCGUUUCCUUCUUGAUCUUUUCUACAAACUGUUUUUCAGAAAGUUUUGUUUUGUGAAAAGGCUUAGAGGGAUUUUCACCCGAAGUAUCUUCAAAAUCAUCAUCAUUAUCUGUAUCAUUUUCACCAAUUUUCUUCUUCUUAUCCCUUUUGCUGACCGAAGCUUCAUUAUCCUUCGGUGCAACUGUUGAUUUGGGUUCGGGAGGAGGUUGAGUUGUAACCUUUUCCUUUUCUCCCCUAGUUUCGGCUUGACAGAAGUCACCGAAACACCCUCAAUCCGAUUAAGGAUAUCCAACGCAGUUCGGAGUUUGUCAGCCAAAUGGCGUCUGAUGGAUAUAAUCAGAAUGGAAUCAUGGGCGUCAAGAAGAUGUAACAAAAUGGAAUGAACAUCACCCACAGAGCUUCUGAUCACUUCUCUUUCAGACUUCAAAUCAUCAAGCUCGUUUGUGACAGUGCGAAGCUUGAGGUUUUGCAUUUUCAGCUGAGAUGUACGCUUGUCUAACUCAUCCAUUAUCCGAUUUUCAACAGCCAGCUCUGCUUCCAGUUGAGUCAGAUGAUCAUUGACAUUAGCGUGAAGGUUGGCAUUGGCAGCUUCAAUGACCUUUCGAUCGACUUCAAAACUAGUCCUUUAACCUUUAAGAGAACGCUGAAAAUUAUCAACUGAAGCAUUCACUGUCUGAGAGUUCUUUUGAGCAGCAGCUUGCAAAGAAUCGAGGAAUAGUUGAGCCUCAAAAAUUAGUUUAUCGAUUUUCAUAGUCGCUUCUUUGCAUUCCUUCGUCGAGGCCUCAAUAGAAAACGAGGCCUUAUGACAUUGAGAAGUAGAGGCGUCAAUAGUAUUUUCUGCAGCAGAGAGAGAGGCAUCAUGUUCUUUAACAACCGAAGAGAACAGAGCUUUAAGAGCAGCUUCAGAAUAAGCACCAGUGGAGGAGGAGGAAAGCAACUGAUCAAGCUUUUCAGUAACAACCUUGAGAUGGCGCUUGGUGACUGGAGCAUCUUCAUCAUCAUCACUUUGGACACGGUAGGGACUGAAGUAAGUGGAAUCAAACUCCAAUUUCUCACCUCCAAUAACGGUGUUGGUUUCGGUAGAUUGGGUAGGAGAUAGUGGUGUGGUAGUAAGUGGAGGUUCGGUAAGCACACCAUUUGGACUUGUCUUUCCAACUGGUGGACUCAUUAUCCUUCUUUUGCCACCUUGCUUUGUCUUCGAGAUCCUGCAUAACAUAGAUUAAACUGGAAACAUCCAUGGAAGAAGAAUAGUCAGUGAUAUUAGGAGGUUACUCUUCCCCUCCUUCAUUUUCAAGGGAAUUAUUAACCUUGUGAUGAUCUGGUUUGGAAUAGGGUUUCGAUUUGUAUGAUCUUGGAGCCAAGGAUUUCGCCUUCCUAUUGGGAUUCUCAUAUUGACUUGAAGGGUUGCUCCUCUUCUGGACUUAUUUAUCCUCUUCAAGCCUUAUGAACCUCAAUGCUCGGCACCUAACUUCGUCCAAUCUCUUGCAUGGAGUCAUCAUGAGAUCUUCAUAGAAGGGUGAAUCCUUCCUUAGACCCAUCUUGAAGGCCUCCACAACAGUCUCCAUGUCAAUGUUAGGGAUGUUCAAAGCUUCCCUGCCAAACCUAUUAACAAAAUCCCUAAGUCGUUCCUUAGGAUCCUAAACCACCCGAUAGAGAUCACUAGAGAUCUUCUUAAAGGUUCUUCUACAAGAAAACUGGUUAUUGAAAAUAUUGACUAAAUGUUCAAAUGAAGUAAUAGAAUAAGGGGGAAUGUUUAGCAACCAUUUAAGAGCUGAUCCUGUGAGGGUUAAACCAAAGCCUUUGCAUAGGAGAUCAUCCUUCAAGUGCACUAGGAUGGGAAUGAUCUCCAUCCUUUCUCGGUAUUGUGCUACGUGCUCUCCAGGGUCCGUAAUUCCAUCAUAAGGCUUCAUGCUAGGAGUCUGCAAGCGCUUAGGAACUUCGGUAUUGGCUAUCGCAGGAACAAAUCUUGAGAUCCUCUGACUUGUUGGAGAUCCUUCUGGUAUGGGUUGAACUACCUCGAGUACACUUGAGAUCACAUGUCUCAACUGUUGAAGUUCCCUAUCCAUGUUUGGACUUAUUCUUGCAUCAACAUUCGUUGAGUUAGUAUUGAUAGUAUUGUUGCUUAAGAAGUUACUAGAAUCAAGGUUUCUAGGAUUAUUGAAAGGCUCAUCGAGAUCAUUGAUCAUAGAUGCUUGAAUGUUCGUAGUCGUCCCCAAGGGUAAUGCAGCAGUAGCAGGAUUUGUGUUCCCCUGUUGAUUUCCUGAGGAUCCUGCAUUGUCGAAGUUUAGGAUCCUUGGUUGUACAACUGUGGGCAUCAUUUCCUGGGAUUUCUAAAAUUCUGCCUUCAUCGUCUCCACUUCUCUAUGUAGUGUUCUAUUUCCGUCUUGCUGCUGAGUCAUCUGUUGCGUCAUUUUCCUCAUCAUAGCAAAGAGUUUAGCAGUAGUGACCGGAGCAAUCGGAUCCUGGAGUCCUGAAGAUCCCAAACUUCCUUGGUUAGUGACCGGAGGGGUGUUUCUUUUGGAAGUACCAGGCGCUUUCCUAUGCCAGGGGGUUUACUCGGAGGAGGUGUAGGUUUUUGNAGGUUUUUGGUUGGAAUGGAAGGAGCGGAGGAUGAAGAAAGGAUCGGUUGUGUAGACAUGAUAUUUCGAGGAUUUUGAACACCACGGUCCCACGGUGGGCGCCAAAUUGUUUUGAUCAAAAAUUACACAAGUAUAAAUCAACCAAAUUGAAUGAGAGGUUGUGAUGUUUGAAUUGUGCAAUAGAGAAAGGUAAAGAGAAUGACACGAUUGUUUACAUGGAAAGCCCUUGAUCCUUGCUAGGAUCUCCGACACAAAACCUUGGGAGGUGAUAAUGAUCACCUGCCUUGAGGAUUUUAUUAAUAUAAAAUGAUGAUUACAUAGAGUAUUUCUGUAAGAACAAGUAAAAAAGUUCGUAGAGUAAGCUAAGAGUAGGUAGAGUGUGUCGUGUGCGAGAUACAUGUGUCAAUUUGUAGUUUAAACUAGCUGACAAGAUGUCUGAUAUUCCCAGGAUCCUCUACGACCAGCUUUGUGAACGUUGAUGGACUUUGGUAUUCUGGGUCUUUAGCAUAGUUGAGAUGACUCUCUGUUGAGAAUAAGUCUUCUCUUGACUAUUUCUACACAUGUGUUAAUUAAAAAUGAAAUAUAACCGUUAAAAAAGUUAGUAAAUAAUAAUAAUAUUCAUAGUCGGGAUCCUGAGAUAGUUGAGGAUCCUGAAUAUCUGAUGAGGAUUGUGGAUGCUAAUUGUUUUGAGGAUCCUGGACCUAACAUUGGUAAUACCGAUUAAGUGAUUUAAGCCCUUGAAUUGUGGUUUGGAGCCAAGGGUAAAAUGGGAAAAACAAUAUUUUAGACUACUUGCAUGAAUUGAAAGUUUUAGUUUGCUAUGUUUUACAUCAAAAAUGUUUAGAUAGUAAUUUGGGGAUUGUCAAUGCCUUCACAUGUGUAUAAAUAUCACUGGAAAUAGAUUUGGAACAAAUGACUUAUGACCGUUUGAAGCUAGAGCUGAAAACCGAAAAUUUUGGAAUUUAUCGCAAAAGCGCAGUACGCCCUUGGCCCAGUAAGAUGCGCAUUUUUUUAGGAUUGUUGAGGUAUUUAAAUUCCAUUAACCCUUAGGGUUGGAUCAUUUUCAACCUCCAACACCCCUAUAUUAUUAUUAGGAUUAAACCCUAGCCUCCUUUGAGAAAAGUGAGUUUAUCAUAUCUCCUUGAAUCAUUUUUGGGUGCAUUUUGGUGGUGAUUUGAUGAAGAUUGAAGAACUAGAAAGUCUUGUUGGUUGCAAUGGAUGUUGUUUCAAUUUUGGAUCCGUAAAUUUCAUACCCUUUCUAGACUUUUGUAAGUAAAAAUCUUCAACCAUUCCUUUCUAGUUGUUAGGUCUUGCUAAUGGUUCCUUUUAUGCUCUUUUGGUCCCAUUUUGGUGGUGAGUUUGGAGUUGAGAUAACACCAACUCCUUUAGAGCACUUAGGAUUGUUGUGUGGACCAUAUGGAUAUCGAAAGUUGGAAUCUUGUGCAUGUUCUUUUAGCAAUGAAUGUUAUUUUGGUCCUUUUUGCUUAGUUUGGUGAAUUAAAGUCUAAAUCUUGUUAGUUUAUCGCAUUGUUAUGGAUAAAUUUGGAAAUUUAAUUAAUCUUUACAACAUAUUAUUUCAGAACUGAAAGUUGGAGGCUUGGAUUUAAUAGAUUAAGUUGAAAGAAAUGCAUUCUUGGAGUUUUUGAGACUUAAUAUUUAGAUCUUGUUUGUGAUGGAAAAGAUUAACGGAUAAAGUUCGAAACAUUAUCCAUUUCGACCUGAUGAGAUUUCAGAUUUGGAAUUUGGGAUAUUGACUUAAUAGAUUAAGUGCUUUAAUCCUUUAGUUUAGUCAUGGUGCGACAAGCCCUUCCUCAGAGUGACAAGCUUCUAGUUUUUUCUGAUGUGUGCUUGAUUAUGAGCAAGUUCUUGAUUGUUUUGUCCUAUAGUGGUCACUGGGCGCCCGCGAGAGGACGUAGUGCGCUUGUUGCCCAAAGUGUUGACUUAGACCGUUGACUGUUGACUUUUGGUCAAUUUGACUUUUGGUCGGACGUUUAUAGAGUUGAGUAUUUGACUAAGAAAUGGUCUCGGUUUGGCUUUAGGUAUCUUGGGUUAGUUUUUAUAUUGUUGCAGGUUAGUUUUGAUCGGUUAUGUAACACUAGUCAAAAUAGGUCAAUAACAAUCACAUGUGAUUAUGCCAAUCAUGUAGUGUGAUUAGUAAUGUUUUGAAAUUAAUAUGUAGUUCAUGAUAAAUUCUAAUACAAAUAUGAACUUUCUUUAUAAUACAACUCAAAGUAUAUGUCCAUACGAUUCCAAAGAUAUAGAGAACGUCUAAAUCUGACUUAGCGUGAAGAAGUUAUGAUAAACCGAACAAUAUAAAUCUUUAUAAUAAGAGGAAUUUAAAAUAUACUUAGAAUCAUCUAUUGGAGUCUAAAAGAGAGUUGUUGUAAUCAUAAAUACCUAUGCGCGCAUAUAAAGAACGUCAAAAACGGAGUUCGUAUGUGAAAGUUACGACAUUUCGAAGACUCAGGUGUCAAAAACCCUAAUCUGACUGAACUCAUGAGGUGAGCAUAAAUGUUCACGAGGUGAGGAGUCAUUUUUCCACAUCUAGGAAUCUAGAAGGUAUGAAGAGGCUAAGAGGGGAAAGAUCCAAACUCACGACGUGAACAAGGAUUCAUUCACGUCGUGAGGAGUCAAAGAGACACCUUCCGAAGCUAGGGACGCAAAUGGCAAGUCUACGGGGUGAUUAGCCAUGAAUCACGACGUGAGUCUUACAAAACUCACAACGUGAGAGGCCAAAAUCCUUCAUAUAAAUAUCAAGUCCAACUUCAGCCAUUCUUACACCUAAAUUUAUUUCUUCUCUCUCCUUUUUGGAAGCCGUUUUGCAUCCCGAGCCCCGACGACCUCGUACCGCUGUCCGUUUCUGCUUAGAUUAUAUAAAUUCACGCUACUAGGGUGAGUUUCACGGCACCACUUUCUAAUAUUUUCAGGGGGAAAAUGCAUGCUAAAUAUUGUAUAUAGGUUACUAUUAUGUCUAUAUGAUAUUAUAUUAGUAUCAACGUAGAUAAUUAUAAUAACUGGGAUAUAGUUGUUCUAAAUAUAGUAUUUUGAAUAUAUACAACUAUUAUCAACUUGUUAGCAUGUUCUUGUACUGAUGUAGAUCUUAAGUUAUACUUAGGAUUCUAUACAUAUUUCAUGUGUGAUAUAGUUCUAGAGUUGUACUCGGAAGUUCUAUAUGUUAAUUGAUAGGUACGUUGUUAUUGUUGGUUUUAUGUCAAGAUAAAACUUGGUAUGUUAUAUUUUGUUAUUGUUGGUUUUAUGUCAAGAUAAAACCUAGUUUUUCUUCAAGUUAUAGUUGUUAUACUGCGUAAAUGUUAUGAAGUUAGGAGGAAUGUUUAAAAGCAUAGUCUAGUAACUUAGGGUUUUAGACAUGAAAAUGAUUUUGUUGUUAGGACUAUAGAACAUCGUCAAAGUCUACAUGAGCUACCUCAUUCAUUGACUAAGAUUGGGGAUCUUAGUGGGAGUCCUCUGACCUAUAACCAUUAAUCCCGUGUGAGCGAGGAAGUUGUGUAUGAAUAAGAUACGGGUUGACGACCCCACUCGUGGUUGUUAAUUACAACCCAAGACAAGCGAGUGACGAUCCGUUCCUUUUAUUUGUUAUUGUUCCGGCGUCGAUGAAGCGUGCAGUAUUGUUUCUCAUGGUAAAUCAUGAGUGUAUUGUUUCUCAUGGUAAAUCAUGAGUGUGUUUUAUCAGAGGUUUUGUUGUCAAUCAGCGGUUAUAGACUCAUCGUAGCAACUUGUUAGAUACAUUAUACUUCGUUGUUAUACAAGUAUUAAUGUUAAGUGAUGAGAAUAAAUCUCUAGAUCGUUUAGAUCUUUCACAGGUAUAUUGAUAAAGAACAGACAAUUCCAACACAAUAUGAUUAUGAACACAGUAUGGAAUCAAUGUAAUGCUUAUGAUUCAAAUAUAGUCACGCCUCAGCAGAGCUCGAUGAAGUACUUCCACUGUAGAGGCGAGCUAGGGUUUACAAUACUUUGAUAAGAGAUAAUAAAAGCGUUUUUAACUAAAGAUACAUGCAUGCACCUUAAAUACUAAAACCCUAGAGAAAACAUUGCACGGUUGGACAGGCCCAAACCGGCUACAAAAUUGGACUAAGGACCAAGCCCGCGACGUGAAACUAUAAGCCCAACAAUCUCCCCCUUUGUGUCAAAUGAGGCGAGAGAUUAUUUCCGUUGAGUAGGCUUCACUGUCUUCACAACUUUGAACAGCCGAGGAAUGAUAGCAAGAAGAGUCUGUCGAAAUUUAAUAUACCAUCUCAGCAUGUUAGUAAACAACUUCUUGUCAGCUGCAGCAUUCUGAUUACACCUCUGAAUGAUCUUCAAACUAUGCUCCAGGCAUGCAUUUGAGAACAGGUGCUUGUCAAUAAGAGCGAAUAGGCAUUUUGACCUUCGCCCCUAAGAAACAUCACAAUGUGAUAUUUUGUGUCAAUUUUUCCCUUGAUCAUUGUGUUUAUAUCGCCAACUCUUCCCAUUGGUUUGAUCGUGGUACGCUUGUGAAUAGCAGAUGCGAUUUCUUGAUCCAUCUUUGCUACUUCAUGAAUGUAACAAACGAGCAUUUGCUUGACAUGGUCAAUAAUCGGCUGAUACUCCCGAGGGUUGGACAGCAAAAUGUUGUUGAGGAGUAUCCAGUCAUGAGGGUUGAGUAAGGCUUCAGUACCUUAACAUUAGUAAUCUUCUGUGAAUUAUGAACCGAGCCUUCGGAACCUCGGGUCACUUUAAAUUUGACGUUGAUGAAUUUCCCGGCUGAAUAAGGCUUCAGUACCUUAACAUUAGUAAUCUUCUGUGAACUCCAUGUCAAGUACUGUGGCUUAGCGAAUCCAGAUAAAACUCUAACAGAUCCCGAUCCACCUCCGGGUCCGGAGAGGGAAUGACAGCAGUUGAGUUGAAGCAAUGAAAGAUAAAUGUCUUUCGAGUGAUUGGCAUAUCAAACUGCGCAUCCUUCGAGUUUUCAAAGCCGAAUGACAUAACAGGUUCGAGCCAAUGAGCGCUUGGUUCAUCUAUAGCAUCUUUUUGGAGCGAAUCAAUGGUCCAAUCUGAAAAAAUGGACUUCUUUUUCUCCAAGAGCUCCUUUUCUUUUUUGCUUCUUCUCCAGCUCAGCCGUUUCCUUCUUGAUCUUUUCUGCAAACUAUUUUUCAGAAAGUUUUGUUUUCUGAAAAGGCUUAGAGGGAUUUUCACCCAGAGUAUCUUCAAAAUCAUCAUCAUCAUCUGUAUCAUUUUCACCAAUUUUCUUCUUCUUAUCCCUUUUGCUGACCGAAGCUUCAUUAUCCUUCAGUGCAACUGUUGAUUUGGGUUCGGGAGGAGGUUGAGUUGUAACCUUUUCCUUUUCUCCCCUAGUUUUGGCUUGACAGAAGUCACCGAAACACCCUCAAUCCGACUAAGGAUAUCCAACGCAGUUCGGAGUUUGUCAGCCAAAUGGCGUCUGAUGGAUAUAGUCAGAAUGGAAUCAUGGGCGUCAAGAAGAUGUAACAAAAUGGAAUGAACAUCACCCACAGAGCUUCUAAUCACUUCUCUUUCAGACUUCAAAUCAUCAAGCUCGUUUGUGACAGUGCGAAGCUUGAGGUUUUGCAUUUUCAGCUGAGAUGUACGCUUGUCUAACUCAUCCAUUAUCCGAUUUUCAACAGCCAGCUCUGCUUCCAGUUGAGUCAGAUGAUCAUUGACAUUAGCGUGAAGGUUGGCAUUGGCACCUUCAAUGGCCUUUUGAUCGACUUCAAGACUAGUCCUUUUAGCUUUAAGAGAACGCUGAAAAUUAUCGACUGAAGCAUUCACUGUCUGAGAGUUCUUUUGAGCAGCAGCUUGCAAAGAAUCGAGGAAUAGUUGAGCCUCAAAAAUUAGUUUAUCGAUUUUCACAGUCGCUUCUUUGCAUUCCUUCGUCGAGGCCUCAAUAGAAAACGAGGCCUUAUGACAUUGAGAAGCAGAGGCGUCGAUAGUAUUUGCUGCAGCAGAGAGAGGGGCAUCAUGUUCUUUAACAACCGAAGAGAUUAGAGCUUUAAGAGCAGCUUCAGAAUAAGCACCAGUGGAGGAGGAGGAAAGCAGCUGAUCAAGCUUUUCAGUAACAACCUUGAGAUGGCGCUUGGUGACUAGAGCAUCUUCAUCGUCAUCACUUUGGACACGGUAGGGACUGAAGUAAGUGGAAUCAAACUCCAAUUCCUCACCUCCAAGAACGGUGUUGGUUUCGGUAGAUUGGGUAGGAGAUAGUGGUGUGGUAGUAACUGGAGGUUCGGUAGUGACUGGGGGGUUGGUAGUGACAGGAGGAUUGGGUGCUGAAGAAUGAGCCCCCGUAUCAGAUACGUUGGUUCGAACUCCAGUAGUGGUGGUAGUAGUGGCUUCAGUAAAGAUUGGUGCAAAAAUGGGAAUAGUAGUAGAUGGUUGAGAUGUAAUGAUAGGAAAAAUAGGAGGGAUAGAGAUAGGAACAGAAACAGGUGGAGGAGAAGGUACUUGGGACCGAACAGGUACCUAUGGUGUAGGCGAGCGAGGCGGUGUAUCACCGCGCACCGAAUCCUCAUCCUCUGAGCUUUCGCUAUCAGAUUCACUUGCAAGAGGUGUGGGUUGAUUACGUGGCACAUAUUCUGAGUCAGAAUCACUCGAAGAUUGAAGAAUUAGUCGGCAAGCUGGUUUCUUGACUUUCUUCGGCUUAGGUUGAGCUGGUGCUGCCUUCUCUGACUUUCGCUUCCUAGGUGUUUGGACUUUUGAGACCUGACCCCCUUUAUCUCUCUUUUUCCCUUCGUGCUUUUUGCCUCUCUUUGCAGGUUUGUCUACAUCAUGGAUUGAUUUAACCAUGUCGGCAGUGAGUUCCCUUGGACCAGAAGAGGGAAGCUUCUUGUAUUGCUGAAUAAUCUAGCUUGAAGGAGGCACAAUGGCACUGGAUCCUUGGGGAAGAAAAGUCUUGGUGAUAGACAUUUUCAAAAGGAUCGAUCAAAAUAAAAAGAGAUUUCAUUCAAGAUCUUUAUCAUGGUAAUCGUGCACCGUCAAUUCGUUAAGGGUGUUGAAUUGUGGGUUUCACUUAGUAUGUAGUGACACGAGACUAAGAUCAUUAACACAGAUUUUGUAUAACCAUAAACCUCAAUGGUAAGUGCUGAGAGUCUCAAGGGUUACAUUAGUGAGAUGAAGUGCAAUGAAGAAAAAUGAUAUAGGUGGUGUAAGAAGCGAAUGUACCUCUGCUAUAAAAGAAGGACCAAACAGAAAACUCUAAACUCAGUAUGAGAAGAGUAAGGUAGCUCACGAUUAGAGUGAAUGUAACAGCCUAGUUUGGGAAAACAUGAUUUGUAUAUAUCAUGUUACUAAGGCUUUACUCAAAAUCUGUUGAGGCUUUGGCCAACAUGCAGCAGCAUGCAUCUAGGGACACUUAACUAAUUUAUAGAAAAUAAGUUAUACCCGCUUGAGCUUCACCAUCGAGAGUAGCAUUUAUACAAAGGAAAGCAUUAGAAAAAUAAAAUUAAAGGAAAGAUAUUUUUGUAUUUUGUGAAUUUUUUUUUAAUAAAACAAAAAGAAAAAUCUUUUUGGAUUUUAUGAAAUAAAAAAAUGAAAAGAAAAAAAAAUAAAAAUGAGUAUUUAAAAGAGUGUACAAAAGAAUACAAUCAAAAUCCCUUUUUAUGAAAAAGAAGCGAACGAGUUCAGAAGGACCGAACCCGAAAUAGACCGAGCGUUCGGUUCUUUUCGGUUCGCUCUAUUUCGCUUCUUACCUUUAAUGAAGCCAAGGCGAUUUUGGUACUGAUUCUGCUUCCAUCAUUCCUAGGCCUUGUAUCAUCUUGUUGAAACUUGCUUUAGGUAAAGCCUUAGUGAAUAUAUCUGCCAGUUGAUCAGUGGUCCUCACGAAGUGAAUCACCACAUUGCCAUCUUCCACAUGAUCUUUGAUGAAGUGAUACCGUAGUGCUAUGUGCUUUGUCUUCGAGUGUUGCACUGGGUUAUGACAAAUCCUAGUUGCACUUUCAGAGUCGCAAUAUAGUGGGAUUUUCUUCAUGUUCAGCCCAUAGUCUCUAAGCUGACUCUAUAUCCAAACAACCUGAGAUGUGCAUGAGGCGGCAGCUAUGUAUUCGGCCUCAGCCGUGGAGAGAGAAACACAAGUUUGUUUCUUUGAUUUCCAGCUAACCAAUUUUCCAUCAAGAAAUUGGCAACCUCCAGUAGUGCUUUUACGAUCCAAUCCACAACCACCUAAUUCAGCAUCUGAGAACGCUUGGACAAAGAAACCUGAGUUGGCUGGAUACCAUAGACCGAGAGAGGAGGUUCGCUUCAGAUAGAGAAAGAUGUUUUUCAUGGUUAGCAUGUGAGGUUCGCGUAGGUUAGCUUGGAAUCGGGCACAAUAGCAGACUGAGAACAUGAUGUCGGGUGGGCUGGUUGUGAGAUACAUUAGUGACCCAAUCAUUUGACGAUAAAGUGUCAUGUCAACGGCUGGCUUCUCCAAAGAUGGUGUAAGCCUAGUCCCAAAAGCCAUAGGAACUUUCACUUUGGAGUCUCCCAUCAUGCCGAACUUAGCAAGAAAUGUCUUUGUAUAUGCCUCCUGAUUGAUAAAAAUGCCUUCGGGUCCCUGUGUAAUAUUUAAGCUAAGGAAAAAGUUAAUUGGACCCAUUGAGCUCAUCUCAAAUUUAGUUUCCAUCAACUUCCUGAAUUCAGCUGUUAAGUUGGGAUUCGUGGAGCCAAAGAUGAUGUCAUCAACGUAAAUUUGGACUAUCAUAAGGUGGUUACCAUCUCUCUUACGAAAGAAGGUUGGGUCAACCGAACCUUGUUUAAAUUUUGACAUUUUUAAGAAUCGAGUGAGAGUUUCAUACCAUGCUCUGGGAGCCUGCUUCAGUCCAUAUACUGCUUUGUCUAGGAUGUAACAGUGAUCUGGAUGCUUCUCAUUCAUGAAGCUUCGCGGUUGCUCAAUGUACACGGUUUCUUCAAGUUCUCCGUUGAGAAAGACACACUUUACGUCCAUUUGAUAGACUUCAAAGUUUUUGUGUGCAACAUAAGCAAGAAAGAUUCAAACCGACUCUAAUCUUGCAACUGGAGCGAAGGUCUCUUCAUAAUCGAUACCUUCCUCUUGGCAAUAGCCUUUUAUAACCAACUGAGCCUUGUUACAAAUCAUAUUCCUCUUCUUAUCCAUCUUAUUUCUGAAUACCCACUUGAGAUCCACAAUCGAAGCAUCCUUUGGAGUUGGAAUUAAACACCAUACUUUGUUUCUUUCAAACUCAUUCAGAUCGUCUUGCAUGGCUUGAACCCAAUCAGAAUGGUCAAGAGCCGAUUUCACGGUCUUCGGUUCAACUUUGGAGAGAAAAGAGUUGAACAUGCAAAAUUCCACUUGAGAGAAUAGUGCAACUUGUUUCGCUUUGAUCUGUGAUCGAGUUAAUACCUUUUCUGAGGAUUCCCCAAUGAUUUGACUUUGAGGAUGAUCUUUGGUCCAUUUAAUGAGAGGUGGGUAAUUUGGAUCGCAAGAGGGAUCCAUUUCUGCAUUGAUUUCUUCUUCCAAUUCUGAUAGUGUAUCAGCAUCAUUGACAUUUGUAUUCUCCCCCUCGAAUGAUGACACGAUUUCAAUUUCUGGAUCAGAAUGUUCUCCUUCAUUUGGACUUUUGGUUGAACUAGAUGAUUGUGACGUUGAAUUCUCCCCCUGGAAUGAAGAACCUUGAUAGACGAACCCUCCCCCUGGACAAAAGGACGGUCACCAGAAGGUUUGCUUAAGUCAGGCCUUUCGGUUGCCUUUGGUUGAUCAGCAGCCAUCUUCUGUGCAACAUCGUGAAUGAUUUGCUUUAGAUUGUCGACUUUGUUAUCUUCCGCCUUGGAUUCAGAAUCGAUAGCUUUUUCAGGUUCAUCGAAGAGAAGCAUAUGUUGCUCAAAAAGGUUUGAGAUAGGAACUGUAACUUGACUGGUCUUUGGAAAGAUUUCCUGCAUUGCACCUUCAAUUGUCUUCAACUUCUUAACAUAGCUAUCAUCAAAAGUGACAUAGUAUGUCUCUUCAAUCUUCUUAGAGCGCUUGUUCAGAACUCUAUACGCCUUCGAGUGCAAGGAGUAGGCCAAAAAUAUUCCUUCAUCAGCCUUAGCAUCAAACUUGUUUCGAUUCUCCUAUGAGUUGAAGACGAAGCAUCUUGAACCGAACACGUGAAAGAACUUCACAUUCGGCUUGCAGUUGUUCAAGAUCUCGUAAGGAGUGAUAGAGAAUCGCUUGUUUAGAUAUGAUCUGUUCUGAGUGUAACAUGCAGCAACAAUAGCAUCAGCCUACAAAUACAAAGGCAAGGAAGCGAAGCUUAGCAUAGUUCGAGCUACUACAUACAGAGAUUGGUUCGUCUUUCGACGAUUCUAUUCUGCUGUGGAGUAUAUGGAGCAGAGAAAUUGUGAGUCGUUCCCUUCUCAACCAGAAACUCUUCGAAAUCCUUGUUCUUGAAUUCCAAGCCAUUGUCACUUCUUACGUUAAGAACCACUUUUCUCAGUUGAACCUCUACUUGCUUUAUGAAGUGCUUGAGCUUAGGAGUAGCCUCUGAUUUUUGCUUCAAGAAGAAUACCCAUGUGAAGAGAGAGAAAUCGUCAAUUGUGACAAGAAUGUACUUGUUCCCACCCAUGCUUUCAAUAGAGGAGGGACCAAAUAGAUCGAUAUGUAAUAGCUCCAAUGGUUCUAUCACCUUUGUGUUGAUAAUAGAAGGAUGACUUUGUCGACUUUUCUUUCCUAUUUCACAACCUGUGCAUAAAUGUUCUUUGUCGAAUUUAAGAACCGGAAGACCUCGCACGUGAUCCCAAGUACCAGCUUGUUGAUAUCCUUGAAAUUGAGAUGAGAGAGCCUUCUAUACCAUAACCAGCUUUCGUCUGAGUGAGCCUUCGUUAGCAAGCAGACUGCUGGUUUCCCUCGAAUCAGAUUGAGGUUUAAAGGAUACAUUUCUCCAUUUCGUUUCGACUUCAGCAGUAUGUUAUUUAACUUCUUUUCGACUAUCUCUGAGCCUUCAUCAUCAAAUGAGACCUUCAAUCCGGUCUCAACUACUAGCUGUGAUACACUUAUGAGGUUGUGCUGCAAUCCUUCAACGUAUGCGACCUUGCUAAUUGAGAAAUCACCAUUCGUAAUUAUUCCAUAGCCUUUAAUAGUUCCAAACGAAUUGUUGCCGUACUUCACAAUUCCACCAUCCUUGAGAGACCGAAACUCCCUCAGUUCUUCCCUUCGACCUGUGAUGUGAUGCGAGCAGCCACUAUCAAUGUACCAUUCUUCGUCAAACUGCUCGUCACGUAUAACCUGCAAAAAUCAAGCAGAUUUAAGAACCCAAAGUUUCUUGGGUCCUUGUGAGCCUUUUACAGGACAGGGAAUAGUAAGUGAAAUAUCAACCAUAUAAGUUUUUUUUAUUAGAGUGGUUUCAUCUUUUCUCUUUAUUGUAAAAUAUUUGAUUUUGUUUGGCUUAGAUUGAUUAGAAGUAGGAUUUGAAAUUUUGACGUUUGCAUGCUUUUGGAUCUCUUUCGGGCAUCUGUUAUCUUCUGGAAAGAGCUUUCCUUUCCCCUUUGAAUCCUUUGAAGGAUUAGAAUUAGAAUGAGAAUGAGAAGAAUAGGGUUUAGAAGCGAUAUUAGAUCUUCGAUUAUUACUCUUCCUUGGUUGAGAACGGGAACAUUCUUCCAUUCGGUUCUUCUGAUUCAAAUUAGGACUGAACCCAUCAUUUCGGCUGCUAUUAUGUUGAGGACCGAAACCUUGCUUUCGGUUGCUUAAUCGCUGAGGACUGAAACUCUCAUUUCGGUUGCUUUCACGCUUAGGACCGAAACCCUCCUUUUAGUUACAUUCAUACCGAGGACCGAAACCUUCCUUUCAGUUGUUUACCUUCUGUGGACAGAAACUCUCCUUUCGGUUGCUUUCAUGCCGAUGACCAAAACCUUCCUUUCGGUUGCUUCUUAGUUCUCCUUGUGAUUUAUGAGUCUUUUCAUACCUUACGUAAUGAGGAUUCUGAGAUCUCCAAAACUGUUUUCUUUCUGAGAGAUUCUUCUUGUAUCUCAGAUUUUGUUGGUGUUUUCGUUCUGCUACCUGUUUUGGAUUUUUAUGAAUAUUGGCCUUUUUCUUUGGAACUUGAGCAUGGCUUUCGCUCUUUGACGAAGACGUCUCACUGGACGUUAUCACUGGUUCGCCCAAAGAUGUUUUGGUGCCACUUGUGCUUGGCACAUCAUAUCGUGUAGGCUCAUUAAGUGGUUCCGGCACGUACCUACCCUUCACUCUCCAUGAGGUUUUCUGAGAUAGGCCUUUUGUUUCGUCAGUGUUAUCUAUUGGUGCUGACCAGAAGAACUCUUCACAUCCGUUUGCAUUAUCUUCUUCAACCAUAGCUGUUAGAACUGUGUAGACUUGAUUUGGAGUGGUUUGAACCUUUUGAUACACAACAACUUUUGCCUUGAGAAUUUUGGUUUUGUCUAUCGAUAAGCGAGCGAACUCAACGGAGUUUUCAGAGAUCAUAUUUUUGUUAGUUUCGGGUUCGCUUUUGACAAAUUCUGAAUAGUCCACCACAUCCUCUACAGAGAUUUCAUGUCAUCANUGUCAUCAUCCUCAUUAAGUCCAGAUGCAUUUUUAACAUCAAUUUUAUUUUCUAAACUUAAUUUGGCAUUCAACGAGUCAAAUUUAUGUACAGUUUCGGUUCUUAAUUUCAAUUUAUCAUUUUCAUCUAACAGAUUUUUGAGCAUGUCCUUAUGGUCUUUUGACUUUAUGUAGGACUCUGUUUUGUCAAGACCGAUUUUGUAGGCGGGAGAGAUUUAGUCAGAGGAUACAACAUUUUCAUAGUUGUAAGCUUCAACAUCGACUUCUUCCUCCUUUAAUUCAAGGAAGGGUAAAAUCAUGCGAUGUAUCUUCUUUCCUAUUUAAGAAUCGAGAUGCAAUUGAGUGAUAUUAAAAUAAAGUCUUUUCGCAAUCAAACAAAAAACGUUUCGCUAUUUUAAAAGCUUAAUAUUGUCUCGUUGUAAAUAGAUUGACUCAUCCUUAGACCUAAUUAACUCUAUCUCCUUCUGCUCAAUCCACAUCCUCCUCUCCUCACUCUUUGACGAUAUCCUGCUAAUUUGAUCAGUCAGGUUAGAGUUUGUGACACGAGUUUGGGUGAGACUACUACUUAUACUAGAAAAUUUAGAUAUUAAGCUAUUUAGUUCCUUUUCAUAGUUAGUAAUAGGUAUUUUCAAAGAUGCAAGAAUAUUUUGUACCUUCUUGAUCAACUCAUCACAUUCGUUGAUCUGUGCACUGACAGGUUUCGUAGCAAAACACCUGUCCUAUCGCUCCUUCUCAUCUUCCAGCCCACCAUCUGUUGUGUAUCCUCGCAUCUGUGAUACACCUUUUGUCACCAUCAAACACUUUCCUGCAUCAUAUUCUUCUUUCACCAGCAUAGCCUUGCCAUGAGUUGGCUUUCUCACUUCUUCGUCCUCUGAAUUUGUGGACCACACUUCCACUCCACCAAACUCAUCAUUGUUACCUAUAUCAUGUACAAUCAAAGCAUUCAUGGUGUUAUUGUUAGCUGAUGAUUUUUCUUUUCUUGAUCUCCUCCAAUCGUCUUAGGAGGUUCGCUUCCUCAUCAUCCUUAUCAACCUUCUUUGCCUUUUUCUUCAGCGUGCAGUCUUUGGCAAAGUGAUUCUUGCCUCCACAAUAAUGGCAGUCAUAGCCUGAGUCACCACCAAUCUUUGACUCUUUCUUGGAUUCUUCUGACUUUGAACCUAUCUUCGGUUCCUCCUUCACCUUUUCAUAACUAUAACUUCCCUGCCAGUUUCGGUUCUUGUUGGUUGGGAACUUUCUUUUGAUAAACUUUCUUGGAUUGGAAACCAUCAGGGCAUACUCUUCACCAGUAAGAUCAUAAUCAACAAGAUCCAAUUCUUCUUCUUCUUCAACAUCACCUUUUCCUUUUGAAACAAGAGCUAACGACCCCAAACUGGAUACCACUUUCGUUUCCUUUGACACCGCACUUUCAUGGGACUUCAGAAUUCCCACCAGUUUUGCCAGAGAGUAUGAUUUGAACUGUUUGUGUGCCUUCGCCGUGGACACAACUGCCAUCCAUUCGGGUCUAGCCCAUUCAUGAAGGUGACUUUCUAUUCAAUAACCUUCCUCUCGAUGCCGUGCUUUAUCAUCUUACUGAGAAGAUGAUUAAACCAAUCAAAGGCCAGAAUGAGUUUCUCUUCGGGCUUCUAUUUGAAAUCACCAAAUUCAGAAAGCAGUAAGGUUUGAAUCGAAUGUUCCAGAUCUUCAUCAAUGGAAUACAAUUCUUUCAACCUGUCCCAUAUCUCUUUAGCUGUAGCACAUGAACUCACCAAUCGAAAUGUAUCCGACUGCAAAGCAAACCUAAUCAUUCUUAAGGCCUUGAUGUUGCACUGAAACUUCUCUUUCUCGUCUUGAGGAAUGUCUUUCACAUCAUUCACAAGCUGAUUGUACUCCUUUUGAGUUUUGACAAUCUUUGAAGUGCUUGAGUGAGAAAACGGACCAACUGUGAUUGCUUCCCAGAUCAAGUACCCGUUAUCUUCUGAGCCGAUCACAUAAUCUUCGAAGUGGUGCGUCCAAACCUCAUAAUCCUGAGUGUAUAAGAUUGGAAUCCUUUUCGUUGAUCCAAUACUGUUGGAGAUGCUGAUCGGAUUGGUUUGCGAAUCAUCCAUGGACAUUGUGAUGAAGUUUGAUCGAUAACCUGUUUAAGAUCAGACUUGUAAUUUAUCAUUAGAGUGAGAUCGACAAUUAAUGAGAUAGACCCAUAUGGAAUGACGGAUCAAUUAAUAUCAAUCAAUAUGGAAAAACCCUAAUAAUUUCUUCAACAGAAGAGAUGUGUAUGAAUUACACAGCCUCCUGCUCUGAUACCAAUUGAUGAGAAUAAAUCUCUAGAUCGUUUAGAUCUUUCACAGGUAUAUUGAUAAAGAACAGACAAUUCAAACACAAUAUGAUUAUGAACACGGUAUGGAAUCAAUGUAAAGCUUAUGAUUCAAAUAUAGUCACGCCUCAGCAGAGCUCGAUGAAGAACUUCCAUUGUAGAGGUGAGCUAGGGUUUACAAUACUUUGAUAAGAGAUAAUAAAAGUGUUUUUAACUAAAGAUGCAUGCAUGCACCUUAAAUACUAAAACCCUAGAGAAAAUAUUGCACGGUUGGACAGGCCCAAACCGACUAUAAAAUUGGACUAAGGACUAAGCCCAUGAUGCAACACUAUAAGCCCAACAUUAAGUAUAAGUUCCCCCCUACUUAUACCCUAGGUACUACUUAUAUUAAGUAGAUAAUUAUACCUAGCACACAUACUCGUAUAGAAUUGAAAUAGAUUUAUACGUAGCGUUUUUACUCGUACAGAAUUGAAAUAGAUUUAUACAUAGUGGUUUUACUCGUAUAGAAUUGAAAUAAGAUUUAUACGUAGCAACUUUCGUUUCUAUGGAAUUACAAACACUUAUAUUGAUAGUAUAUGAGACUUAUAGGUAUAUACUUAUUUGGCAAGUAAACUUUUAUACCUAGGAUAUAUAUAUUAAACGUUGGAGAGUCAAAAUUAUACUUUUGAACUUGAGAAAAAGUGUUAUUUUUAUAUGGAGUCAAAACCUGUGAACUCACCAACUUUAGGUUGACGUAUUUUUAAAUGCAUGCAUUUUCAGGAAGUUGAUAAAUAUGAUACGAGAAAUGACGUUACAUUGCCCGAUGUUUCCGCUGAUGGUCGGGGUGUUGAUCAAUUAACCGAUUCAAGAAUAAUCAUCUAACGACCAUAAUUUGUUACUUGCAAAUCCACUGCUACAUUCUUUUUGUGCUUCAAAGUCUACAUUUUUUGUGUUUCAAAGUCUUCAUAGAUUCCUGAUCUCAUGCUCCCUCGGCCUCAUGUAUGCAAAAAAAAUGAAAUAACACGUAAUAACAUACAAGAUCACCAAUUUCAUUUUCAUCCUUGAUUAUCUCAAUUUCAAAACCAACAGUUAUCACAAAUACACAAAUACAAGAAAACAAACUAGUUGCACAAAUGAUAAGCAAAGUCUCUUCACUUCCUCUUCCUAAAAUGCCUCAUCAAUCAUAUUGCUUUCUACAUUAUAGUGAGCCUAUAAUAGUAAUUAUUCCAAGAAAUUAGGAGCAAACAAAUCAAGUAUGAACUCAUUGUUCUUCGUUCAUGGCCAUAAGGGUAGCUGUUUUGUAAGCCAAAUGAUUUCCAAAACUCCAAUUUUCACAUAUACUAAUUAAUACAAAUUAAAAUGAUUUCCAAUUUUUAACUUUAAUCAACCACAUACAAUACCGAAGCAUGCUAAUGCAACCCUCUAUUUGAACAUUAUCACAAAUUUAGCCCAAUACAUUUCUCCUAUACAUUUCAUCGAACAGGUAGUAGACCACACUGAAAGGACACACAUUAGGUAGAAAAAAGGAAAUCGAUAUCGACUCCAGCAAAUUUAGAGAACAAAAAAUCGAUUCUACUAACAUAAGAAAACCAUUUCAGCGAAAAGGGACGAGUUUUAGGGUAAGACCAAAAAACCUUACCGCGAUAGUUACAUGGAAAGUUCUGUUCAGUAGAACACAUCCACAUAUUUUUGAUUUCAGCAUAAGGAUUUUUGAAAAUAUUUUUAAUCUCAGAGAUGGUUGCAUGGAAAAAUCGAUUUCAUAGAAAAAUCGAUUUCAGAGAAGAGAUGGUUACAUGGAACAAAAACGAUUAGGGCUUACCAAUGGGAGAAGGUGCGGCGCUAGAGGUGUGGGAGGUGGCGUCGGAGGUGUGGUCGGUGGCAACGACCGGAGAUGUGAAGCUGGAGAGGAUGGAUGUGGGUGCUGUUUGAUUGCUGCAAGAACGACGAGAAGAUGGGAUACGAGGGUAGGGCGAGGAAAAAAACAAAGUGAGGGAGAACCGUUCAGGUAUUCAAGAACAUAAGCAAGUGUGAAACUUGGAUGAGUUUCACAUCCCCGUCAAGAGAGGAACACAAGCCAAGAUGCAAACUUGAUACCUCAAAAAUCUUCCCCACAAGAUGAUGAUUCUGGAUCCAAAGCCUCUCCACCAAUCCAAACAACUUCAAGCUUCUCUUCUUUCCUUCCCAAGGGCAAAAUGUGCACCAAAACCUUCCAAUAGCUCAAGAACGCCAUCAAGAUGCUACAAGGUUGAUUUACGUUUUUUUUGGGUAAGGAGGCUAGCUUAAAAUGAAAGUGGGGGAGAACCGUUCAGGUAUUCAGGAACAUAAGCAAGUGUGAAACUUGGAUGAGUUUCGCAUCCCCGUCAAGGGAGGAACACAAGACAAGAUGCAAACUUGAUACCUCAAAAAUCUUCCCCGUCAAGGGAGGAACAUAAGCAAGUGUGAAAGUUGGUAUCAAAGACUUGGUUUGAGGGAUUCGGAUGCACCUUCGGGUAAAUCUAGACUCAAACUGAGGAAGUAAGAAAAGUUUUCAAAGAAAUAAUUUUCUAAAGCGAAUAAAAGUUCAAAGAAAAAGUGAGAAAGAGCAGUGUGUACAAUCAGCCAGAGCCCGAACGGUGAUUUCCCAAAAUACCCUUACUUUUGUGUCAUGAGAUAUUUAUGAUGCACUUUAUGAGAUAUUAUUGCAUGCUAGAGACAGGCUAGGUAUUUCAUAUCUUAGGACUAGAGUGGCCUGAUUUGUGAUGCCUUAGCCUAGGGAUUGCUGUUAUAUGCGAUGUGCUUUUGAGUAUGUGAUGAGUGAGAAUAUUUAGUUGGAAUCCUUUAGGGGAUUUGAGUAGAGGAGUAAUCUAGGGGAGAUACCUAGAUAAGUACCGUGGUACUUAGAGAAAGAAUAGUUAGAACCCGUGAGGGGGAAGAGUUGCAGAGUUCGGUGGUACUUUCGAGGAUGAGCAGAGCAAUCGGAGUUAUCACCCAGAGCGAGUCAUAUAUAUUCUUCAAUGAUCGAAUGUUGCUUGCUUCGUUCUUUGUGGAACUCUCGAUGAUGGGAGUCAGCUACCAAGUGAAUAUGACGAUAUUCAGGAGGUAGAUGGAUGGCAUCAUUAGGAGCUCUUCAGCAGCUGAUGGCAGAGAAGUGUGGGAAUCUAGGAAGAGCCUAGGGAGUAACCUUAGCCAGAUGAGUGCGCUAGCAGAGUAGAGAAUUUCGUUGGGGAGAGAGCGCGCGACGGAAUUGGUGAACAAGAAGGUCGAGCAGCUACUUAGGAGCUCCGGGAUAGUCCGUGUGGAAAGUAUGGGUAGAUGUGGCAGGUAGUAUGGGCCCGUACUACUGAAAGCAGAGGACCCAUACUUGAUACAGGGAGUAUUCUGAAGGUUCUAAUGAGCGNNNNNNNNNNNNNNNNNNNNNNNNNNNNNNNNNNNNNNNNNNNNNNNNNNNNNNNNNNNNNNNNNNNNNNNNNNNNNNNNNNNNNNNNNNNNNNNNNNNNNNNNNNNNNNNNNNNNNNNNNNNNNNNNNNNNNNNNNNNNNNNNNNNNNNNNNNNNNNNNNNNNNNNNNNNNNNNNNNNNNNNNNNNNNNNNNNNNNNNNNNNNNNNNNNNNNNNNNNNNNNNNNNNNNNNNNNNNNNNNNNNNNNNNNNNNNNNNNNNNNNNNNNNNNNNNNNNNNNNNNNNNNNNNNNNNNNNNNNNNNNNNNNNNNNNNNNNNNNNNNNNNNNNNNNNNNNNNNNNNNNNNNNNNNNNNNNNNNNNNNNNNNNNNNNNNNNNNNNNNNNNNNNNNNNNNNNNNNNNNNNNNNNNNNNNNNNNNNNNNNNNNNNNNNNNNNNNNNNNNNNNNNNNNNNNNNNNNNNNNNNNNNNNNNNNNNNNNNNNNNNNNNNNNNNNNNNNNNNNNNNNNNNNNNNNNNNNNNNNNNNNNNNNNNNNNNNNNNNNNNNNNNNNNNNNNNNNNNNNNNNNNNNNNNNNNNNNNNNNNNNNNNNNNNNNNNNNNNNNNNNNNNNNNNNNNNNNNNNNNNNNNNNNNNNNNNNNNNNNNNNNNNNNNNNNNNNNNNNNNNNNNNNNNNNNNNNNNNNNNNNNNNNNNNNNNNNNNNNNNNNNNNNNNNNNNNNNNNNNNNNNNNNNNNNNNNNNNNNNNNNNNNNNNNNNNNNNNNNNNNNNNNNNNNNNNNNNNNNNNNNNNNNNNNNNNNNNNNNNNNNNNNNNNNNNNNNNNNNNNNNNNNNNNNNNNNNNNNNNNNNNNNNNNNNNNNNNNNNNNNNNNNNNNNNNNNNNNNNNNNNNNNNNNNNNNNNNNNNNNNNNNNNNNNNNNNNNNNNNNNNNNNNNNNNNNNNNNNNNNNNNNNNNNNNNNNNNNNNNNNNNNNNNNNNNNNNNNNNNNNNNNNNNNNNNNNNNNNNNNNNNNNNNNNNNNNNNNNNNNNNNNNNNNNNNNNNNNNNNNNNNNNNNNNNNNNNNNNNNNNNNNNNNNNNNNNNNNNNNNNNNNNNNNNNNNNNNNNNNNNNNNNNNNNNNNNNNNNNNNNNNNNNNNNNNNNNNNNNNNNNNNNNNNNNNNNNNNNNNNNNNNNNNNNNNNNNNNNNNNNNNNNNNNNNNNNNNNNNNNNNNNNNNNNNNNNNNNNNNNNNNNNNNNNNNNNNNNNNNNNNNNNNNNNNNNNNNNNNNNNNNNNNNNNNNNNNNNNNNNNNNNNNNNNNNNNNNNNNNNNNNNNNNNNNNNNNNNNNNNNNNNNNNNNNNNNNNNNNNNNNNNNNNNNNNNNNNNNNNNNNNNNNNNNNNNNNNNNNNNNNNNNNNNNNNNNNNNNNNNNNNNNNNNNNNNNNNNNNNNNNNNNNNNNNNNNNNNNNNNNNNNNNNNNNNNNNNNNNNNNNNNNNNNNNNNNNNNNNNNNNNNNNNNNNNNNNNNNNNNNNNNNNNNNNNNNNNNNNNNNNNNNNNNNNNNNNNNNNNNNNNNNNNNNNNNNNNNNNNNNNNNNNNNNNNNNNNNNNNNNNNNNNNNNNNNNNNNNNNNNNNNNNNNNNNNNNNNNNNNNNNNNNNNNNNNNNNNNNNNNNNNNNNNNNNNNNNNNNNNNNNNNNNNNNNNNNNNNNNNNNNNNNNNNNNNNNNNNNNNNNNNNNNNNNNNNNNNNNNNNNNNNNNNNNNNNNNNNNNNNNNNNNNNNNNNNNNNNNNNNNNNNNNNNNNNNNNNNNNNNNNNNNNNNNNNNNNNNNNNNNNNNNNNNNNNNNNNNNNNNNNNNNNNNNNNNNNNNNNNNNNNNNNNNNNNNNNNNNNNNNNNNNNNNNNNNNNNNNNNNNNNNNNNNNNNNNNNNNNNNNNNNNNNNNNNNNNNNNNNNNNNNNNNNNNNNNNNNNNNNNNNNNNNNNNNNNNNNNNNNNNNNNNNNNNNNNNNNNNNNNNNNNNNNNNNNNNNNNNNNNNNNNNNNNNNNNNNNNNNNNNNNNNNNNNNNNNNNNNNNNNNNNNNNNNNNNNNNNNNNNNNNNNNNNNNNNNNNNNNNNNNNNNNNNNNNNNNNNNNNNNNNNNNNNNNNNNNNNNNNNNNNNNNNNNNNNNNNNNNNNNNNNNNNNNNNNNNNNNNNNNNNNNNNNNNNNNNNNNNNNNNNNNNNNNNNNNNNNNNNNNNNNNNNNNNNNNNNNNNNNNNNNNNNNNNNNNNNNNNNNNNNNNNNNNNNNNNNNNNNNNNNNNNNNNNNNNNNNNNNNNNNNNNNNNNNNNNNNNNNNNNNNNNNNNNNNNNNNNNNNNNNNNNNNNNNNNNNNNNNNNNNNNNNNNNNNNNNNNNNNNNNNNNNNNNNNNNNNNNNNNNNNNNNNNNNNNNNNNNNNNNNNNNNNNNNNNNNNNNNNNNNNNNNNNNNNNNNNNNNNNNNNNNNNNNNNNNNNNNNNNNNNNNNNNNNNNNNNNNNNNNNNNNNNNNNNNNNNNNNNNNNNNNNNNNNNNNNNNNNNNNNNNNNNNNNNNNNNNNNNNNNNNNNNNNNNNNNNNNNNNNNNNNNNNNNNNNNNNNNNNNNNNNNNNNNNNNNNNNNNNNNNNNNNNNNNNNNNNNNNNNNNNNNNNNNNNNNNNNNNNNNNNNNNNNNNNNNNNNNNNNNNNNNNNNNNNNNNNNNNNNNNNNNNNNNNNNNNNNNNNNNNNNNNNNNNNNNNNNNNNNNNNNNNNNNNNNNNNNNNNNNNNNNNNNNNNNNNNNNNNNNNNNNNNNNNNNNNNNNNNNNNNNNNNNNNNNNNNNNNNNNNNNNNNNNNNNNNNNNNNNNNNNNNNCGUAGUACUCACUAGUUAGUUGGCAUUGUGAUACUACGGGGAGCCGUAGUAAUCACUUGUCAGAGGCUGUCGUAAUGUUGUGGGAAGCCAUAGUAUCCACUAGACGGCAAGAGAGUGUGAUGAUGGAGUGUUCUCCGAUAAGUGCAUGAUGCAGAAGAGUUUGGGGCUUGAGUAGCCCUAGUGUUGAGUUUUUGGAGCCUAGUGGUUAAACCAGGGCGAGACUGGGGUCUCCGUCUCUGUCGGGAGGGUCAGCGAGACGCACGAGAGAAUAUGCGCAGCAAACGCCAGACGUUAGAGCUGAGUCGAUCUUCGAUUGGAUUGUAUUUUUAUGAGGAAAAGGGAAUUCCGUGACUUGCGUGUCACUGGGCCGUGAUAGUGGUCACGGGGAAGAAGUUAGUGAGAUGUUUUGGAUCAUGUUAUGUGUCACCUCUGGGGGUUCAGCUGUGGGGCCAAAAGCUGACCCGGUGCUCGGUAUCGAAGAUGAAUAUGAGAAAUGAGCUAGAGUUUACCAUGUUGAUGUCUGUGGACACUUUAGAGAGAUCGAGCGAGUCAGACGCUCGAGGAUAUGUUUCGGGCAUGUGUAUUAGAUUUCGGGGGGAAAUUGUGGCCCGUAUUUGCCCUUGGCAGAGUUUUCCUACAACAACAGCCAUCAUUAGUGCAUCAGUAUGCCGCCCUUUGAGCUGUUGUAGGGAAGGGGGUAUUGGACCCCAUUUGCUGGGGAGAGGUAGAGCAACGUGUGAUGGGAAGUACAGAGAUUGUGCUUCAGACGUCAGAGCAGAUACAGCAGGUCAGGCAGAGGUUGUUGACCACUCAGAGUCGCCAGAAGAGUUAUGCGGACAGGCGCCGGUCCGAGCUCGAAUUUUUGGUCGGUGACCUUGUACUCCUGAAGGUCUCUCCUUGGAAAGGAGUGAUUUGAUUCAGGAAGAGGGGCAAGUUGGGGCCCCGAUAUAUUGGUCCUUUCCGAGUGAUCGCGAGGGUAGGCUGGAUAGCCUAUCGUUUGGAUUUGCCAGCAGAGUUGGGGCAGAUUCACGACACUUUUCAUGUGUCGCAACUGAGGAAAUGUUUAGCCGAUGAGUCGGCAGUGGUUCCAUUAGAGGAUAUUCAGGUGGAUGCGAGCCUGAAUUAUGCUGAGAGACCAGUGGCAAUCAGAGAUCGGAAAAUCAAGGUUCUGAGGAACAAGGAGAUACCCUUGGUUUUGGUUCAGUGGCGGCAUCGUAAGGGGUCCGAGAUGACUUGGGAGCCGGAGCUUGAGAUGCGUGAGCAGCAUCCGGAGUUAUUUGCAGAGCGAGACUUCGAGGGCGAAGUCUAGUUCUAGUGGGGGAGAAUUGUAACAGCCCGGAUUCCCAGGUAUUAUUUAUUCUUAUAAUUUUUGGUGAUUUGUGAGGAGACUCGGCGAGUUGGAGCUCAAACUCGCCGAGUAUGAUCGCGGUUUGGGCACGGGUUCGCGUCCGGACUCGGCGAGUCCAAAAGGUGGACUCGGCGAGUCCACGCUGUUUAAUGAAACCCUAAUUUCCCGGUCCUGAGCCCUAUUUAAGGGACCUUAUGGCCUUCAUUGCGGCUACCUUCGACCUUGGGAGCACCAGAGCAGCUGAGAGUUCUUGUGAGUGAGAUAAGAGGCCAUUAUUCACCAUUUUAGUGUGUAUUUGCAAGAAAGGAAGAGGAAAGCCAAGCUAAGAGAGUUGGGGAGCUUAGAUCUACUCCCAUUUCGACAGAGGAAGCUAAUUGAGGUAACAUUCAGAGCUUAUUCUCGUGUUUUUCUUGAUAUGGCCAAAUCUAGGGUUUCUUCAUGCCUUGUUUGCCUUGUAUUUGGAGUAUGAGAGGUCCCAUGGGGAAAUGGUACCUAGAUCUGGACCUUAGUAGGUCCAGAGAGUCCCAAAUGCCAUGCUUUAUGCCUUUCCUUUUGAGUUGGAGACUUAGGUUUCCAUUUUAGAUGUCAUUUCAUCAAAAGAAGCCUUGUAGGCGUUGCUUGGUAGCCAAGAUUGAGACUUUACGUGAUGAAUGUGCUUGGGAGGGCUAGAUCUAUGAGUUGUUGGAGCGGAUCUGACCUCAGAAGCGAGAUUGAGUCAAUGCAUGGCAUGAACUCGCCGAGUCCGAAGAACAGACUCGGCGAGUAGCAUGAAGAUUGUCCUAACCACUCAGCGAGUGGUCUUGCCGAGUUAAGGGAUGACUCAGUGAGUCAGGGAGAAUUAGAGAGGGUUGACAGGUGGACUGAGUCAAGCUGGAACUCGCCGAGUUGUUCUUGAGACUCGGCGAGUUGAGUCGUGGUGGCCCCGCGAUUAUGCCAGGUGAAACUCGUCGAGUCAGAGAAAUACUCGACGUGUCAAGAGAGGAUCCAAGGGAGUCAGUGGACACGUGUAGACUCGCCGAGUCGCCCCAGUGCACUCGCCGAGUCCGGUCAAAGUUGACCGUUGACUUUUGUUGACUUUUAGGGUUUGGUCAGCGAUGUGGCCUUUGGGCCAAGAGAGGGGUAAAAUGGUCUUUUACCCUUAAGAGGGUAUCAAGAGAGGGUUGAUCCUAGACUCGAGAGUUAUAUUCACGAGAGUAUUUGCCUUAUGUGUUAGGCGGUGGCAAGUUCGAGAUUCAAGUGUGGGGAUAUCUGCUUUCUGCUUGCCGGGUGAGUCUUCUCACUAUACUUUACCUUGAGUAGGUAACCAGAGUUAUGUGACAGAGUAUUUGUAUGCUAUGUGUUGUACUGCAUUAUUUCUAUGUGAUUUAUGCUGUGCAUGUUUACAGAGUUAGAACCGUAAGGUUCCCAGAGUUAGAACCGGAAGGUUUACAGAGUUAGAACCAGAGGGUUCAUAGAGUAGGGUCCACGGACCCACAGAGUUAUAGCCUCGAGUGGCUAAUAUGUGUAUGUGUGGUAUUUUGGGGAACUCACUAAGCUUCGUGCUUAUAGUGUUUUGUGUUAUGUGUUUCAGGUUUCUCUCAGGAUCACGGGACGGCACCGACUCGAUUGUACACACCAGAGAAAGAGUCAUGUUUUGAGGAUCCUGGUUUAUUAUGCAAGUGAAAAUGGAGUUAUGUUUUGUAAUUCGAUUAUGUAUGAGAUUUUCAGCAAAGUAUUUUUUUGAAUUAAACGAUUAUUUCAAAAUGAAAAAUUGUUUUGAAAUUUUCGGUGUUACAAGCUCUACAGUUUAACUAACCCACAUAUGCCUUACAAUAUCCCGGACGAACAUCCAAUUUCCAUAAAAGCCCGAGCUGACAAAUUACCGAAAUACCCUUUGACUCCAAAGCAUAAACUGAAUACCCAAAACAUCCAAAUUACAUUAUCCAACCCCAACUGAGUCCAAAUCUCACAUCUUCAAGGAUCUCAAGCCCCCUGAUACCCAAUCCCUGAUCACUACUCCGAAAUGGGAAACGAUUCAAAACAGGGCGUUACAACUGGUAUUAACAAACAUGGUAUUAAAUUGGACUUUCUUGUAUGCAUUACAUGUUGAUCGUUAAUUGAGAAUUCUAACCAUACACUUGGGUGUUUGUGAUGAACUACUCAAGCUUACUUUUUUACGAUAAAAGUGUCUUGAUGUAAUUAUCCUCACAUCAUUAUGUUUAGAAACGAAAUGGUUUUUGGAGCCGAUAAACAUAUGAAAACUACUAUGAUUGAUUUUAUAGUGUUCUAAUCCUGUUUUUGGUAGUUACUAGUAGAUUUAAUUAAAAACUUAAUGGGGUUGAUUAACUUCAAGACCUAAUUAGUAUUAUAAACUCUCCAUAAUCUCCUUGUUUUGCUUUGUGCUUUAUGAUGCUUUUUUUAUAUAAGUUUUCUUUCGUUAUACAUUUUUUUAAGAGGGGGAGGAAUGUAUGACUUAGGGGAAAAUUUUGAUUCAAAGAAACAUGUGACAACCCGUAAUUUCAAAUCUUGUAAAAGUCAAACUUGGUAAACUAAAUUCAAACUUAUCCAAUAAAAGUCAAACUUGUGCUUUGAUGUAAUCUUAAGGUUAGAUUAAUAGCCUUUUCAUGGUAAAACACUUAGUUAAAAGGGUUGUAGAAAUUUGAAAGUUAAAACACUAAAAAAACCAAGGCCCUUCGCACGAGCCGCAAACCCUCGCAUGGGCGGUAAUCCCUCGGACCGCAAACGGUUUAUAGCCGUAAACCUUCGGUUCGNNNNNNNNNNNNNNNNNNNNNNNNNNAUAUAUAUAUAUAUAUAUAUGUUUGACUGAAAUAAUCCUCACUUCUACAUUUCUAGCCGAAAACUCUAGCUUUUUCUCUCAAGAUCUUCAACCGAAAACCCCUAGUUUUCUCUCAACUAUCAUCCGAGGAUCAUUUGAUUCACCUUCGGAUCUUGUUAAGAACAUCUAUUGUUCUUCCAUUUCAUCGAUCAAACACCCUUCAUUUCUGGGUUUAUAGCCCUGAACCCUUGAAUCUUCUUAGUUACACCAAGAUCAUACUCUUGAUUAUAGCCGAAAACACUUGAAUCUUCAAGUGACCAUGAAUCGUUUACGGCCGUAAACACUGAAGCCAGACGUAAACUCCAACCAGUCACUCGAUUUAGCUUCUAACACUUCUUUUGUAAGAAAUUCUUACAUCCUAGGUUGUUUCCUUAACACCUUUGAGGUCAUAUUCACUAAUUUCAUGCUUAUAUAUAUCAUGUGAAAUGCAUUUUAGGACUUGUAUUGUCUUGCAAUCUAACUUGUGGAAACAAUCAUCCUAUAUCAAUCAUCCAACACAAAUCACUCAUACAAGGUAAGUUCAUACCCAUACAAUUUACUUUUUUAAAUGCUUUUAGGGGGGGGGGGGAAUACAAGUAGAACACAAUAGAAUUGUGUUAACAUUUACAUUUGAAAACAAACAAACAAAUGAUUUCUUAUGUUUUUAUAAGUUGUUAAAAUCAUUUCAAAAACUCUUUUAAAACUAUUUUAGAUUGUUGUUUAUUAUCCAAAUCGUAUUCAUUUAUAUAUUUAUGUAUAGGUAUGUUUUAACGGACUUAGGACUAUUGCUAAAUAGAGGCGCACACAAAAACCUGAUCCUCGAAAUGAAACCGAUCCGAUCCGAAAACCGGUUUCGGUCAAUACCGGUUUUGACCAAACCGGAUUGGAUUAAACCGGUGACCGGAUUCAAACCGGUUUGACUUUUCGGACUCGAAAUCGGGUUUACCCCCGCAUCACAAUCCAGAUUCUACAAAAACUGGUUCUUAAACCGUCGAAAAAUCUGGUAAAACCUAAAAAAAUCUGGAUCAAACCAGUUUGAAAUCGGAUUCGAAUCAGAUUUUAACCGGAUCCAGAUCGGAUUUGGCCGGAUCGGAUUGUUGACCGGAUCGGAUCGGAUGCUGGGUUUGUGCAUCUCUAUUGCUAAAUACCUUGACUUCUGUUCCUUGUUUGGUUACGGGCUUAGGGUAGGAUCACUAGUCCGACUGUCGGCUAAAUCAUAGUUAUACUUGCUAAACAUACACAUGAAUAUUAAACUCCAUUUUCAACGUACAUACUUAACCCAGUUGCAUACAUUGGGCAAAUGAGUAUUUUCUCCAAAACAGUUACAGUUCAAACAAAUAUACUAGUAACUAUAAUAGGUAUAGUUUAGAGGAGCAGUAGAUACUAUUUUCUAGAACAGAGGAACAAUAUAUGAAUAAAUACAUACAUACAUACUAAUACUAUUCAUUACAAGGUAUAUUAUUCUUUUACAAGAACAGAAAGGAACUUACAUACUAUACAUGAACAAGAUAACUAAAAUGUGAGAUACUAUUUCAUGGCAUAGCAAUAUUCUUGCUAUGCUACGUUUUAUAACCAAAGUCUCCUGGAGGGAGAGCGUGAGUUUAUGUAUAGAUCUAUACGAGAUUGACAAUCCCACACCUCACUACUAGCUAUAGUAGGACCUGUAGGUCUACGGGUGACAAAUGUCAUAACUUUUUCGAUGCCUAAAGAAGUCGUGUUUUACACUAGUCAAUCAAGCAUAGUUAUAACUUUAUCACAUUUGAACCUUAAUUAACCAGUUUUGUUUCAAGGUAGAUAAUGCAUCAGUAGUGUAUUUCAUACAAUACUACUGUAAACCUUCAUUUUCCAUUACAUUCAUUCAGUGAUUUUCUCUCAUGAGAAAUGCAUACUAUUUUUCUAGUAAAGAUGGUUUACAAAUAUGGAAUACAUACAUUUUAUACUAUUUCAAGUACAAACAUACAUUUUACACUAUUACUAGAGAACAAACAUACAAAACAGUCGGGUCUUGGGUAGAAGACUACAUUUCAUUUUUAGAAGAAAAUAUAAGAUUUUCUGGGAAGUAUACAAACAUUUCACUAGACAAACACAAACAUUUUCAUGAAACAACUACAAACUUUUGACACUAAAACGCUUAUGAAUUCACCAACUUAAAUGUUGAUACUCUCUUUCAAAAUAACUUGUAUUCUCAGGGAACCAGUAGACAGGUACACUGGAAAAGUUUUGAGAAGACGGAGCAUGUUCAAGACUAUUCUAUUAAUGCAAUGGUAGUUGUUGCUUUUUUUACUAUUGUACAUUGUUAUGAUACUGUAUAUGACGCCCUCCGCCCCCGAAUGUUUCCGCCAUCUCGGUUUGGGGGUGUGACAAAACAUGUGUGAUUGAGGGAAAUUAUUAGAGACAGACAAUCGUAGGAGAGGUGGAAAUAGAUGUUGGCCAAGGAAGAAAGGAUCACUUUGGAAAAAUUUCAGUUUGGUGUUAGUCUAAAUUAUUCGGUAUUUUGGCUUGGUAUUUCCAUAGUCAAAACCUAAAAUUUUCGAUUUGGUUUUGGUUUUAAUGGUCAGUAAUUACGUUAUCUCAUCAUAAAUUACUAUGUUUAAUGAUUAGAAAUUACAUUGUAUUCUGAAUUUUUUUUUUAAUUUUAUAAAAAAAAUGAUGUUUUUGAAAAUCUUUUUAUUAUAAAUGGAUUUUUUGAAAAAAGAAAAGGUUAAUCUAAAAAAAAACCUUAUAUUUUGUAUUUUUUCGGAUUAAACCUCAAAUUUAUUUUUGACCUGAAAAAGACCUUGUAUUUUUUUUCAUUUUUCCCGAUCUUACCCUUUUAGGGUUUCUUUUGAAAAAAAAAACUAAAAAAAUUGAGUGUUUAAUCGGAAGCAUUUAAAAGGUUGAGGGUUUUUUUGGGAAAAAAAAAUACAAAGUUGAGGGGUUUUUUUAGAAAAAAGAAAAAAUACAAGGUUUUUUCAAACAAAAAAUAAAGUUAUUAUUAUUAUUAUUAUUAUUAUUUUAUGAGAUUAGCCCAAAAGAAAAAAAAAGGAUUUUAAGAUAAAAUGUUGAAAACUUAAUAGUGUUCAUGAAACUUUCCCUGAGUUAAUUACGUGAUUUUUCUGAUUAUUAACUGAAUUUUUUUUUUCCUUUUUCGUAUAUAUACUUCGUACUUGGGGGGUGUUUGGCAUAGCUUUUGAGAAGUCAAAACAUCUUUUAGAAAAAGAUAGAAGCCAAAAGAUGUUUGACAAAACAAUUUUAAAACCUAAUUUUGGAUUUUUGAUAGAAGGAAAAUCAACUUUUUGGAAAAGUCAGCAAAAACCUGACUUUUUGCAACUUUUUCAAAAAUGACUUUUGGCCCUUAAAAAACUAAGCCAAACACCCCCUUGGUAAAAAGGAUAAAUUACUAAAUAUUUCAUAAAGAUUCCUAUUAAAUUAAAAGAACUGUAGACGUUGGAUUGUCUUUUACGGGUUGCUUAUAGCCAAACAUCUAAAGUUCUAUAAAAUCUUACGAUUCAAAUUGUCUUUUACAUAUUAAAAAUGAUCAACAUAACACCAACCUAAGAAUUCUGUUGUAUUUACAUGAAUGAAAAAUCUCAUGAAUCGAAUUUAUCCAAAACUCUCAUGGAUCAAACACUAAAAUUUCCCUAAAAUACUCAAUUCCUUAAUUGGAAAAUUGUUGUUGAUUUGAAUUAUAACUGUUUGGCAUCUUCUAGAAUCUAGAUGUCAUGAUUAGGAGGCAGUUCUUCCAAACAAUGAUACAAAUCUUCCAAACUCAAAUUGUCAAGCCACUCAUUCCCAUCAUCAUCAUCAUCUCUUUGCAUCAAAUUUUCUACAGUGAUUUGCUCACUUGUCCCGUUGACUUUAGUCAAAGAUUCUGGUGGUAAGUCGCUCAAGAACAUGACGUCGUCACCUUCAAACUCGCCAUCCAAAUUUUCAAAUGAAUUCACACUAUCACUGUUGUUACUUUGUGAUUCUUCUAAUGGUGAUGCAGGAUGAAGAUCACGUGUAUGAUGAACGUUAUUAUCUUCUGGUAUGAUCCUCUCGUUUGGAUUGUUCUUCUUGUUGUAAAGACGACACAAAACCCAAUCAUCCAACUAGAAUUAUUAGAACAUACCCAUGUCAAUCCAGUGGUUCUUAUUGAAAAAUUCAAUAUUUAGGAAGAAUUUAGAUGGAAAACACAAAAUGAAAAUGUCAAACGCACCUUAGAAAUGGUGGAAUUGGUGUGUUUAGAAGAGGUAGAGUUUGGCAUAUCAAGUCUAUACUCAUGCAUUAUCCAAUUCGUCUUGAUCCCUUUAACGCCUUUUCCUGCAUAAAAUACCAAAGCUUUCUUGAUCCCCACGACUGUAUUCGGGUCGGAUUUUGUCCUUAUGGGUUUAUCAGCUCCGGUAGCCUUCCAGUACCCGUUUCCAGUUACCCGGUUUGGUCUUGACCCGUUAGGGUAUUUCCUGUCUCUUGGUGUGAAGAAGUACCAUUCCUUUGUUCCAAACAGAGCCAUUUCUGAAGAGAUUUAGGGCAAAAUUCUUCAGUAAUCAGGCUUUAAUAAGCUGCAAAUUGCGAAGUAAGAUGCUAUGGAGUUGAAAAGAAAAGUUACCAGGAAGCUCCCAUGGAUCGUGCUUGUAGAGAUCAACCUCAGCGAUGAUUGACGGAGGUGGAGCAACACCAACAAUCUCCGCCGUCGUUUGGGACUUGCGGCAGAGAUAGUGAACGAUGAGCUCCUCGUCUGUCGGGUGAAAUCGGAAACCGGGAGGCAAAUUCAACUCAGCUUCAGCAUCUCUUACCCUUUUUGUUACGGAUUUCGACGGCGAUCUCAUAUUUUAAUGCGAUGGAACCAAAAUCGACCUGAAUCGAAUCUGUAUCUGAUUUUCUGGUUUCUUGUUGUGGUUGAAAAUGUGUACGAAUUGAAGUUGAAAUGUAAAAUUUGAAGAUGAGGAGAAUUGAGGAACCCCAUGGGAGUGUUAUAUACCUGCUCUGAAUUGGAUUAGGAAAUUCGAGAGUUUUUGGAGAACGACAGAGGAAAUAGAGAAGUGUCUCGUGUGGCCUCGACAAUAAUGGGCCCAACAUCCUUUGAGGCGUCAUCAAAAUUUAUAGCUCGUAUAUAACAAAAAAUGAUACAUAUAGAAAAGAUAUAUUAAACAUUUUUUAAUCAUGUAGUAUGAUUUAUUAGAGGGUGUUUGAUAGGGAAAAAAAUGACAGCUUAUUGCUUAUUUUCACCACAAUAAGCUAAUUUAAGUGUUUGGAUAGGAUGCUUAAAAAAUUAGCUUAUUGCGGUGGGAAUAAGCUAAAUAAGCUGAUUUUAAUAAGCAAGGGGGGUAAUGUUUAUUGCUUAUUGCUUAUUGCUUAUUAGUCAUUUUACUCAUAUAAGCUGUUUUGUUUGCCAAACACUUCAAAUGCUUAUUGCUUAUUGUUUAUUCCCAUCGCAAUAAACUAAUCCAAACACAUUUUAAAAAAAUGCUUAUUCUCACCACAAUAAGCAAUAAGCAAUAAGCUAAUAAGCUAAAAACUUGUUUAUCUAAACACCCUCUUAGUUUGAGUAAAUUGCAUGGCCCGACUCUUUGAUUAAUAUAACAUCUUUGGUUCAAAUUUGACCUAUUGUUCCGGAAAUUGUCCCUAUUUGAUUGAUAUAACACCUUUGUUCCAAACUUAUAAUUACUGUAAAAAUUGUCUAUAUUUCAAACUAAAUUCGUAUGUUUGGUUUAUACCUCUUCCUUUCGUUACCAUGCAGUGUUAAAGACCCUCUCAUGUGCACGUCAUGUGAGGGCAUUUAUGUAUUUUCAUAACCCAAACAAAAUUACCAUUGAUGUCAUGUUCCUCAUUAAUUUAUAGUAUAAUUUUCGAAUCUUUGGGAUUUUUGACUAUUUUCUCAAAAAAAAAAAAAAAAAAAAAAAAAAAAAAAAAAAAAAAAAAAAAAACAAUUGCACGAUAAUUUAUGCUUAGAAUAUGAAAAUUCAUAAAUAGUAAUCGUCAGAAUAUAACAUUUUUGAGUUAUUAUAUUCAUAAUGCAGAUUUUUAUGAGACGAAGUUCAACUCUAAAAACUACUUGGAUGUUAGGAAUUAUCUGUGAAUUGGUUGUGGCCUCUAGGCAUUAGGGGUUAGUAUCAGAUAGGGAUGUCAAUGGGACCAAACAGGAGCGGAAAUAAUUGUCCUCGCUCCCGUCCCCGAAAUCAAUUGUUGCCCCCGCUUUCGGUCCCGCCCCUGAAUCCCCCGUUUACAUAGCCCCCGGUUACUUUCAUUACCCCCGGUCUCGCCCCCGUUCUCCCGACUUAUAGGCUUAAAAUUCAUUUUUUUUUUUGCUAACAAACCGUUUUGUUUUUGGCUAAAAAAAUAUUUUUAAUAACUUUAAAAGCUUAAAACCUAAUAUUUUAGAAACUAAAAAUUAAAAAUCCAACAUUACAAAACAACAAUUCCAACAAUCUUACAAAUAUAAAUACGACAAAUCCAACAUUACAAAUAUAAAAUACUUACAUAUCCAAAAAUAUAUGAUCAAUUCGCUACAUUUUCAACAUUCUUUAAUUGGAAACGGGAAAGUGAAACCUGCACUAAACCUAAAAUUAGAAAAUCUAUUUUGUAUAUGUAUUUUAUAUUAAAUAUAUAUAUUUUUCAUCAAUGUACAACCACGGCCCCCGCAGGAGUACGGGACGGAAAUACCGAUUCCCNNNNNNNNNNNNNNNNNNNNNNNNNNNNNNNNNNNNNNNNNNNNNNNNNNNNNNNNNNNNNNNNNNNNNNNNNNNNNNNNNNNNNNNNNNNNNNNNNNNNNNNNNNNNNNNNNNNNNNNNNNNNNNNNNNNNNNNNNNNNNNNNNNNNNNNNNNNNNNNNNNNNNNNNNNNNNNNNNNNNNNNNNNNNNNNNNNNNNNNNNNNNNNNNNNNNNNNNNNNNNNNNNNNNNNNNNNNNNNNNNNNNNNNNNNNNNNNNNNNNNNNNNNNNNNNNNNNNNNNNNNNNNNNNNNNNNNNNNNNNNNNNNNNNNNNNNNNNNNNNNNNNNNNNNNNNNNNNNNNNNNNNNNNNNNNNNNNNNNNNNNNNNNNNNNNNNNNNNNNNNNNNNNNNNNNNNNNNNNNNNNNNNNNNNNNNNNNNNNNNNNNNNNNNNNNNNNNNNNNNNNNNNNNNNNNNNNNNNNNNNNNNNNNNNNNNNNNNNNNNNNNNNNNNNNNNNNNNNNNNNNNNNNNNNNNNNNNNNNNNNNNNNNNNNNAUUGUAUUAGUAAAUUUUUAGAAUUUAAACACAUGUUGACGUGUCCUAUUUUCCUUUACUAUUUUAAAAUUGAACUCAUGAUAAAAUUUAAUAAAAUCCUUUUGGAUCGAGUUUUUAAUCCCAACCAUUUACAAAACCCUCAUUCAUGUUUCACAAUGCUCAAUAAUACGGAAAUUUUCAUCCAGAAAACCCUCAUACAUAUUGAGAUAUACCAUUACCAACUUGUACUCAUCGAUAUUGGUAGCCAAUUAAACAAAUUGAUACCAAGUAUAUACUUAAUGUAUUAGUAAUAGCAAAAAAUUUAUACCAGUGAAAAUUUAUAUAGUAUAAAAUUUGGUAAAAUUACCGGUCCUUAUCAAUACCACAUCAAAUAAUACACUGACCAAGUUCCAACCCUUUGUUUCCGAAUACUAGAACAAACCAAGGCUAAUAUUACUAAAUGGGAUUUUUGGAGUCCUCCAAUCCAAAAUAAUAUCAUGCUGGACACCUCAAUUAAAGAUUUAUACUAGCUUUUUGGACGCUCUACAAAUAUCUAAUUAUUAAAAAAAUAAUAAAAAAAAAUAGAAGAACUUUUAACAAAGCUCUACAGUGACACUUUGUAUAAAGAUAGCAAAAUGAUAAGCUUUAAAAAAAAUUAACCACCAACAAAACUAAAAACAAUUAAAACGAUUAUCAUAAGAAAAGUGUCAAUAAUAGAUAACUCAUCAUUUAAAUCGUGAAUUGGAAUGUUCUUUACAACUCAUCGCUUCAGAAAUUAUUUUUUAAAUGUAUAAUAAAAAAUUUGAUGUCAAAGACCUAUUGUAAUAUUGUCUUAUAACUUUAUUACCUAUAAGGCUGGCAAAAAGGGUCGGCCAACACAAUCUAUAAUAAUCGUUAGGCUGGAUAGAUGUUUUUAAUCAGUUUAAUUAAAGAUUUCACUCUCUUUAAUAAAACAUCUUAACUCGUUUAAUUAAAUGAGUUUGAUUGUAUUUGAAAUUUUCAACAUAAACUCAAUCAGUCAAGCCUUUUAAAAAUUAUAUUUAUAUUUGUUAAAUACUAAUAUUUAUAAUGUUAGAUAUUUCUAAUGUUAUUUGAAAACUUGAUUUGUAUUUGCGGUUAUAAUUUUUUCAAGAGAAAUUAAAUAUACUCCUACCAUUUGUUCAUAUUUUUCCUCCUACCAUAUCAAAUAUUGACAUGUGUCACAUUUAAUUUGACAUUUAAUGAAAUUAAUAAUCAUUUAAUCCAAUUGUCAAUAUUUGAUAUGGUAUGAGGAAAAAUAAAAACAAAUGGUAGGAAGAUAUUUAAUUUUUCUUUUUUCAAACUUAACAGUUAUUGAUGUCUGUAAUUAUUUGUUUCUAAAUUUAUUUGAAUAGGAUUAAAGUAGGUAACAUAUGUAAUUAGGUGUAGGUUUAUUAUAGAUAUUAUUAUUUUUUUGAAAUUUAAGUAGGUCAACUUAAUUGGAUUUAACAUUUUUGUUAAAUAUAUUCAGUUUUAUAUAUAUAUAUAUAUAUAUAUAUAUANAAUGAUUCAUUUAUUUUGUUCGUAAAAAAAAUAUGUAGAAAAUAAACUUCUUACCUUCCUACCAAAAAAAAAUUCUUACUGGAUCUAUAUCCUAUAUAGGGUUAUGUUAUUUUGUUUUCACUAUCUAUUGUGUGCAUGCAUUAUUGAUUCGGGACCAAACAUUUUAGAUAUUUUAAGAAAGUAAUUAAUACAUAUUACAUGUUGAAGAUAUAAUGGGUAUUAAUUACAUCUUCAGCAUUUAAUAUGCAUUAAUUACCUUUUAAAAUAACUAAAAUGAUUGAUCCAGAAUCAAUCAUACAUGUACACAAUAGAUAGUGAAAACAUUUGAACCUAACUAACUAACUAACUAACCAUAUAUAUAUAUAUAUNNNNNNNNNNNNNNNNNNNNNNNNNNNNNNNNNNNNNNNNNNNNNNNNNNNNNNNNNNNNNNNNNNNNNNNNNNNNNNNNNNNNNNNNNNNNNNNNNNNNNNNNNNNNNNNNNNNNNNNNNNNNNNNNNNNNNNNNNNNNNNNNNNNNNNNNNNNNNNNNNNNNNNNNNNNNNNNNNNNNNNNNNNNNNNNNNNNNNNNNNNNNNNNNNNNNNNNNNNNNNNNNNNNNNNNNNNNNNNNNNNNNNNNNNNNNNNNNNNNNNNNNNNNNNNNNNNNNNNNNNNNNNNNNNNNNNNNNNNNNNNNNNNNNNNNNNNNNNNNNNNNNNNNNNNNNNNNNNNNNNNNNNNNNNNNNNNNNNNNNNNNNNNNNNNNNNNNNNNNNNNNNNNNNNNNNNNNNNNNNNNNNNNNNNNNNNNNNNNNNNNNNNNNNNNNNNNNNNNNNNNNNNNNNNNNNNNNNNNNNNNNNNNNNNNNNNNNNNNNNNNNNNNNNNNNNNNNNNNNNNNNNNNNNNNNNNNNNNNNNNNNNNNNNNNNNNNNNNNNNNNNNNNNNNNNNNNNNNNNNUAUGUUUGGUUGGGUUAAUAAUUUUCAACCAAUUUACAUAUUGAGUUGAGAUUUUGUUUAAUUAAAUAGUUAAUCCGGAUAUGAAUCAACCUAAUCUAUUAUCACCAAGGUUCUAAAAGGCGUGAGGCGUGGCGUGGCGGCAAGGCCAAGCCUCAAGCUUAACGAGUUAUGGCGAGCCAUGACGUUUUUCAAGGCGUGAUGUAAGGCGACGAUUUUGUAUUCAUUUAUAAUUAUAUUACCGCAUAAAUAUAAAUUUAUAUCAAAUAUACCUAGUUUUUAGAAGUGUUAUAUCAACAACUAAUAACAGAAAGUUAAUAAAAAAACACAAUACUUGUAUGUCCGAUUAGAAAGUGUAUAAAAAAGAGCAAAAAAACGUGUCUCAAACGAAAUAAAACGCACCAUAAAACGCCAUAACGCGCCAUGGCACGCCAUAUCACACAUUGCCACGCGCCACGCCUAACAACAACGUUAUGAAGCUUUUCGUAACGGCGAAACCGCUUCUCACGCCAUGACGCGCCUUGGCGCCCGCCAUGGCGCGCCUUUUAGAACACUGAUUAUCACCAAAGGGCUUCUAGCUCAGCGGUAUCAAGUAUUGUCCUCUCUUUUUAAGGUUGAGGGUUUAAGUCUCAUCGGAGAUAUAUAUGAAUUUAGGAGUAGUUUAGGAUUAUAUUGUAAUUGUCGUUCAACAAAAAUUUACUAUCGCCCCUAAUUAUCUUUUUAAUAACAUGAAUAUAAGAUGUUCACAAUUUUCACAAACUUAAUGGUAUAUAUUAGAUAUAUAAAUAAUAAAAACAAUUAUUUUAAUAGAUAAAAUAUAAAAAUAAAUAAAAAUAAUAACAUUUAAUUAAAAUACACAACUAUCUAGAUUUUUCAAUAUCCGGAGUGCAAAAGAUACUACCAACAGAUUACACGUAUUUGUGGUAGGGGUACACAAAUCAUAUCAGAUAUAUCUAAAAUCCAAAAAAUUAUUCGAUAUGGAUUUCAAAUAUUUAGUUUUUAUAGAAUCCAAAAGAGGUUUAUCCUAACCGUCGAAUAUGGAUCGGUUCUUCCGGUGUUUGAUAUCCACAAAUUUUUUCCAUGCCGUUUUUAUUCGAAUAUGUAUUUAGUUGGAGUUAGUUUUUUUUAUUAUUUUAAAAACAUAAUCAAACCAGAUAAGAUAAUUCAUCUCUUAUCCAAUUCGGGUCCGGUUAUACCUUUUCAUAUAUGUUUUCGUACAAAAUAUAGAUAGAGAAAUUAAAUUGCUUCCUACUUUUUAUGCCUACAAUCAAAAUCCGUUAUCACCUAAUCCAAAUUUGACAAAAAAAAUAUUCAAAUUGGAGUGAAUCGUGAUUUUAUUAACAUCUAAUUUAUGGUAUUAAAUGUGUUGUUGUUUUACCAACCAUAACAUUUAUUUCCUUUUUUGCUCAAAAAAACUUGUUUAUAAGAACCAAUGCAAAUGCAAAGAGUGUCAAACAAGUCAAGGGAGGUUGCCUGGGAUCUUUCUUUGUAGUUUGAAUUGGGACCCCUUCUAUAUGCAACAUUACCUUUUGGAUUGCUUGAAACGGUUUGGGACCAUAAUUAAGGGUUGAAACAAAUUACCUUUCCUUUUGGACGUGUGUUUUUUCAAUUGAAGCCGAUUACCAUAUUUUUUUGAAAAAAUAUAAAUGUUGAACGCUGAACCCGUGUUAUGACCCAUCAAAUAAAGGUAACUCACUAAGUCCUAACAAUAAUUUCAACAAGUCAGCUAUUUAACUCUUAAAACUCAUUUACGGAAUUUUGUAUACCAAUGACCAUAACCAAUAGAAAAUUAUUUAACGUACAACAACAAAAUUUUCGAUUCUUACAUACAAUGUUUUAUAUAAAGCUAAAUGUGUAUAGUAAACUUCUAGUUAGACUAGUUAGUGUUUUAAAAUUUAAAUAAUAUAUGUUUUAUAGUAUAUAAUAACUACAUAUUUUAGGUUUCCUUAUUUUAAACAAAAUACAAGAGAUUCUAUAUUUCAUCAAUUGAUAAUGAUUUGCUAUAUUCUUAAUAUUAUAUUAUAUUAUAUCAUAAUUAGGUAGUUUUAAAUCAGCUGCAAAUAGUUUUAACAAAAUGAAUGAAAUUUUAAUUUGUUGUCAUUUUACGCUAAUAAUUAUUGAAGUACAAUUUAAAAAAUGGGAAUAGACUAAAAUGCAUCGACAAUGUGUUCAUUUGACUUAAUUUGGCUAUGCAUGAAUAAUAGGGUUAUCAAAGCUGCCCAAUUAAAAAAUAUGUUCUUAGAGUUUGGUAUAACAUUGUGAAAGUAAUUAAUGAGCUUGGCGAGUUGGAUGUGAAUAUUUCUUCCGUUUUUAAAUUUCAAGUGGGAGAUGGUUUGCAUACAAUGCUUUGGCUAGAUGAUUAGUUAGGAAAUGACACUUUAGCCUCCAAAUUCCCUCCUCUCUAUGUGUUACAUAGGAGGAAAUCAUGUUUUUAUAUAUGAGAGAACGAGUUAUGCCACCUUUUCGUGGGCUUGGAAGAAGCAACCUAGUAGACAUCAUGAGCUGUCAGAUGUAGGUCACUUAAAAUGGGUUGAUCAAUCAGUUUGUGCGUUCUGAUGGCCUCGUUCUUGGAGGUCGAGGUUGUCGAGUAAAGGUAAGUUCUAUGUUCAUGAUCUAAGGGCUUUAAUUGACAAUAAGGUGACCAUACUUGUAUUAAUCCUAUGAUUUGGAUUCAUUUGGUACCUCCAAAAUGCAUCAGGUUUGUUUGGCGGCCUUGUAUGGGUCGUAUCCCCUCGAUAAUGGUCCUUUCGAGUAGAUGUAUUAAUAUUUCCUCUACUACCUGUCAGUUGUGUUCUAAUGGGGUGGAUGAAUCUGAUCAUUUGGUUGGUGAAUGUUCUUUUGCGAUUGACACUUUUUCUUGGGUCUUUAAUUGGUGUGGUAUUCUCCACGGUUUUUGAGUUUGUGAACUUCGUGACAACCUGAGACAAUUGCCAAAAAAUGGAGAAUUCUUCUCGUCAUCUUUUAUGGCUUCCGUUGGCACGUUUGGAAAGCGAGAAACGACAUAUGGUUUAACAAGGUUCAUACGACCUCUUCUUGGAUGAAGCAUAUGGGUAAUUUCGAAAAUUAUAAAUAUGUUUAUUGGAGUUUCUACCUUUUAACAUUUUGUAAUAUUUUCUUUGUUGUUUUCUUGCCCUAUUUUUUUUUCUUUUUAGGCAGUCGUUUUUUUAUAAAAUCCACGGUUAAAAAAUAACCAACAGAAAAAAAAAAAAAAUGAAAGUUGCCCUAACUUAACUCUGGCCCGUUUUAAACAACAUAAUAAUUGCAUUUAUUUAUUCUUUUGUGUGAAAAAUUGUACAUAUAUUUAUUGAAUUAAAAAAAGAUUAAUAUAAAAGCUUAAAAUUAUACAACUCGUGGGAGUCGCAAUUGAAACUUUUUUAAAAAUAGAUAAAAUCAAUGCGGAUAUAGUUCUUGCUGAUGCUAUAUGACCAAAUAAGAGGUUUUUAAUAUGAAAUCAGACUCUAUGAAUAUGAUCGAGUCAAAUUUAACUUUUCACCGGACCUAAUAAAAAACAUAUCGAAUAAUUCCUAAUUUUCAAUUUACAAGAUAGGAAUACUUAUGUUGAAAAGAAUUAAACACAUCAAAUUGUAUUAAAAAGUGAAAGAGAUAUCAUAAAUGCAAGAUUAAAUAUUAAAUAAUUGUUUGAGAUUCCGAAUAUCAAGUUGUUAAAAUAUUGAGAAUCUUUUGGUAUUUUGACCUUGACUAAAGUCCUAACUGACUACAACGGAGAUCAAUCAAUACAGCAUACGCAACUGCUUACGUUAUGUGUUUCCAUUUUCCAAGUCAAACAAAAGGCGCACGCAUGAAGAUGAUGAUGUAGCUGCUUACGUCAUUAAACAUUGUCACUACCUGCGAUCAAGUUUUUACUGCAUGUUAAGUGCUAAAUAUUAAAUGUAAUUGACAAGUCUUCGCUAUAUGGAUGUGUAGAAGUAUAUCUUGCUUUUUUGUGUAAUCAUGUUAUAUGUUUUAUGAAGGGUAAAUUACAUGGUUAAGGUAAUCAUCGAGUUUAGUUUUUACAAUUUUUUUGUAAUGCGGACCGUCCCUAAAUAUAAAAAGACAAUUUUACCCUUAAUAUAUAUAUUUUUUAAACUCUUUUAUCCAUUAUAUUUUAUUUUAUGUUAAAGAAAAAAUAAAACAAAAUAAUUCAUCCACCUACCGGCCCACCCUAAAUUAACGUCUUCUAUUAAAUCGCUCAAUGUCUUUUCCCUGUAACUAGGUUACCUAAAACCAUAACUAAAGAAGCUAUAUCUCUCCAACAUUGGUGGCCUUACCCUCGUAGACAACCUUACCAUUCGUCGGCAACCCCUAUCUCCCUCAUCUCCAUCUCUGAGAACUCCACAGAACUCUGAACAAUCAGCUUAUCGAUGAGAAUCUCAUCAACAACAAGUGGUAGUACAUGUGUUCGUUAAAGUAAAAUAGUUGAAAAAUCUAAAAGCCCCAAAAUUGUAAAAUAUAUAUAAAAAAAAUUCUAAAAGCCCCCCAAAAAAACUUUUUAUUUAAAUAAAAAUUAAAUACUCGUACUCUCAAACAUUGAUCAUCAACCUAUUUUUUUUAGAUAAAAAUUCAUAUUGAUUACUCAACCCAUUGGUUUUAUUCAUAGUCAAAUUUUAUAUUAGUGACUAUUUUGGGAGUCUAAUGCUAUUAUGUUGUUGCAUUCUCGUUUUCUACUAUCUUUAACAAACUAGCACAUUAACUCACCGUAAAUCCUCUGGUUUUCAUAUUAUUUAAAAACCAAAUUUAUUUAUUAUUCCAAACCAAAAUUAUAUGAUUUUUAAUGUUUAAAACUAGUACAAUAAUAUUUCAAAAGCAAAAUAUUAAUAUUCCAAAAUCAUUACAUUAAUAUCUCAAAACCAAAUUUUUCAAAAACAAAAACUAUUGAAAUUACGUGUUUUAAUAGAUUUUAAAGCAUCAAAGGCAAAUAAUCACAAUGUUAAUGUAUCAAGGUCGUAGGUUGUUUGGUCUUCAAUUUAUCCACCUUGGGUCUUGGUCAAAAUUUCUUCACACUAUGUCACAAUUUCUUCAAGCAUUUGUUCAUAUAAAAACAAUUCUUUUAUAAAUAAAAAAGUACAUUGCUAUAAUCAUGUUGAUUUUUUGUCUAUACAAUGCUUUAAUAAAAAAAAGAAUUUAAUAGUAAAAAUUUUAACAAAAAAAAAAAAUGAAAACACAUUGAUAUUUCUUCUAACGGGCCUUCUUAUCUAAAAGUUUGCAUCUAAUCAUUUAUAUCACUUGAAGAGACAACUUUAAUCUACACUAGGUAGUACAUGUGUGUAACCCCCUCUUACUUUGUCGUUGUCCCCUCAUAAAAUUUCCAAAAAACAUGUCAUUUUUGUAAACAUCGACAAACAAUUGCAAGAGAAUGAGGACAUUUUACUACAGUUAAAAUUUAGGCUAUUUGUACUCAUUGUAUGUGAAAAACUAUUGGUGCAUGCUAACCGGUAAUGUCAGGUCUGAUUGAUGUUUUCUCUAUAUUUCAAUCAAUGUGAAGUCUUCAUCCUUUUGUAAAAAAUCUUCACUAAUGACAUGGAAAACUUGUAAAAGAAAUGUACUAAAGACAGUCUCACCAUAUCAUACUAAACAUUUGCUUUUAAUUCCCAAGGUUAAAGACCUGCUCACUCUAAACGACUUCCGACCCAUUAGCCUCAUCGGCUGUUUGUACAAAAUCAUUGCCAAAGCCCUUGUGUCCAGAAUUAAAAAGAUAAUUGGCUUAUUAGUGGAGGAGGUCUAGAGUGGAUUCAUUGUGGGACGCAACAUUUUAGACGAACCUCUUAUUGUCAACGAAAUAGUUUCUUGGGUUAAAAAGUGUAAAGAGCAGGCGUUCCUUUUCAAAAUUGACUUCGACAAGGCUUUCGAUUCUCAUAAUUGGAACUCCCUUUAUUCUUUGAUGUUAAAAAUAGGGUUUGGUAACAGGUGGCGGUUGUGUAUCAGGGGAUGUCACGCAUCCGCUAGAGAUUUUGUGUUGAUCAAUAGAUCCCCCUUUCAAGAGUUCUUUAUCACCAAAGGAGUCCGACAUGGCGAUCCCUUAUCACCAUUUCUUUUUAUCAUUGUGAUGGAAGACUUGAACGUUCUUAUGAACUCCACGGUGCAACACUCUAUUUUUCAAGGGCUCCAGAUUCCUUACAAUGGCCUAAGUAUAUCACAUAUCUUUUACACCGACAAAGCAAUUUUUUUGUGUGAACGAACUAGAUCCAACAUUGUCAACAUGUCUCGAAUUCUCAAAUGUUUCUAGGCCAUUUCGGGGCUAAACGUCAACUUUCAAAAAUCUAAAGUUUAUAGCAUUAGUGUCUGUUAUAUCGAGAUCAACAAUUGUGCACGUAUAUUAGGGUGCACAGUCGCUUCUUUUCUUUUUGUUUAUUUGGGUGUGAUGGUGGGUGCUAAUAUGACACGUAAGAAGAGUUAGAAAAUUGUUAUCGAAAAGGUUCAAGGUAGAUUGUCCAAUUGAAAAUCUAAAACUCUGUGUUUCGGUGGAAGACUUACUUUAGUGAAUUCGGUCCUUGGGAGUAUCCCAUUGUUUUACUUCUGGAUUUUUAAAGCUCCAUCUUGCGUUAUUGACUCUCUAGAGAGAAUUAGGCGUAAUUUCAUGUGGGGAGGUUGUGAGAAGAAGAACAAGAUUUGUUGGGUUACUUGGAAAACCGUCCUUGCCCCCGAAGAUAAUGGCAUAUUAGGGGAGGGAUCACUUUAGAGUAUUAACAUUUCUCUCUUGAAUAAAUGGUUUUGACAACUUAAAACGGAUAAUAAGUCUAUUUGGAGCAAAAUCAUUCGGGGCAUUCAUAAUCUCAAUCGAAAACCAACUUUCACUCUUGCUAAAAAUUCAAUUCCUGGUGUUUGGCAAAAUAUUUAUAGUAUUACCAAAAACCUUGAUAACCUUGGUAUUGAUAUAAAGUCUAUUUUCUCUUGUAAGGUGGGUUGUGGCUCUAAAUUUCUAUUUUAGCAAGAUCCUUGGUUGAAUGAAGUUCCACUUGCUUCUAGAUUUCCUAGCAUUUACGCCAUAGAUAAAAGAAAAUCUUGUGUUAUUUCGGAUAGGUUGACCUAAUCUGGACCGAAUUGGGAUUGGUAUAAAACUCUACGCAAUUAUAUUGAGUUAUCAAAAUUACAUCAACUUGGUGGGCUUCUUUCUAAUUUCUCUCUUCCUGUUGGUUUGGACGCUUGGUAGGCUAACUCGGCUUUUGAUGGAAGAUUUCAUGUUUACGAUUUCAGAAGCAUUAUUGAUGUUAAGCUUACUGAGGGUGCUGAUAACCCUACAGCUUGGAUACAUUGGGUGCCCCUUAAAGUUAAUACUUUCGUUUGGUGCACUACUAUGGACCAGAUUCCUUCUUCAACGACUCUUUGUCGAAGGGAAGUUUGCAUUCCUUUCAUCAAUUGCCAACUGUCCAGUUCCUCUAAUUCAGAGGUCAUUGAUCACAUCUUGGUCAGAUGCAGCUAUGNGGAGGGGCUCCAAAAGUGGAUCAUAAGAUGGUGUGGUAUCUCUUCAUUUCAUCCGGACUCGGUGACUGCUUUCAUUAGGUUUGCAGAUUUUUGGGGUAAUUUUCCCAAAAACGAAAGAUUAUAUUGGCGAUUGUCUACGGAUACAUUUGGAUCAUUUGGAAAGCUAGGAACGAUACAGUUUCCAACAACAUUUACACUUCUCCUGUUAAGAGGACGGAUAGUGCUAUUUCAUUUGUGUUUAAUUUGCUCAAAUAUAGAGGUAAUUUUGUAGGUUGUAAUUGGUCAAAGUGGUGUUGUCCUUUUAAUAUCCUAUAAUGUGUUUCUUCUUGUUUCCCCUUACCUUCUUUCUCAUUGGCAUGGACUUGUUUUGCUUUCCUGAAUAAAAUGGCGGUUUAAAAAAUAUUUGCUUUUAAAAUUUAAAUAUGUGAAUAAUACUCGUCCAUCUAAAAGUUUGUAAUAUUCAAUUUGACACUUAGUUUAGAUUUUUUUUUUUGAACAACAAAACAUUUCACUAGAAAAAAAAAAAAAAAAAACAAAAGCUUAAGCAAGGCGCUCAAGACAAAAUACAUGAAAAACAAGAUAAAGGUGAAUUACACCACAUAUGCCAGUUAAGAGCAUUAAAUUUAGAUAUAUUCUUAAUCCAAUUAAACGUAAACAUGCUAAUAUCAUCAGCAAUCGUCAUUGAAUGUCAUCUCUUGUUCCUGGAAACCGUCCUUGCUUAAUACUCAUGCUUAAACUAUACUAUAAUAAAGUUAUAUUAUUGUAAACAAAAAUCAACGUCAAAAGUGUCUUGUAAUAAUUACUAAAUUGACAAGCAUAUAAAUAUGAACCAAUUGUUACGUUAAAAAAUUGUAUUUAGUUUACAUGUACGAAACAAAAAUCAUCAUAAAACUCUACUCAAGAAUUCAAUGGUAUAUACAUGAAUGAAAUCUCAUGAAUCUACUCCUACUAAUAUGUUUAAAACCCUAAUUGAAAAAAUAUUGUUGAUUUGGGUUAUAAAUGAUUGGCAAUUCAUCAACAUCAUGAUUAGGAGGCAUUGCUUCCAACCAAUGAUUCAAAUCUUCCAAACUCAAGCUGUCAAGCCACUCAUUCCCAUCAUCACCUCUUUGCAUCAAAUUUUCCAUUUCUUCUAUGCUGCUUUCCUCACUUGUACCUUUGACUUUGG
rnacentral:lncRNA from 1 species